UUUGGUUGGCCAUAACCCCAUGGAUGCCAAUAAUUGGAGGCCCACUGCCCCAGGCGGAGAACCUGUCAUUGACACGGGUGAUUGGAGAAUUCAAUUGCAGCCUGACUCACGGAAAAGAAUAGUCGACAAAAUGUAAGUAUGUGUUUCCUAAUAUGUGCAAGUGCUGCAAAAUAGUAAAUUUUUUAUUUAUAUGAAAGAAAAGUAGAAGGGCAAAAGGUUAAUUAAAAUUAGCUGGACUGCCAUGAGGCAACCUCAAGUAUCACACACUCUUUUUUUUGUUUUUUUUUUUCAUCUUUUCAUGUGUUUCUCACAAGAAGCGAACUUGAGGGAACGUAAAGUGCUGGGAAGAGUUGAGAAUAAUUGGGAGGCUUAACCUAAUGGUUAGUCAACCUUUUCUAUAUAUAUAGGUAGGGCAAUAUACAAUAGUAAUGGUGGAGGUUACCACACAAGAGUAUGUCUACAAUAUUUCCUAUAUACAAUAUUUCCUAUAUAAGUACAUUCUAUAAUAUGCCCCCUCAAGCUGAGGGUGGAGGAUCAACCCGAAGCUUGAAACAAAAAGCAGUAAACGAAGAAGUAGGAAGUGGCUUAGUGAAGACAUCGGCAAGUUGAUCCUGGGAGGAAAUAAAACGAAUCUGAAUCUCCUUCUUUGCAACUCUAUCUCGAACAAAAUGAUAAUCGACCUCAACAUGUUUUGUGCGAGCAUGAAAAACAGGAUUCACAGACAAAUAAGUGGCACCAAGGUUGUCACACCAGAUAAUAGGAGCAGAAGUAGACGGAAUCUGGAGAUCUAUUAAUAAAUACUGAAGCCAGAUAACCUCAGCAGUGCCAUCAGCUAAGGCUUUGUACUCAACCUCAGUAGAAGAGUGAGCAACUGUGCGUUGCUUACCGGAUUUCCAUGAAAUCGGCGUCUGACCAAAAAACACAAGGUAACCACCCGUAGAUUUUCUGUUCUCAACACUGCCUGCCCAAUCUGCAUCUGUAAAACCAUGUAAGGCAAAAGAAGAACUGCGAGUAAUAUGUAAGCCAUGUGAUGUCAUACCCUGAAGAUAACGCAAGAUGCGUUUCACGGCAGCCCAAUGAGAAUCUGUAGAAGCAUGCAUAAACUGACAGACUCUGUUAACAGCAAAGCAAAUAUCUGGACGCAUAAAAGUGAGAUACUGAAGAGCACCCACAAUUUGACGAAAGCAGGUAGCAUCAGAAAACAAUGGAUCGGGUAAAAUGGUAGCUUUGGAUGUAGAGAUAGGGGUAUCAGCAGGUUUGCAAGAUAACAUACCAGCCCGAGUGAGAAUGUCAAGUAUAUAUUUAUGCUGGCGGAGCAUAAGAACCAUACUAGUAGACUGAACCUCAAUACCCAAAAAGUAAUGAACAGAACCCAAGUCGCGAAGCUUGAAUUCUGAGCUCAGUAGCUGAAUGAGGCGUUGGAGCAGAAGAGAGUUACUACCCGUAAGCAGAAUAUCAUCAACAUAGACCAGAAGAUAACAAAUAUCAACACCAACAGAGAAUAUAAAUAAUGAGGUAUCCACCUUAGAGGCACGGAAACCAAUAGAUAACAGGAAAUCAUUUAGACGAGUGUACCAAGCCUGCGAAGCCUGUUUUAAACCAUAUAGAGAUUUAUGCAAUCGGCACACAUGAGAGGGGAGAGCAGAAUCAACAAAACCUGGAGGUUGUUUCAUGUAGACCUCCUCAUCAAGAACACCAUUGAGGAAGGCAUUAUGGAUGUCAAGCUGAUGAAUUUUCCAACCACACGAAACUGCAAUGGAGAAGACUAAUCUGACGGUCGCCUGUUUGAUGACCGGACUAAAGGUUUCAGAGUAAUCAAUACCUUCUUGCUGAGUGAAACCUCUAGCAACCAGACGCGCCUUAUACCUCUCGAUGCUGCCAUCAAAUCUGCGUUUAAUCUUGUAUACCCACCGACUACCAAUAACAUUCAUGGAGGGAUGAAACGACACUAAGGUCCAAGUUCUGUUUGCGUGUAAGGCUUGAAUUUCCUCACGCAUAGCACUAUGCCACGCCUCAUAUCUGUUAGCAUCAUUAAAAACAAGUGGCUCAUGAGAGGGAGGAGAAACUACCCGGCUGAAGGAGACAGCAGAGGCUGCGGUAGUGGUUGUGGACAGCGCUGUCUUGGGCUGCCUUGGACGAAGAACCAUGGGAUGUUGACGAGCAGCUAGGCAUGGAGAAGUGUGACCUGUACCUGGAAGAGGCUGAAGAGGAUAUGAGGAGAGGUCUACACAGAGCUGUAGACCAGCUGGAGAAGCAGUGGAGGGACUGGUCGGCACUGCAGACACUGGUGAGGCUGCUGCAGAACUGGGAUGAGCUGAUGCAGAACCGGGCUGCUCUGUUGCAGCAGACCUGAGAAUAUGCACAUCCGGUGAUGGAGAACCUGUACCUGCACAAUGAUCAUUGGAAAGACAAGCAUAUGGUGACAAUAUGGUAGUGUGGGAUGGUGAUGAAGGGGUGGCAGAAUCAAUGGGCAAAGGGGUAGUCUGGUGGGGUGCGGCAGAGGGCAGAAUUGGGUUGUGGUUGGGGCCGGUUUGGUAAGUAGUAGGCUGAAAGGAUGGAGGAGGGUGCAAGGAUGGAAGAUAGGUAGGUGGGGUGGGAGGUACUGGUGAGGAUGUUACCUGUUCAAACUUCGCAAAAGGAAAGACAUUUUCAUGAAAACGAACAUGAUGGGAGACAUAAAUAUGAGCAGACUCUAAGUCAAGACAACGAUAACCAAGAUGAGAUGAGCUAUAACCUAAAAACACACAAGGAGAAGACCGAAAAUCUAAUUUAUGAGCAUGAUAUGGACGCAAAAAGGGAAAAAAGACACCCAAAAGUACGUAGGAAGUUAUAAUCAGGAGUGCGUCGAAACAGACACUCAAAUGGAGAUGUAUUUUGGAGAACAAGAGUAGGCAUGCGAUUAAUAAGGUAGACCGAUGAUUCAAAAGCAUAGUUCCAAAAUCGCAAUGGGGCAUUACACUGGCCUAAAAGGGUUAGGCCAGUUUCGACAAUAUGUCGUUGACGACGUUCAACAGUGCCAUUUUGUUCAUGAGUAUGAGGACAAAUUAACCGAUGAUGAAUACCAAUGGUCUGAAAAAAUUUAUUUAAUUUACGAUAUUCACCGCCCCAAUCAGUUUGACCAGAUUUAAUUUUAAGAGAAAACUGACGCUCAACAAGUGUUUGAAAACGUUGAAAAGUGGAAAAAACAUCAGAUUUCGCAACAAGCGGAUAAUACCAUAUAUGUUUGGUAUGCGCAUCGACAAAAAAUAACAAAAUAGCGGAAGCCAUCAGAAGAAAACAUAGGGGCAGGACCCCAAACAUCACUAAAAAUUAAUUCAAGUUGGGCAGAAGUUUUGUGACCCGUAGGUCGUAAUGACAAACGGGAUGACUUUCCGAAAGGACAAGCUUGACACUGAGUAAGAGAAUGUCUAGAAGUACAUACGAUUUUAUUGCUGGAAACUAACAAAUUGAAAAUGCGAGGGGUUGGAUGACCCAAACGACGAUGCCACAGGUCGGCAGUCGCGGAGAUGCAAGGAGACCAAAAAGCUUGAGGAACUGACGUGGCAGAAGACUCGGAGAGGACAUAAAGGCCAUCAUGACUCUGACCGGAAAGGAGAACUUCCUUGGUGAUGAGAUCCUUCACAUAAAACAUAGAAGCGUGAAAUUCAAAAUAAACAUGAUUAUCACGACAGAAUUUUUGAACAGAUAACAACGGUUUGGUAAUGUGAGGCACAUGGAGAACAUUAGAUAAUGUAAACAUGCGUUUUGGGGAAUGUAAUUUAGUAUGUUCAAUAUGGGAUAUGUCAAGGCCCUUACUGUCACCAGCAUGCAAAUAAUCAUUACCAAGAUAGGGUGCAGAAUCGAUCAGAGUUCCAAGAUCAGGUGUGACGUGUUGAUUUGCGCCGGUGUCGGGGAACCAAGUCGCAACAGAGAUAUUCCCAACAGCAAGAUGAGCAGAAGGCUACAGAGAGCUGCUACGAAACUAGGAACAAUGGGGAGUUGUGUGCCCAAAACUGGAGCACAAUUGGCAGCAUACAUGCUGCUGUCCAGACCACUGCCCAGCACUGGAAUUGCGCCUGGUUUGCUGUCAGUGGUUUGGUCGCCAAUCUGCCGCAGAUUGGCCCCUGUUCUGGGGAGUGGAACGGUUGUUGUGGGGAUGCCAAUUACCUCUAGAGCGACCCCUGUUGCGGCUGAAAUUGGGGCUGUGAUGAGACAUAGCAUGGUGUGCAGAAAAAUGUGGUGUUGGCAGCAGAGGUGGCUGCUGUGGCAGAGAAGAAGAAGACAGCAGAGAAGGAGCGGCAGCCAUGGAAUGGAAAGAGUUCUUGUGCAGAAAUUCAUGGGUAAGAAGGUGGCUGUGAAGAUCAGCAUAGGAUAGCGGUUCUGUCUUGGUUAUGAGACUCGUUACCAAGUCUUUGAACUCACCACGAAGGCCACGAAACACAUAAAGAUUGAAAUCUUCAAGAGACAUGGGGCGACCAGCAGCAGCCAAUUCGUCAAAUAACAAUUUGGCUUGUUGCAUGUAUAGACUAACCGAUGAGUCACCUUGCCGAAGGUCUUGAAAGGAGCCAUGGAGUUGCAUGGUGCGAGAAUUAGACGGAGAGGCAAGCACUUUCUCAAGAAUGCGCCAAACACAAUGCGAAGUAGAACAAUCUACCACGAGAUGCAACAAAUCCACGGAGAGAGAGGAGAGCAAAGCCCUCAAAAUAAGUUGAUCCUGUUGCUUCCAACGAAGAAAAGAAGGGCUGAUGAUGGCGGAAGAACCAGCAAAGCUGUCAAAAAUAUGAGAUGGAGGACACGGCACGGAACCGUCAACAAAGUGAAAAACACCUUGACCAAGGAGAUAUGGCUUCAUCUGCAUUCUCCAAUAGAGAUAAUUUGUGUUCGUAAGUUUUAGCGAAACAACUUGGUGAGUUUCGCUAAAGGAACAAUAGCUGUAGCGUGAGUUCCCAUGAGAGGUAAAGGAACGGCAGGGACUUGGGAGGAAGAAUCAGAGACAAGCUCUACAGGUGGAGGCUGCUGUGGAGAAGAAAGGGCACUAGCGGCAGCAGCUUGGGGAGGGCUGGCCGGCUGUGCUGCACUACCUGUGGAGAGGGAGAAGUCGGCGGCAGCAGUAGAAUCCAUGUAGAGAAAGUAAAGAGAGGGCCGGCUGCAAAGGGAGGAAGGGAGAAAAGAGUUCUGACGGCAGAAGGCUCUGAUACCAAGUUGAGAAUAAUUGGGAGGCUUAACCUAAUGGUUAGCCAACCCUUUCUAUAUAUAUAGGUAGGGCAAUAUACAAUAGUAAUGGUAGAGGUUACCACACAAGAGUAUGUCUACAAUAUUUCCUAUAUACAAUAUUUCCUAUAUAAGUACAUUCUAUAGUAGGAAGUAAUUUUUUUUGGAACUUCUUCUGUAAUCUCUUCUUUCAAUGAUGACCUCUUGGAUGGCUGCAUGAAGCUUGUUCUGCUUUAAAUUUCAAGGUUAAUCUAUUGCUAUGAGCAUACGUGUUUCAAUUUAAAACUUGAGUUGCAAAUGAACUUAAAUGAAUGGUGUUGGAUAUGGGCCUUCUAUUUGUUUUAACUUCUACAGGGUUGAAAUGAUAGUGAUCUUAAAGUAGAAAAGCAGCAGACAAAAAUCAAUUAGCCACAAUGGUGUAUGGCUUCCUAGUUUCUCAGCAUAAAGUUGAAUGUUUUGUUGACCUCUCUACAUUCAAAAUCAUAUAGACAGCUACUGCUGGCACUUGCAGUAGCCAAUGAGCACUAUAGAGUAUAUAUUGCAGCGUGAGAUAAGGUUAUCUCAUUGCAUUUUCAUAAAUUAAAGGGAUUUCUCUUCUUUUCUUUGCCAAUUAUAGUGCAUGUAUAAAAGUUUUCUUACUCAGAGUAAAUGCUAUUGUAUUGUUUUCACAGAGUUCCCCUGGUUUGCAACUAAUUCACUUGUAUAUCUUGGAGCAUAGCCAUAAAUGGAAGGUUCUUCCAGUUCAAGAAAAUUAACCAUGAAGCUCAUAACUAGAAUUUUAGACAGAAGGGUGGCCAAGUGAACUCCUAUACCCUGUACCUCUGGAAUAAUACGGGGAAAGGAAGUAAAAAUAGAUAUAUGUAUUCUGAUGCCAUAUAUUACUUGACCGACACUUGGCUAUAUCAUUAUUUGUUUUUACUUUUUGCCAAUGAUUCCGUUGUAUGCAUUUCUGAUAUUGGUGUGGUGUAUGAGUUCACAGUUCUUUCUCACUGCUGCUAACUUCUCUAUACCUGCCUUGUCGUUAAAAAUUAAAUGUAAUGUCUUACAUGUGCAGAAUAGAGAUAUUAAAGAGGCAUCUUCCGUUUUCUGGUCAAGAGGGAUUACAAGAACUCAAGAAAAUUGUUGUACGGUUUGAGGAAAAGAUUUAUACUGCCGCCACCAAUCAGGUAUUCGGCUAAUGUUAGGUUCAAUAAUUUUGAUAUUCUCUAGACAUGAAUAUACACAUGCAUAAGUAUGUGGAUUUAUGCGUGUACACGUGUGUGUAGUGUGUCCACACUUCCUCACUAGUCAUUCUGUAGAAGUUCACAUCUUUUCGUUAGUUCUCUUUACAAGUGUUUUAUUUAGAGUGACCAGGGUCAUUUUCAAGUACAAGGGAAGUGUGCAAAAUGCAAAUAACGAAUCAAUACAUAAAUAAUUAAAUAAAAAGAGAGGACACCGAAGUAUAUGUUAGGAAUCUCGUAAGCUAUAUAUUAGGAAUGGAUAAUCUGAAUACAUUGGCUUUCCUAGUGUAAAACUAAGUCUAUAGGAUGAUAAAUGUAAGGUAGUAAUUGAUUCCUAUUCUAUGGGAAUGACUGUAAAUGCACUUGAAUAAAUAUAUGAUAUGAUCAAUAAUACAAUUCAUUCCAGCAAAUUCUAUUCUCUCUUCAUAGUUUUUCUAUUCUCUCUUCAUAGUUUACAGUAUAUCCUCACAGACAAUGCAAAUACAGAAAGCCUAGUAUAUUAGUAAGAGCAUAUAUCCCUCCUUCCCCUUCUCUUGUAACAUGGACUGCUCAGAGAUCUAAUGUUUUGUUAUUGAUAUCUAAUUUUAGUCUGAUUAUCUGCGUAAAAUAUCUCUGAAAAUGCUUACAAUGGAGACCAGGUCUCAAAAUACCAUACCCACUGGCAAUGGUAAUGCAGCCAAGCAUUGAAUUAAUUCUAAACAUCCUUACCUUUUGUUUUAUAUUGCUAUGUAUAUACCAUGCUUUAAUCAAAACAUAUAAUGCAGGAAUAUCUGCAGAUGGCCAUUCCCAAAGCGAAAACUAAUCUUCCCUAGAAUUACAAGGUGCCAUUUCUACAGUGAGACACUGAACAGUGAAAGAGUGUUUUGUUUUGGUUGUUUUGUUGCUGAUAACUUGAUCUUUUAAAUCUUUUCCCUGUACUUUUACAUUAUGCAAUAAUCUGGUCCCUUCAUUAGUUUUUUGUCGGUCAAAUGUUGAGCUGUCAGCGAUAUUUCCUAAGAUUGUUCCACUAACUUGACGGUAAAAUGUCAUUAAAAACUCAAUUAAUUAUUUAAAAUACUUGAGGGAUUAAUUUGUUUGUUUCACAAAAAACAGACUAAUUAUAUAAAAUAGAAUUUUACUCCAAUUUUCACCAUCAUAUUCGUGAGUGUUUACUUGUAAAUAUUUUGGAAGGAACUGGUUUAUGUUUUGCGCAACAUAAAAAAAGUAGUGGAUUAAUCUUAGAUUCCUCUCAUCUUGACUUCUUAUCUAUAUCAAGUUAAUUUAUCAAGUUUAAAAUUAACUAACGUAAAAAUUAUCCUAACAUAACAUAGUUAAUGUGAUGGGUUCAAAGUUAAUAUUAAUGAAAAUAUAUUAGAUGAAUCUAGAUUUCAUAGUUUAAUUCUUCAAAACCACAACAUGAAUAAUAAUAAAAUACACUACAAGAUUUAACAGUUUUACCGAUGGAAUUUUUCCGUCGGUGUAAGACACAUAUUCCAUCGGUAAUUAUAUUACCGACGGAAUCAAAGACGGAAAUGAUCCGUCGGUGAAUCAUUCGUCGGUAAUGUUUUGUCCGUCGGUAAAUCCGUUGGUAAUAGAAUUACCGACGGAUUUACUGAAGGAACAGACGCGUCGGUAAUAAUUUUUUAUUACCAACGGAAUUACCGAAGGAUUUACCGACGGAAUUACCGACGGAAAUUCCGUCGGUAAUUAUUGAAAAAUAUUUUAAAAAAAAUUCAUUUUAUAAAAUUAUAAAAUAAUUAAAUUAACAUAAAUUAACACUGUAUAAUAUAUACUCAAAAUGCUUGGAAAAAAGAAUAAGAAAAUCAAUUCAAACAAAUUUGCAACAAAUAAAUAAAAUAAAAAAAUAAAUUCAACUAAAAAAAUUCAUAUGAAAAAAAUGAAGUUGCAAUUGCUAAAAAUUUUAAAAUCCUAUAAAUAAAUCUACUAAAAAUUGAUCUCAUAUGAAAAAAAAUCUCACAACAACAUUUAUACAAUUAUUAAGAACAAAAACAAUUAAAAAUAAAAUAAAAAACAAAUAUAGUGAAAAAAAUCAUGAAAAAAGAAGAAAAAAGAAAAAUCUUACCUUAAUGUAGUUGCAAGUGAAGCUAAGGAGAGAAAAAAAAUUUCAUUAAGCAUAUUAAUUAAAAAAAACUAAGAGGAUAAAAGAAGAAAGAAGAAGAUGACAUACCAAAGCAUGGAGGAAAAGAGAAGGAGAUGAGGAGAGAAAAGAAGAGAAAAAAAUAGAUAAGAAAUGAUAUUUUUUACAUAAAGUGAAGAAGAAGAAGAAGAAGAAAUACCUUAAUGAUGUUUUUUACAUAUAGUGAAGAAGAAGUAGAAGUAGAAGAACAAGAAGAAGAAGAAGAAUAAUAAUAAGAAACAGGUUUGUCUCUUGUGAAAUAAGGGCAUUCAGGCUUUUUAUUGGGACGCUUUACCGACGGAUUUACCGACGAAUAAUUAAAUAUUAAUAUUUUUUAAUUAUUCCAUCGGUAAUAUUUAAUUUAAAUUUUUAAUUUCGUAAAAUUUUUUCAGAAACCGCCAAAAAAUUACCGACGAUUUUUCAAUCCGUCGGUGAUUCCGUCUGUAAUAUUUAAAUGAAAAUUUUAAAUUAAUUGAAUUUUUUCAGAAAACCACCAAAUAACAUCGACGACUUUUCAAUCCGUCGGUGAUUUACUCUCUGGAAAAUACCGACGGAAUUUUCCAUCGGUGAUUCCCUUUGUAAUUAACAUGAUGAACAGUGUUCACAAUUUACCAACAAAUUUACCGAUGGAAUAAAUUUCGUCGGUAAUUUCGUUGGUAAAAAUGACACGUCAUUAUUUUUUUUUUGCUUUGUUUUAAUUUUUUUUCCCACGGUAAUUCCCUCGGUAUAUACCGAGGGAAUAUUUCCUCGGUAUUUCCCUCGGAAAUUUACCGACGGAAAUAUUCCCUCGGUAUUUCCGUUUGUAUUUAUCAAUUUUCUGGUAGUGAUAGUUGUUUGUAAAAUUAAACACUAAUUAAAUAUUAAGAUAUUUAUUUGAGACUGCAAUAAGUAAACUGAAAUGUGAUCAAUUCAAAAUCAAACAAAUAUUAAAGGAUAAAACUAGAGAAAAGCCUAAAAGGAUUCAAUUGAAAAAACAAAUACAAGGUAGGGUCCAAAAACAAAGGAACAAUAUGACAUUGUUAUUAAACUUCAUCCAGAUCUCUUGCCUUGAUUUCUUACAUAGCAUAGGUUUAAAAUUAAUUCACAAAGGAGUUGUCUAUACAUGACCUAGUUCACUUGAAUAAUAAAAGCAUGGUUUGGAUUUUAAGAAAAAAAAUCAAGAUGAUAAUUUUUUUUAAUAUUAAGAUGACAAUAUACUAAAUCAACUCGAGUUUCGCGGUUUAACUCAUUAAAUACGCAACCUAGAUCAUAAACUCCAUUAGGCUUAAAAAUUAUUUUUUAUAUAAUGAUACAAUAACUAAAAUAGACACUUAUAAAAUUGAGAUCUUAACAAAUUUAGUGAUAUUUGUUAGAGGCUUUGAUAACUACAUAUAAAAAAAAUUAAAAACAAAUUAUGAUAAUCAAUUUAAAAUCAACAAAAUAUUAAAGUGAAAUUGGAAGGAAAAAAAGAGCAAAAAUCAUUCAAUCAAAAGAAGAAAAAAUUAGAAGAUAGAAUUUUAUUUUUUGAACAAGAGGGGAGGAUAUGAAUAGUGAAGUAGGAGGGAAAAGCUAACUUUUUUAGUAUAAUUAAUAAUUUUUAAUUAAAUUAAAAUCUUUAUCUCAUACAAUUAAACCCAAAAGGAGUUAAAUAAAAAAAAGGGAAGAAAAUUUCUAAAGACCGAAUUGUAAAAAAAUGAAAGGAAAAAAAAUGAAAAAACACCAAAUCAAGAAGCGAAAAAAUAUAAAGAUCAAUUUAAAAAAAACAAAAAAAAAUAUAAAGAGAAGGAAGUAGAGAAACAUAACUUUUUUUAGUAUAGUAGUUUAUUUCUAAUUAAAUUGAAAACUUUAUCUCAUAUAAUUAGGCCAAAAAAGAAUUAAACAAAAAAAUAAGGACUAAUUUGUAAAAACAAAAAAAACAGAACCAAAUCAAAAAGGAAAAAAAAACUAAUUUUUUAAAAAUAAAGUGUUUCGCUAUUCAUAUAAAAAUGAAACAUUACUAUAGUAUCCAACUAAACAAGUGAUCUACACUACAGGCUAUCUUAAUUUUUUUAAAGCAAAAAAAAAAAGAAACGUUUCAGCGUUGUCAGAAAAUAUUUUUUAAAAAACAUAUAUGGGUACAAGAGAGGAGAGAUUUGGUUUGAGAAUGCAUGUUAAAAAUCUAAACAUGAACUAAAACAAAGUGGAAAAAAAAGUAAAAAAAAAAACCCUAAAAGAGAUCACUUAUUCAUUAUAGAUCAUGAGGUAAAACACUAUGGAUUAACAUAAUAUAUUUACUUUUUACCCUUCUCUACACAAAACAAUUGCCUUGCUAACGGGGUAAAGUUAUCUUUUUCAAUGGAUCUAAAGGUUAUUUGUAAAUUGAUUGGGAAUAAUUUAGUAGGUUUACUCUUUUUUUGCACAUUAAAACUAUAUCAUUGCCCUUGUAAGCAAAAAAAUAAUUUGCCUUUUUCUUAAGGUUCAUUUUUUCUUUUCUAUUUUAUUUGCACAGUUAAAUAACAUCAAUACCCUUGAGAGUUCAAAAAUAUUGACCUUGACAUGAGGCAUUUUUUAAUUUUUUCCAUGUUUUGUAUAUUGUCAAAUGACAAAGUUAACUUUAGAAUAAAAUAAUCUAAAGUUGAAAUGGGAUAGCGUUUUCAUCUUUGCAAUAUAGUUUUUUUUGUAAUAUUUAGAUGCUUUUAGGCGUUAUUUAGUAAUUUAAAGUAUUGAAAUAUUAAUAAAUCAAUAAAAAAAGGCUGACACAUGCGUAACACGUGUCAGCAUGUAAUUAGUCCACCAUGUCAUUCAAGAAGCGUGUGAUAGUCCAACGUGUAAUGUGAAGAUGUAGUUGAUGGCGUGGCGUGGCGUGGCGUCAUAUUUAUAGUGGUUCGACGGUGAUAGAGUCCCCCCCCCCUCCCUUGGGCUUUAAUAUUCACGCCAAGCCUUUAAAAUUUCAAUUGUAUCCUUCGGAUUGUAUUUAUAUUAAGUUUGAUUCUUAUUAUUUUUAUUUCUAUUUAUUUUGAUUUUGAUGCUUUUUGAAGAAAAAAAUUUAAAUUUCAUCCUUCAGCAUUUUAUUUCAUUUAAUUUUUGUGUUAAACUUAGUCUCCAUUCUUUUGAUUACUAUUUUUUGUCAUUUACUUUUUUUUUAAUUUUGUCCUUUAACAUUUUAUUUUAUUUGCAAUUUUGGUCCUUAUUUUUUUAUUGCUUUUUUGUUUAUCAUUUUCUUCAUUUAUUUUGUUUUUCAAUGUAAUCCCUCACUAUUUUAUUUCAAUGAUUUUCUGUAUAAGAAUUUGUCCUCAUGGUUUGGAUUUUUAUUUUUUUAUGAUUGAGAAUUUUGCUUCAUUAUCUUUUGUUGUUUGUCAUCUACAAGGUAAUCCUAGUCUCAUAACUCAGUUUACUAAUUUUGAGUAUCAACUCGUUUUAAGUUUGGUAUUUUUUUUUAAGUUCUUUUUGAAAAUUAAUUUUUUGUUAUCAUCAACCUUGAGCUAUUGGACCUUAAACUUUGUUAUUUGUUUUGGUUUUUUUUUUGUAAAGUUAUUCCUAUCUCAUAUUCCAAGUCGUGAAUAAGUCAAGUUAAUCUAGGUUGAUUUAAUUUUUUUCUUAAUUGAUUUUUAUAAUCUUAUCAUUUGACAUUAAAUUAUUGGCCAAUGAGUUUUAUGAAUUUUGACACUUUUGUCUUAGGGUUUUUUUUCAUCUUUUUGUUAUUGAUUUAACUUUGGUCUUGACUCUUGGCAUUGUUUGGAUAAAAACAUGACUGCCGUAAUGAAUUUACAGACUUGCAGACUAUAAAUUAUUUCAGUUUCUCUAAUCACAGUGGCUAUUAUCCAACCAAUCAUCUUGGCAGUUCAAAAGAGAACAAUAAUAGCGUGAAAAAAGUAGCAUGAUCUGUCAAAUAUGCAAGAGUUCAUUGCAAAAAGAGAAAUUAAUGAACAUCUAGCAAACAAUGCUCAAGCCAUCUAAAGCAGACAAUGCAAGUUUCUGUAUUUUUUUUCCUGCCAAUUCCAGACCAAGAUAAUCAGACCCAAUCUGUUGUUCUAGCGAACAAUGUUCAAGCCAUCUAAAGUAGAGAAUGCAAGUUUCUUUCUCUCUUUUAUUUCAUGUCAAUUCCGCACCAAGAUAAUCAGACCCAAUCUAUUGUUGUGAAUUACAAACGAAAAGAAAAAAGACAAUAGAAGCUAUCAUCAAUAAACAUAAGCAACCAAUGUGCAAGCCACUCAAAUUGUUGAUAGAAGAUGGAAAGGCAAAUCUAGUUUCUCAUUGCUUCCUUAUGAACUCCAGGCUAAAAGUAACAGUUGAACCAAUGUCUUCUGAACAUAAGAUUUAAAGUAGCUGGUGGAAAAUUUUCUUUUCAGCAUCAUAAAAAGUAGAAGAAUUGAAAGGGAAACAACAAAUGCUAGGCAAAUUGAAAGGGAGAAGAAUGAACAAUGGCAUGAAAAGUAACUCUUAAACGAAAGAUCAAUCAUCAUAUUUUAGACAAAGCCAUAGUAAGAAAGUUAAGCAUGCCAAAGUUCUCUAAAAUGUAUGCGUGAGAAAAAAAGGGCGAUGUUCAUGUAAUUGUAACCUAAGUUGUUGAUUCCAAGAUUAAAUUUGAGAGCUUCAUCUAGAAAUAAAAUUGACAUGGAAUGUUAAAAACAAUCAGUUGAGAAAUGAAAGAGGCAAUGCAUGGCUAAACCAAUGGAAGCUAAUUAAGCUAAUGAUGUCCCUAGCUAGUAAGCAAUUGUUGCCGCAAUGACAUAUGCCUACUUAGAGAUAGAUUUGAAUUUACAUAUUAGUAUUAUCAUAUAUUUUGUAUUGUCGUUUAAAAAAAUAAAUAUUUUCCUUAUAUGAAGUUAAGUGUUUUUAAUUUUAUCAUGUAAAAUUUAUAUAUUUUUUAAAAAAUUAAUAUAAUAUACAGUUAAACAUCUAUAAAUUAAUAUCAUUGAGACCAUGAAAUUUAUUAAUUAAUCAAGAUAUUAUUAAUACAAUAUACACUUAUACAUUAAUCAAUAAAAAAAUUUCUUUUUCAAAAACAUUGAACUUAAUACAUAUAUUGCAUAUUCUGAUUAUACAAAUAUUAUCUAAUCAUUAAAUUAAAUUAUGAAUUAUCAUAAUUCUAUAUAUUUAUUUAAAGAAAACAAGUUCAAGAAUUAAUGUAGAUCAAUCUUAUUAAUUAAUAAAAGUCAUGUAUGUAUCUAUUUUUGCAAAUUGGAUGCAUACUUAAUUAAUAUUAAGUCAAGCAAAAAAUCUAUAAUUAAAAAGAAUAUACAAGUGAGCCAAACAACAAUAUUAAAAACGAAUAAGAGGUAGAAUAUCCCUUAACUAAUAGUAAAAUUAAGAAGAUGAUACCAAAGGACAUUGUUAGAUUGUGAGAAAAAAAAAAGUUUUAAAAAAUAUCUGUGUACAAGAAAGGAGAGAUUUGGUUUGAGAAUGCAUGCUAAAAAUCUAAACAUGAACUAAAAAUACUCUUUUAAAUAUUAAAAGCAUGAACCAUAUUGUUCAUAAUUGACUCUUUCAUAAGUGUCAUGCUUAAUAAUUAACAUUACUCUUUUAAAUAUCUGUGUACAUGUUUUGUUUUCUUCUUAUUUCUUUAUUCUUUUGGGGAUGCGGUAUUUUCCUCUUUCUAUUUACACUAUUUGCUCCCUACAAUAUUUAUUAUUUCAGAGAAGUAAAUAUAUACAUAAAUAACAAGAACAGGAGGGGAGGGGGAGGGGGGUUUGACAGUAAGUUGUUAAGAUCACUUAACAAAUCAAGAAAAAGAUGAGGCUAAGAAGCAGAAUGAUAUUAGCAGAGAAGAGUCAAGAGAAGAGAGAAAUGAUAUUAGCAGAGAGGAGUUAGAGAAGAGAGAAAUGAGAUCGAAAUUGGACUGCAAUCUAUUCAUAUCCAAUGUGAUCCAUACACAGUGCUUUUAUAGUGAUCAAUAUUAACUACUAACAGAUUAAUCCAACUAACUCUAACUAACUAACAAAAUUCUACAACUAAUAGCAGGUUGCGUGUCCCUGACGUUUGCCUUCCCACAGCAGCCUUCUUCUUGUUGCUGUUUCCCACCAUUAUUCUGCCAUCCUGAAUCGUAACAAUAAUAUUUGCUUAGAAGGGAAUGCUUCUUUGGUUUUAGAAGCACCAUGAAGAUUCAGGCCCAAAUCUUUGCUUAGAAUGCCCGCAUACCCAGGAUCCUUGCACCUUGUCAUGAAUGGUUGUGUAUAUUUGUUAUGCAUCCAUAUUUGGCUGAAUUCUUUAAUAAAGUACAUGAUAUUAGAUGGAAGUUCUUUUUAAAUCUAUUCAAGUCUGAAUAAACUGAUUUCCAUUUUUCAUGAUCUUGAUGUGCUUUUACUCUUCUUGCCGCUCCCGACUUUCUUUUUAGUAUCUAUUCUAACAUGCAAUAUGAUUUUUUUUUCUUUUUCGUUGGUCCACUGUCCCAAGCAGAGAACCUGUCAUGGACAUGGGUGAUUGGAGAAUUCAAUUGCAGCUUGACUCACGGAAAAGAGUGGUCGACAAAAUAGUAAAUUUUUUAUUUAUAUGAAAGAAAAGGAGAAGGGCAAAAGGUUAAUUAAAAUCAGCAGGAUUGCCAUGAGGCAACCUCAAGUAUCACACACCUCUUUUUUUUGUUUUUUUUUUUCAUCUUCUCAUGUGUUUCUCACAAGAAGCAAACUUGAGGGAACAUAAAGUGCUGGGAAGUAAUUUUUGUUGGAACUUCUUGUGUAAUUUCUUCUUUUGAUGAUGACCUCUUGGAUGGCUGCAUGGUAGCAUGAGUUGCAACUGAACUUAAAUGAAUGGUGUUGGAUUUGGGCCUUCUAUUUGUUUUAACUUCUACAGGGUUGAAAUGAUAAUAAUCUUAAAGUAAGAAGCAGACAAAAAUCAAUUAGCAUAAAGUUGAAAUGAUAGUGAUCUUAAAGUAGAAAAGCAGUUGAAUGUUGAAUGUUAUGUUGACCUCUCUACAUCCAAAAUCAUAUAGAUUGAAAGGAGAAAAGCAGUUGAAUGUUGAAUGGUGUAUGCUACUGCUGGCACUUGCAGUGGCCAAUGAAUAAUGUAGAGUAUAUAUUGCAGUGUGAGAUAAGGUUAACUCAUUGCAUUUUAAUAAAUUGAAAGGAUUUCUCUUCUUUUCCUUGUCAAUUACAGCACAUGCAUAGAAGUGCUCUUGCUCAGAGUAAAUGCUAUUGUAAUGUUUUCAUAGAGACUCCCGUGGUUUGCAACUAAUUCACUUAUAUAUCUUGGAACAUAGCCAUAAAUGAAAGGUUCUUCCAGUUCAAGAAAAUUAACCAUGAAGCUCGUAGCUAGAAUUUUUAGACAGAAGGGUGGCCAAGUAAACUCCUAUACUCUGUACCUCUGGAGAAAGUAAAAAUAGAUAUCUAUGUAUUUUAAUGUUGUAUAUUACUUGACCAAAACUUGCUUAUGUCAUUAUUUGUUUUUACUUUUUGCUAAUGAUUCCACACAUUUCUGAUAUUGGUGUGGUUUAUGAGUUCAGGGUUCAUGCUCGCUGCUACUAACUUCUCUAUACUUGUCUGGUCAUUAAAAAUGAAACGUAAUGAUUUACAUGUGCAGAAUGGAGACAUUAAAGAGGCAUCUUCUGUUUUCUGGCCAGGAGGGAUUACAAGAACUCAAGAAAAUUGUCAUACGGCUUGAGGAAAAGAUUUAUAUUACCGCCACCAAUCAGGUAUUUGCCCAAUGCGAUUCGAUAAUUACUAUAUUCUCUAGACAUGAAUAUACACACUCAUUUAUUCAUGUACAAAUGUAUGUGUAGUGUGCCUGCACUUUCUCAUCGUUCAUUCUGUAUGCAAGGCUGAUUGGGAGUUCACAUCUUUUUGUUAAUUCUCUUGACAAGUGUUUUAUUUAGAGUGACCAAGUUCAAGUAUAGGGGAAGUGUGCAAAAAGCAAAUAGCGAAUCAAUACAUAAAUAAUUAGAUUAAAAUAGAGGAAACAGAAGUAUAUCCUCACAGAAGAUGAAAUGAAAGAGCGUAUAUCCAUUUUCCCCUUCUCUUGUACGUGGAUUGCUCUGAGAGCUAGUGUUUUAUUAUUAAUAUCUGAUUUGUUAGGAUACUAGCAUGCAAACCCGACAAGAUAAAAGGCAAAAAAUAGGAUAAAAUGAGAAAUUAGACACACAAGAAUUUACGUGGUUCACCCAAUUUGGCUACGUCCACGAGCAAGUAUAGAAGGGUUUUACUAAGUAAUGUGGGAAUUACAACCUCUCUCUACUAAUAGGAGAACAACUGAAAUCUCUCUAUUAUUAGGAGAAAACACCUCACUUACUGUCUCACAAAUACCUCACAACUUUGUGGGAUUACUCUCCUUCACUCUCUCUUCUUGCUCUCUUGUUUCUCUCUUUUUGGUGUGAUCAAUAUGGCAAGGAUGCACUGCCUAUUUAUAGGCAAGCAUCCUUGCCUUUGUCUUGUAAAAGACAAGAGCAAGGCAAGUGGCACCGAAUUGGUGCCCAUUUUGUUGACUUAGCUGCACCAAUUGGUGCCAGCUAGCUUCACAUUCUCCCACUUGAAGACUUUGAUGAUUUAAUCAAGUCUUCACACUUGAUCAUUUGUGAUUCUUCUAUCCUUUCUAUACUUGUCAUCUUCAUGUUGCUUACGUUUCUAUUAGGCCGUAAGAGGAUCUACACCAUAUGUACUUGUCAGUGUUGACUGGUUUAGUCAAAGCAUCUGCUGGGUUUUCUUUUGUGUGAACCUUCUGAAAAUCUACACUUCCAUCUUCCACCACUUCGCGAACAAAGUGAUACUGAACAUCUAUAUGUUUUGUUCUUGAAUGAAACGCUGGAUUCCUUGCAAUAUGCAAGGCACUCUGACUAUCACAAUACAAAGGAAUCUUCUCUUGUUUGUGCUCGAGCUCCUCCAUAAGUUUCUUCAUCCAUAUUGCUUCUUUACAAGCUUGUGUAGCUGUCAUAUACUCAGCUUCUGUUGUGGAUAACGCUACAACAGUCUGAAGUUUAGAGACCCAGCUCACAGCUCCUCCUGCAAUUAUGAACACAUAGCCUGUAGUGGAUUUUCUUUUCUCAAGGUCACCAGCAAAAUCUGAAUCAAAAUAACCUCUAACAAUAAAUUCUGAUCCUCCAUAACAUAAUGCAGCAUCUGAGGUACCCUUGAUGUAUCUCAAGAUCCUCUUAAUAGUAUUCUAAUGCUCUCUACCAGGAUUUGCCAUAUAUCGACUAGCUGCUCCCACUGCUUGUGCAAUGUCUGGUCUUGUACAUAUCAUGGUAGAGACAUCUCGAGACAUCUCCAUCCUCUCUGCUUCAUUGCUACGAGACAUACUUGAGGAUAAUUUGAAGUUAACAGGAAGUGGGGUGGAAAUUGGCUUACAAUCUUGCAUGUUGAAGCAUCGCAAGAUCUUCUUCAAAUAAUUCUUUUGAGAAAGCCAAAUCUUCCUCUUACUUCUGUCUCGGUGAAUUUGCAUCCCUAGAAUCUUGUUUGCUGGUCCCAAGUCCUUCAUAUCAAACUCCCUAGCCAACUGUGCCUUCAAUUCUUGGACUCGAUCUUUGUUGGGGCCUAUUACCAAUAUGUCAUCCACGUACAACAACAAAAUGAUGAAAACAUCAUUUUCUUCAAACCUCUUAUAAUACGUACAAUGGUCUGAACUGAGUCUGUUGUACCCAAGGCUAAUUAUAAAGGAAUCAAAUCUCUUGUACCAGCACCUCGACGCCUGUUGAGACCGUAUAGAGAUUUGUUCAACCUGCAAACCAAGUUCUCCUUGCCUAUUUCAGCAAAACCCUCUGGUUGGAGCAUAUAUAUUUCUUCUUCAAGUUCUCCAUGAAGAAAUGCAGUUUUCACAUCUAACUUUUCUAAGUGAAGAUCAAAUAUAGCACACAUCGCUAAGACUACUCUGAUUGUAGUAAGUCGUACCACCGGGGAAAAUAUCUCAUUGAAAUCUAUGCCUUCUUUAUGAGCAUAUCCUUUCACCACCAAUCUUGCACGAUACUGCUCCACUUGAUCAUUGCCGUCACACUUUAUCUUGUAAAUCCAUUUGUUGCCAAUGGCCUUUCUUCCUUGUGGUAGCGGAACAAGAUCCCAAGUGUUAUUCUUGUGUAGAGCUUCAAUCUCCUCUUGUAUUGCUGUCAUCCACAUAGAUACAUCUGUGCUUUUAAUAGCCUCAUGGAAAGUUGAUGGCUCUCCAUCCUCUGUUAGAAGACAGUAUGCAAUGUUGCUCUCAGUAACAUAUUCUGAGUGCCAAGCUGGUGGUCUUCUUUCACGAGUUGACCGUCGAACUUCAGGAGUUUCAGACUCUAUUUGUUUUUGUUCUUCAUGCUCUGGUGCAUCUUCAGAAGAAGUAUGAUUAUGAGUAUUUUCCAUCUAGACUGUUGUAGUAUCCUUUAGAAUGCUAUUAUGUUUUUCCAUUUGCAUUUUACCUUCUGCAAAUAUGACAUCUCUGCUGAUGACUACCUUGUGGGCAGUGGGAUCCCACAAGCGAUACCUCUUCACUCCAUCAGCAUAUCCCAAGAAUACACAUUUUCUGGAUUUUGAAUCUAGCUUGCUCACUUCUUGUGUAUUGUACAUCACGUACACAGGACUUCCAAAUAUGUGCAAUUGAGAAUAAUCAGCUGGCUUUCCAGUCCACAUCUCCAUCGGUGUCUUCAGCUCAAUUGCAGUUGACGGAGAUCGAUUUAUCACAUAACAGGCGGUAUUGACUGCUUCUGCCCAGAAUGACUUUCCUAGACCUGCAGCCUUCAACAUUGCUCUUGUUCUUUCUAAUAGAGUUUUGUUCAUCCGCUCUGCCACUCCAUUUUGCUGUGGAGUGUAUGCUGUUGUGAACUGCCUUUUGAUACCUUCAUGUUGACAGAAGUUAUCAAAUUCAUCACUGGUAUAUUCUCCUCCAUUGUCAAUCCUCAAACACUUGAUCUUCUUUUCAAAUUCAAGUUCCACCCGCGCUUUGAAAGUUUUAAAGACUGCAAGCACAUCUGCUUUCCUUCUAAUUGGAUACACCCAACAUCUCCUGGAGAAGUUAUCUAUGAAUGAUACAAAGUAUCUUGCUCCUCCCAAGGAUACAACCGGUGCUUGCCAAACAUCAGAGUGAAUCAGGUCAAAGAUGCAUUUGCUCUUAGUUGUUGAUGUGCCAAACUUCAACCCGUGCUGUUUACUUGUAACACAGUGCUCACAAAAAGGUAAAGUAACCUUUGUAAGCCCAGGGAGUAACUUCUGAUCAGAGAGAAUUUUCAAACUUUUCUCUGACAUGUGGCCUAGCUUUUGAUGCCACAUCAUCGUCUUCUCUUCUGCAGGACUGGCUGAUGCGAUUGACGCUUCUGCCUCAUGAUGUGUUUCUCCCAUUAAUACAAACAUGUUUGCAACUGUCUUUCUUGCCUUUAAAACCACCAGCGCUCCUUUGACAAUUUUUAUUAUUCCAUUGUCUGUUCGAAUCUUACAGCCAAGACUAUCAAAUUGUCCCAUGGACAAAAGAUUCUUCUUUAAGUCUUUCACAUGUCGCACUCCUGAAAUAGUACAAAUUAAGUCAUCAUACAUCUUCAAUUUGAUGGUGCCAAUGCCAGCAAUCUCUAAAGCAUGAUUAUCACCCAUGAACACUGAGCCUUCAGAGAUGGGUUCAUAUGUAUGGAACCAAUCUCGAUUAGGAGUCAUAUGCCAUGUUGCUCCUGAAUCCAUUAACCAGACCUCAGUGAGCUCUUCUCUAUUUGUAGAGAUUGUCGUUGCUUCACUAUAUAAAACCUCUCCAUCUUCUGAGGUGCUUGCAACACAUCCUUGAGGUUUUGAUGACUCUGCAGUAUUCUCUAUACCCUUUUUAAACCAACAAUCCUUUUUGAAGUGCCCUUUUCUGCCACAGUUGUAGCAUUUCACAGUCUUUUUACUUCUUGAUUUGGACCUCCCUUGCCUUUGACUCCCACUGGAGCCACGCUCCGUUGAUCUCCCUCUUGACACCAAUAAUGCCUCUGCUUGGUUUGAACUAUUUCUGUCUCCUUUAUUUUUGCGCCUAUUUUCUUCUUCCAAGAUGGCAGCUGCAACAUCAUCAAAGACUAAACAGUCUGUGAGGAUAUUAUUGGUCAAGUUGAUAAUGAGCUGAUCAUACGAAUCUGGGAGACUUUGAAGUAGAAGCUCUGCACGUUCACUUUCCUCUAUUUGUUGACCCAACAUAGUGAGUUGUGAAAAUAGAGUCCUUAUUGUGUUGAUGUGGUCAGUCACCGUCGUGGUUUCUGCUAUUCGAAGGGUAUAAAGUCUCCGCUUUAAGAAAAUCUUAUUGUGCAAAGACUUGGACUCAUAUAGCUUUGUUAGAGUCUCCCAUAUCUCCUUAGCUGUUUUCUUCUCCGCCACACUUGAUAAUACUUCAUCGGCUAAUGCUAAAUGUAUGUUAGCAAUAGCAUUGCCAUCCAUCUCAUUCGAUUUUGCAUUAUUAGUGAUCUCCGCAGGCCGAUCCCCAAUUGCUGCCAAGCAAUUGUCUUUCCUUAAGAUUGCCUUGAUUCUCAUUUUCCAGAGUGAGAAAUUGCUCCCAUUGAACCUUUCAAUCUCAUACUUUGCUGCCAUUUUAUUCACUGUGAUCUAUUCAGCUAUCACCGUUUCACAGAUCUGUAACGUAUACAGAAAUAGUAUCGUGUGAAUAAUACUUCACUAAGUAAGUUCUCAGAAAGAUUGGAGGGGUCACAAACGGUCCCUCUUAAAAGAUUGAUUUUUAGAUUGAUUUUUUUUUUCAAUUUCAUAAUUCAACAAUAGAUUUAUUAAAAAUUAAGAUUCAUAAUUUGUUUUUAUUUGGGAUUAUUAUGGUCUCAUAAUCUGGGUUACGAAUUUAAAAGAUUAACCUAGAUUAACCUGGGUCGAUCUAAUAUGUUGUUGUCUCAAUAUUUUUAACAAAUAUAAUUUUAAUUGAUAUUUAAAAAUAAACUAACUUGAAAUUAUAUAAUUUAAAUUUCAAAUAUAAGUAAAAAUAAAGAGUUAAAUCAAUAUGACUCAAUUGAUUUGAUGAGUCCAAAAUAUAUAUAAAACAAUCCAAACGACACGUCAAAAUACUAAAAAAUCAAAAUAUAUUAUUACAAUUAAAAAAAAUAAAACACCAAUUAAAAUGGAAUUGACGACCUUACUUGAUAUAAGCCUAAACUCCUCGCUGCCAUUUGCAAGAGAUAGUUACUUAUACCAGUAGCAAUUUAAUAAUGAUUGGUCAAAAUUUAUAUUAAGAUGGGGCUAUUAAUUCAAAUGUUGAUGGCGUUAGUAGCAAUGAUUUUCUUGGAAGCAUGGUUGCCUCUUGGCUACUUGAAAAUAUAUGGUUUUUUUAAUGUCGCAUGUGUGCGGCGUCAUGAAGAAAAAAUUCACUCUCAAAUCCUAAAUAUUGGUAUCUUGGAAAAAUUGGGAAAAAUAAGGAGACAAGGAAUUCUUGUCUUUUAUUAGUGGAAAAAUAAAAUGGAAGUCGCCACUUAGUAUUUUGAUCACUAGGAACUCUGAUUGGUCUCAGAGAUUGGGUACAGAGAUUGGUUGCGUAAAGGGAAGGUAUAGCACCCCAAAUACGUCCUACCUAAGGUAAGUUGCAUUGUUUUAUUGUUUGAUAAAAUCUAAGGUUUUUUCGUGUUUUCUAGUUAUUGGUCCGUCUAUGAUUUAAGAAAAGUCUUCAUCGAUAAAGAGAUCCUUAUUUUUUCGGGUAAAACCUAACCGUUCUAACGUAAACAAAAGAAUUUAAUAUCCGGAAUACAUCUUACGUAUAAGGUCGUAAUCCCGGAUAAAAGAAAAAAAAAAUUUUGAAAUUUUUUAAAUAUUGGCCUAGUUCUUGUGACUUUAAUAAACUGGUUUUUAAACCAAAAUGCAUGUUAAUACAUAUUUUUGAAUUUUUGUUGUAUGAAAAUAUGAUAUGAUUUUUUUCUUUGAGAUACUUGACCGUAUGCAUGAAAAUAAUUUUUUUUUUAAUUUUUCAAUGUUUUGACGAAAACUAGGUAUUUUAAUACCAGAUUUAUAUCUUUACAGUAUAAAAAUACAAACCAAUACUAAGAAAAAUUUACUAGAAAAAUAUAUGGGAAAAUUAUAGAUUUUUUGAAAUGAUUUUUUUUGAAGAAUUGUUUUUUACUGGGCCGGACCUGACCCAAUCAUUUUGGGCUGGGCCGGCACUGUCGGGCCCAGAAAACUAAAACAAACAGUGGAGAGACUCUCCACUGUUCACAUGCAACGUGAACAGUGGAGCGGCCCGGAGAAGACGAAGAAGAAGAGGAGGAAGAGGAAGAAGCAGACCUGCGGCCUAGCGGUGCUGCUAGUGGCGGUGGACGGUGUUGCGGUUGCGGACCGUGGCGCUGACUGGCGGGUGGUUCUUCUUUCUUUCUCUGCGUUUCCCUUCUGCUUUUUUUCUAUUCUGCUCUGUUCUUCCCCUUGUUCCCUGUUUUAUUCUUUCUCUCCCUCUCUGGUCCUCUCAAACGUCCCUUGGAGCUGCUGCCUGAAGAUGAAGACGAAGUUGAGGGUGAUCAGUGCUCUGAUCGGGCGACAUUUCUUUCUUUCUUCUGCUACUGUUUUCGUUUCUGAUUCUCCUCGUUCAAUUCUUAUUUGCACUCUUCUUCUUCUUCGUCUCUGGUUUUUGAAAUGACGAAGACGAUGGCAACGCUGGUUCUAAUCUCAACGAUUUCCUCUUCUUACAUUCUUUCCUUUUGCUCGUUUCUGUCUCUCUCUCGUGCUGCUCCCCACUUUCUCUCUUGUCCUGCUCGCUCUCCCUCCCUGUCUCCUCUUUUUUUUUUUUUGUUGUCCGUCUCUCCUCUAGCUUUUUAUAGCCAGAGGAUGCAUGCUUUUCGGGAUUUAUUGCAGGAAGGUUGUAACGGCCGGCGUGCAUCAUGGUGGAGAGGGAUAUCAGCCGUGAGACGUGCUCCCCUGAUUGAAGCAGCUCCACCACUAACGUCUUCACUUCCUUUUACUGUAGAAACCGUUGUUGAUGAAGAAGGUAAUGAACAGUUGUCAAGGAAACGGUACCGUUUUAAAAUUCAAAAUGAAUAUUUCCGAUUUGGUCAUUGGAUUUUUUGCAAUUUUGUAAUCAAGCCCCUGAAUAAAUUGUAAUUGGAUCUCUGGAUUUUAGCCCCAUUUACAAGACAAUCUUUGGUUCUGGAUUCAUGCGAUUUGACCCUCAAUUGAUCAAUAAACUUCUAAUGUUUUCAAUUUAGCCCCUGACUUGGUCAAUUGCAGCCCUUAUAUUUACACGCCUUUUCUGGUUUGGUCCUUGGUUUCGUAUUUUUUCAAUCAAGUCCCUAAUUGCCCAUAAAACUUUAAUAAUUAUGCAAUUAAGCCCCUGAUUUGACCAAAUCAACUCUUCAAAAUUAUAAUUGGACCCUAGAACUUUAAUUUCUUCGAAUAAAAGCCUAAAUAGACAUAAAACUCAAUUUUUCUUUCAAUCAAACCCUCCAUAAAUUCAAUUAAACCUUUAAUAAAAUUUAAUUGAGUCCAUAAACAUCUGAUUUUAGAUAUAUUUUUUUAAAAUUGAAUUUUCUUUGUCAACAGGGCUCUCAUUAGUCAACGAUAUACUGUCAAAUUUCAAUCUUUAUAUUUUUUAACCUCCUCAAUCAAUUUUUGGCCAUUUUGAGCAGUCCGACAGCUUUCACUGUGACAUAUAUAUUUUUUUAUUUAUAUUAUUUAAUUAAUUUAUUAUUAUUUAUUUAUUUAAUUUUUUUCAACUCUUACUUUUUGUAUUUUCUUCUUUUUUGUGUGGGGUUCCAAAAAUGGAUAACAACACUUAAGUUCAAAUCUAUUAAUAAAAAUAUAGUUUUAUUGACUUUUUUUAUAUACUUUUAUUAGAGAAAUCAAUGUAAACAAAUUUAUGGACAAACAUUAGUUUAUCAAGUACUUAAAUAGAAAAAUAAAAUCAAUUAGAGUACUUGAAUAAAAAAAAUAUAAAUUAUAAGCAUUUUAUAUAUCUUUAUUGUUCAUAAAUUAAAAAUAAAAUAAAAUCAAUCCAGACUAAUCUAAAAAGAGUUAACUAUGACAUCAUCAUUUUGAUAGUAAAACUAAUGAAGAUAUUUUAUUGAUUAAAUUCCGUGAAUAUAAGUAUUCAAAUUGAAAAAAAAAACAUUGAUACAAGAUUUUAAAUAAAAAAAUUAUAAAAUACAUAUAAUUUGUACUUCUCAUUGUCUCUUUUGCAUUGCUAACACUUAACAAAUUGAAUAUAUAAUUCUCAUGUCAAUAACGUCAGAAUAAAUUUAGCUACAUGACAUAAUAAUACCUGUUUAUUUUUGUAUUUUAAAAAUAUUUUAAAAACAUUAAAUUGUUUUAAAUAGAUAACUUUUGAAUCAUCAAGUAGUGAAACACAGGAAAAGCUAGCGAAGAAAGUGAAGAAUAAUCAAAGUGGUGCGUGUCCACAUCAAUUUUUGUCCAUGUUUUUGGUAUUAAUCUCUUCAUCUAUUUACAGCUGGAGAAAAGAACAUCACCUACUACUUUUCUUGUCUCUUCUUACUUGGAAGAUAAGGUAUGUGAAUCUUUGAGUGCCACUUAUUUUAGUACAUAGACUUAGUUAUUUGACCACAGCUUCACCACAAAUUAAAUUGUUUUAAUUAAAAAAAUUUAUAUAAAGAUUUCUUCAAUAAAUUUUUUAUUUAAAAAAUUUCUAAGUGAAAAUUAAAAAACUUAUACACAAAUAUAGUUAAAUAAAUCAAGAAUUAUGUGUGUUAAUAAGUGAAAAAAACCAUAAAUGAUGACUCAAAAUAAAAACUGAAAAAAUCAAUUGAUAAAUAUAAAUCAAAAUAUUUAAUUUCACAAGACGUGAUAUUAAUGCAGUUGUGUUUUCUAAAAUUUUUAAUUAAAAUAAUUUUUUAAUUCGAUCAAACGAUAAUAAAAAUAGACACACAUAUUAUAAAUUGAUUGAAUAAAAUAAAAAAUAAUAAUAAUAUGCUAGGCUUUAUAUAUUGGAAAUAUUAUUUAAAAAUAAUUUUUUUAUUUUAAAAAAUAAAAUUUAUCUAUUAAAAAAAUUUAUAUAUUAAAUUCAAAAUAAAUAAACUUUAAAAUAAUUUGCAAGGCUGCACAUAACCCUUUAAAAGGAAAGUGAUAUAACAAACGUGGAACAAUUUUUAUUAACUAAAUAAACUUAAUAACUAUUAAUAUUAAAUUCGAAAUAUAUAUUAAAACCUAUUAUAUUAAUUUUUGAAUUUAUCAAUUCAGAUGUGAAUUAUAUUUCUAAAAUGGUAUAAGAAAUUUCUAUAUACGACAACUAGCUUAAGAAAGUGAUGUUCAUCAAAACCAUAGAGUACAGAAAAAGAAUUGAAUUGCAUAAAAUUAAGUAAUUAACGGAAACUUAUAUUCCUUCUUAAAACGUUGACCCCAAGUCAAGUUUAUUUAUUAUUAUUUUUUUUGAAAAAAACAUGAAUAAAAGUUAAUGCUAGGCACAUGGGAUAUAGAAGACUUGCUACUUUCUUUAUAGAAAUUACGUGUGUAAAAUUUAGGCCUUGAAAAAAAUUAAAAAUAAAAUACUAUUAAUCGUGUUGAUAAAAAUUAAUAUAGAGACUUUAUUGAUAAAAAUUCAUAAGAGCAAGUAUUCAAAUUACAAAAAAUAAAAAUAUUUCUUGAAAUUUUCAAUAAAAUUUAUUUCUUGAAAUUAAUGCAUUAAACAAAAUUAAAAUAGUAGUAAAAGUAAAUUUAGUUUUUGAUUGAAGUGUAAACUAGUGGUAAAUGAACAAAAAGAAACUUUAUUGAUUUCUCCAAAAACAAUAUAUAUAUUAUUGAAUAUCUAAUGGAAAGGAUUAUGAAACUCCGCCUAAUAUAUAUAUAUAUAACAGAGAAAUUGUCGAUAAUAGCUAUGAUCUAAGUAACUGGACCACGACGAAGACAUAUACAAGAAACAAAAAAAAGAUACUUCACUAACAAUUGGGGUUCUUCAUAAGCUUCAAUAGAAUUGAUAGAGGGUCGAAACAAAAAAGAGAUGAAGAGAGAGGAGGGAAUGGAAAGAAGGGAAAAGAGAACUCUUGCGAUCUGUUGAAUAAGACUCAGUAAAUAUAUAUAUAUAUAUAUAUAAAAUAAAAAAAAACUCAAGUUAGCCAAUCAAGUCUUCCACUUGGAUUACGAGAUAGGAUAAAAAAAUUUAAUAUUAAAAAAUAAAAUUAAAAAAAAAAACUAUACAGCAAAAUUUAAACCUUGAAAAAAAUUAAAAAUAAAAUACUAUUAAUCGUGUUAUUUGCAUUCUAGCAACAAAACUAAUACAGAGACUUGAUUGAUAAAAAUUCAUAAGAGCAAGUAUUCAAAUUACAAAAAAUAAAUAUAUUUCUUGAAAUUUUUAAUAAAAUUUAUUUUUUGAAAUUAAUGCAUUAAACAAAAUUAAAAUAUUUUUUAAAAAUUAAAAUAUUAGUUUUAAAUUUUUUAUUACAUUUCAAUAUUAAAUAUAUUUUUUUCAAUCGAGUUAAAGAUAUACAAUUUAUAUUAGAAUGAGAAGACUAAUCAAUUUCUCUAAUUUUCUCCCUAAUUAUAAAAUACAUCUGGUUUUUCAAGUCCAGAUUUUAAGAUAAAAGGAAUUUAUUUCUUGAAAUUAAUGCAUUAAAUAAUAUAAAAAUAAUUUUUAAAAAUUAAAAUAGUAGUAAAAGUAAAUUUAGUUUUUGAUUGAAGUGUAAACUAGUGGUAAAUGAACAAAAAGAAACUUUAUUGAAUAUCUAAUGGAAAGGAUUCAUGAAACUCCGCCUAAUAUAUAUAUAUAUAUAUAUAUAUAUAUAACAGAGAAAUUGUCGAUAAUAGCAAUCAUUUUCUUAUCUCUUGUAUCAUUCAUAUCUUCCACAAAUCUUAAGUAAUUGACUUUUCUGGUGUGUGGCAUUUUGAUUUUUAAACACAACCAAUAACCUUAUCUAAAGGAAUGCUAAAAGUGACAUGCUAUUGGGUGACCACCACAAGCCCAUCUAAAACACACAAGCCAUAUAAAAAUCACACAACAGCCAAUUACCUUAUCUUGACCGUAUUGAUUGGGAGAGUCAACUAUUGUCGCCGUGCUUUUAUGCACUAUCUGUGUGCGUGAAUGGAAAGAAAAGCAGGGUGGCAACUGGGGUGUGAAAAUGAAUGCUUAUAAAAGGCGUCAGUAAUUCUUCUAUUAAAAUUGCUAUGAUCUAAGUAACUGGACCACGACGAAGACAUGUACAAGAAACAAAAAAAAGAUACUUCACUAACAAUUGGGGUUCUUCAUAAGCUUCAAUUGAAUUGAUAGAGGGUUGAAACAAAAAAGAGAUGAAGAGAGAGGAGGGAAUGGAAAGAAGGGAAAAGAGAACUCGUGCGAUCUGUUGAAUAAGACUCAGUGUAUAUAUAUAUAUAUAUAUAUAUAUAUAUAUAAAUAAUAAAAAAAACUCAAGUUAACCCAUCAAGUCUUCGGUUUGGAUUAUAAGAUCGAGAUAAGAAAACUCAAUAUUAAAAAAUAAAAUUAAAGAAAAAAACUAUAAAAACAUGUAUGGUUUAACAAUAUUAAUCAAUUAUUAAAAUCUUUCAUUUUAUAUAUAUUAAAAAUAAAUAUUAAUAACUAUUAUAUCAAUUUGUGAAUAUUUCAAUUUGGAUGCGAAUAAAUGUUUUAUAUAUGACAUUUUUCUUAAGAGACCAAAGUUAUUAAACAUGUUUAGAUUUAAUUACUAGAUGAGAGUGAGAGUUGAGGUCAUAAAUUGACCUAAUUAAUAUUCAGAUCAAGAUUUAGGUCAUAGAUGGGACAAAUUAGCUUAUUGACUAGUGUUAAUAAAAAAUUGUAUCAUUUUAUGAUUUUUGUUAUUGAAAAAAUCAAAAUUGUGUUGUUAAAAAAAGUAAAACUAGGUUUUAACUGAGUUGACUAGGUUGUGGGUUGAUUUAUCUGGUCAACUAGGCUCGAUUGAGUCAACUCUCACUUGGUUUUUUCUAAACCUAAAAAGGGUUAGUUCCAGAUUAAAAUGUUAGGCUUGAAUUAAAUUUAACAACACUGAUUAAAACCACAAUGUAGGAAAAAAAAUUGAAUUGUAUAAAAGUAAUUAACCGAAAACUUGAAUUCCUUCUUAUAAAGUUGAACCCAUGUCGGUUUUUUUAAAGGAAAAGUAUGAAUCAAAGGUUAACGCUAGGCUGCUCACUUUGCAUCACAAUGACAGAUAUGGAAGGCUUGCUACUUUCUUUAUGGAAAUAACGUGUGGAAAAUCAUGCCUUAAUUUUGAUGGUGAUGGCAAAAUCAAACAAUAUCUUUGAUAAAAUGAACCACAAAUGAUAUUAUUUUUAAAAUACUUCUUGUCAUUAUCAUGACAAUAAGUCUUCUUCUUUUUCUUUCUAAAGUACUUGUCGGUCUAUUUUUAUGUAACCCAAUCAACAAGUAAGAUGGAUAGGAAUUUGUAGUGCAAAUUGGGUUUGUGAGACCAUGUAUCGCCAUCUGCAUUUUUUCCACGAUCUAGGCCAGUGGGAUGGUACAUGAGACCAUUGCUAUCAAGCGUUUUUUCUACGAGAUGGGUCCAUGAGACCAUUGCCUUGUAAGCUUGGGAAUGGAUAAUUAAUAUGCUUUAAUUUCUAUUUAGUUUGCAAAAAAAAAUAAAUUAAAUGCUUAUGCAUAAAAAAUAAAUCUCAAGUGUUAAAAUGCAACCACCGAUUAAUUAAUGGACAAUGGACCUUAGAUUAAUACAUGACGCAACUUUCAAUGGAAUUAUAUUUGUGGAGGUAUUUGCUCGGAUGCGAAUUAUAUUUCUAUUUUUUUAUUUUAAAAAAUUCUAUACUACAACGAGCUUAAGAAAGUCAUGUUCAGAGGCGGAGCUAUAAUUAUUUGUUAGGGGGUCAAAAUUAAUAUAAUAAGAUAUAAUAUUUAUUUUAAUUUAUUGUACAUGAGUUAUAAAAUAAAACAUGUAUAAUUUAGUUUUAUUCAAAUAACUUACUACAAACAUAUAAUAACCUUUGUGAAGCAUAUUGGGACUGCUCAACCAUAACUUUAACAUUACACAUUGGAGUUGGUUCACUAGACUAUGAGUUAUAUAUAUAUAUAUAUAUAUAUAUAUAUAUAUAUAUAUAUAUUUUAAAUCAAUUCUUUUUAUUUUGUUCAUGGUUCAACCUAAAAUCAAAACAUAUAUCGUAAGAAAAAAUUGAUAAUUUUGAUGGCUCUGCUAAAAAUAAAACAGAAAAAAAAUCCAAGCAUAAUCAAAACAAAACCAAUAAAAUAUAUCUAAUUAAUUAGAAAAAAAUCACUAUAAUAAGAAUUCAAAAAACAAUUGGUAGAACUAGCAGAUCUGAGAAAAAAAAGGAGCAACAAUGGUAGAAAUAUAAAAAAUUCUCAUCAAAUUAUUAACAAACAUCUCAAAACAAAACAAAUAUAUAUUUUAAAUUUAAGUUACCUUGUUUUAUUUGAUGAAAGAUAAAUUAAUUGGUGGCUCUACUUCAAUCUUUUUGUAGAAAAAUUUUGCUCACGAUUUGUAUUUUUAUUUCUUUGUUUGAUCGGCUGCAGGAUUUAUAUUAGAAUAAAUUGAUGGUUUUAUUUUUUAUUUCACAAAGUAAUGCCUUAAUUUUUUUUUUUCCAUCUAGGUCAGGAGUAAAUUAAAAGGAAAUCAAAAGUAAAGUCAAUAAUAACCCAAAGUAAUGGCUUAAUUAUUUGAUGUCGCAAAGUAAUGCUUUAAUAACCCAAUAAUAAAAAAAACAAAUGUCUUGAGGGGGGGGGGGGGGCGAGCCCCUGCUUAACCCCUGCUUCCGCCCCUGGUCAUGUUCAUCGAAAAAAAAAAAAUCUAUUUACUCGGAUAUGUUUUUUCUACGAGAUGGGUCCAUGAGAACAUUUCCAUCUGCAUAUUGGUCCUUGAGACCGUUGCCAUCAGGUGCAGAGACAGGGAGGCUGGCAGGAGCCCUGCCCUAGCAAGAAAUUUUUUUUUCCAACCCCUCCCUUAAUAAUAUUUAUAUUUUUAGCUUAAAUAAUAAAACAAUUAACAUUUUGGCCCUUUUUAAUUUGAUUUUCUGGUUCCGCCCCUGGUUGCCAUCAUGCAUUUUUCCUCGAGGAGAGGCCAUGAGACGUCCUCUUCCAACCAUCAUGCAUUUUUUUCCACGAGAUGGGUUCGUGGAGAAACUUUGGUUUAAUUGGGAAUGCUGUUAUUGAUAUGAAACUUUUUAAUUAAAAUAAAUUUGAUUAUUUUAUUGGAAAAAAUCCUUAAAUGUUAUUAACACAUGACAUCAAUUUAUUUUCUUAAGAAAAAAAUAUUGUAACCAUAUUGUAAAAUAUUUUAAAAAAAUAAAAUUGUUUUAAAUAGAUAACUUUUGAAUAAUCGAGUAGUGAAACACAAUAAGAGUGAAGAAAGUGAAGAAUAAUCUAAGUGGUGCGGGUCGACAUCAAUUUUUGUCCAUAUUUUGGUAUUAAUCCCUUCAUCCAUUUAUGGUCAGAGAAAAGAACAUCACUUACUGCUUUUCUUGUCUCUUCUUGCUUGGAAGAUAAGGUAAAUGAACUUUCGAGUGCCACUCAUUUUAGUACAUGGACUUAGUUAUUUUAUCAGAGCUUUAUUGCAAUUUAAAUUUGUUUAAUUAAAAAAAUUAUAAUAGAUUUCUUUAAUAUAUUUUUUAUUUUAAAAAAAAUUAAGUUAAAAUUAAAAAAUUUAUAUACAAAUAUAGUCAAAUAAAUCAAGAAUUAUGUAUGUUAAUAAAUAAAAAAAACCAUAAAUGAUGACUCAAAAUAAAAACUAAAAAAAUCGAGAGACAGAUGUAGAUCAAAAUAUUUAAUUUCACAAGACAUGACAUUUACGCAAUUGUAUCUUCUAAAAAUUCAAAUUAAAAUAAUUUUUUUAUUCGAUCAAACGAUAAUAAAAACAACACACACAUUAUAAAUUGAUUGAAUAAAAUAAAAGAAAAAAAAAUAAUAUGCAAUGUUGCACAUAUUAGAAAUAUUAUUUGAAAAUGAAUUUCUUUUUAUUUUUAAAAAUAAAAUUCAUCUAUACUAAAAAAUUUUAUAUAUUAAAUUUAAAACAAAUAAACUUCAAAAUAAUAUCCAAGGCUCUACAUAAACCCUUUAAAAGGAAAAGUAAUAGAGAGAGAACAAAAGUGGAACACUUUGGAAAAAAACUAAGUAAUUAACCGAAACUUAUAUUCCUUCUUGAAACGUUGACCUCAAGUCAAGUUUAUUUAUUUAUUUAUUUUUGGAAAAAACAUGAAUAAAAGGCUAAUGCUAGGCACACGAAGAUGAUGGAUAUAGAAGACUUGCUACUUUUUUUAUGGAAAUUACUUGUGGAAAAUUUAGGCCUUGAAAAAAAUUAAAAAUAAAAUACUAUUAAUCGUGUUAUUUGCAUUCUGACAACAAAAAUCAUAAUUAAGAGCAAGUAUUCAAAUUAAAAAAAAAAAUCAAUACAAGUUUUUAAUUAGAAAAAACAAGAUACAAAAUGCUGUGUAAGUGUCAUCAACUCUUUGUAUUUUCUAACUAUUAAAGAAUUGAAUAUAUAAUUAAUACACGUGUGAGAAACAUCAAAAUAAAUCCAAUUAUAUAAUAUACUAAGAUUUUAAAAACUAAUUCUUUUAAAAACUAACACUACAUAGAAAAAUAUAAAGCUCAAGGCAUCAAUUAAUUUAAAGAUACCAUGCAAGAUAAAAAAAGAAAAAAAAAACAUUUAAAGGGAAAGGACCCACAAUCAAUUAUUGUUAUUCGUUUAAUUAUAAAUAGAAUGAAGCUCGCUGGACUUUUAUCAGGGACUAAAGUAGUUUCCAUCUUAUAUGCAGUUAGAAUCUCCCAUAUUUGUCAACAUGCCAGAAAAGCUAUUCGCAAAGAAACUCUCAGAAACUCACAUGCCAGAAUGGCAGUUCCAAUGGAAAGCCUCUACGCUUUCCAAAUCCCAGAAGGAGAACACUCUAAGAAUUUGGUGUCACUGACUGUUACCAUAUAUAAUCUUUAAAAUGUAUCCAAUUUAGGACUAUAAAGAUUAUCUUACCAUAGAUAGAUGCUGGUUCUUAGGGAAUGAGGGAGACUCCUUGUAUAGCAGAACAACCUUCUAUGUACACUCCUUGUGUAGCAAAAUAACCUUCCAUGUAUAAGAGGCCUUUUCUGCUGACUGCAGGGGAGAACAUUCUGAAAAGUUAAUGAAUUAAUUAACUCUCUUGGUAUUCUAGUUUUGGCUUGAAUGUAUUAACACUGACAUCCAUGACAAGAGGUGGAGGUUCCGAUGUUGUACAAGAAAAACUGAGUUGAUAACCUUAAACCAGUCCUGUCUUCAGGUUGGAUUGAGUUCGCCAAAAAAAAAAAGGGUUCUCAAAAAAGGUGAUGAAGUCACCUUCUCUGUGAUGGACAUGAAGGGAGCCGAGGAUCUGGAAUUGGGAAUUCAAGCUCGGAAAAGAAUCAAGCUAUUCGGCCAAGAUUUUUGGAGUAAUCCUUUGUGAAGAAGAAGAAGAAGCUACUCCUCGCAUAAAAUAUAGGUGUUGAUCGAUGUAGCUUUAUCUUCUAUCUUCUAGUAUCAGUUCUUUCUUUCUUGCUUGCCUUUUUUUUUUUCCUCCUGGAAAGGAAGGCUUGGGGGUGUUUGAUGCUAGCUAUCUCUUAAAAUGUCUAUCCUAGAACUUAGAAUCAUGUGAGUAAAAGAGUGAAUCUUCUAACCAAAUAUAUAUAUGUAUAAUAUAUCCUUACAAGAAAUAUUCCAUACUUUUUCUUAAAUUAUAAAUUAAAAAGAAAUUGGUUAUAACAUGGUUAACGAACACACGAAAAUAAACAGGUGUAUUUCGUACACAAAUUCUUUUUUUUUUUUUUCUUACAAGUUUUUUUACCAGUUAAAAUAUACUCUUAUUAUUUUGUUUUUCCAUUGGUAGUAUAUCAGUCCUUAAGGCGAGGGUAAUACUAUGUUUCCCAUUUGUAAGUGGUGGAGAUAUUGGAGGCCACUCUCCCUGGAAUCAAUUUAUUGCUGUUGAUAUUUCUUCACCGUCGAUCUUGGAAAUUAAGCCCAACAUCGAAUUCCAGUUCGUGGAAAAGGCAUGCACCAAGGACCAUAUGUNNNNNNNNNNNNNNNNNNNNNNNNNNNNNNNNNNNNNNNNNNNNNNNNNNNNNNNNNNNNNNNNNNNNNNNNNNNNNNNNNNNNNNNNNNNNNNNNNNNNNNNNNNNNNNNNNNNNNNNNNNNNNNNNNNNNNNNNNNNNNNNNNNNNNNNNNNNNNNNNNNNNNNNNNNNNNNNNNNNNNNNNNNNNNNNNNNNNNNNNNNNNNNNNNNNNNNNNNNNNNNNNNNNNNNNNNNNNNNNNNNNNNNNNNNNNNNNNNNNNNNNNNNNNNNNNNNNNNNNNNNNNNNNNNNNNNNNNNNNNNNNNNNNNNNNNNNNNNNNNNNNNNNNNNNNNNNNNNNNNNNNNNNNNNNNNNNNNNNNNNNNNNNNNNNNNNNNNNNNNNNNNNNNNNNNNNNNNNNNNNNNNNNNNNNNNNNNNNNNNNNNNNNNNNNNNNNNNNNNNNNNNNNNNNNNNNNNNNNNNNNNNNNNNNNNNNNNNNNNNNNNNNNNNNNNNNNNNNNNNNNNNNNNNNNNNNNNNNNNNNNNNNNNNNNNNNNNNNNNNNNNNNNNNNNNNNNNNNNNNNNNNNNNNNNNNNNNNNNNNNNNNNNNNNNNNNNNNNNNNNNNNNNNNNNNNNNNNNNNNNNNNNNNNNNNNNNNNNNNNNNNNNNNNNNNNNNNNNNNNNNNNNNNNNNNNNNNNNNNNNNNNNNNNNNNNNNNNNNNNNNNNNNNNNNNNNNNNNNNNNNNNNNNNNNNNNNNNNNNNNNNNNNNNNNNNNNNNNNNNNNNNNNNNNNNNNNNNNNNNNNNNNNNNNNNNNNNNNAGAGAAAAAUACAGACUCAAAUUCACAACACCCAUUUUCUUUCCAUUGGAACACUUUAAAUAGUUUAUUAAAUUUAUAAUGAUCUGAUUUCUAUGCAUAUAUAAAAAUCAACUUAAUGAUCAAUUCUCUAUAAUUUCAGCAUGACUAAAAACAUCCAAACUAAUAAACUAUUAGUUAUUUUAGUCAUUUUAAUAAACAUUUUAGUUAUGAAUUCACCAAACAUUUUGAACAAUUCAUAUGGAUGAAUUAACAUGUUAAUUUUAGAUUUUUUAACUUAUUAAUUCCUUCAUGAGUUACUUCUAAAGCAUGUUAUAUAUAUCUAAGCAUUUUUAUAUAAUAUAAUUCUAUCAAAUUCACUUUUACCAGUCCUGUCUUCAGGUUGGAUUGAGUUCGCCAAAAAAAAAAAAGGGUUCUCAAAAAAGGUGAUGAAGUCACCUUCUCUGUGAUGGACAUGAAGGGAGCCGAGGAUCUGGAAUUGGGAAUUCAAGCUCGGAAAAGAAUCAGCUAUUCGGCCAAGAUUUUUGGAGUAAUCCUUUGUGAAGAAGAAGAAGAAGCUACUCCUCGCAUAAAAUAUAGGUGUUGAUCGAUGUAGCUUUAUCUUCUAUCUUCUAGUAUCAGUUCUUUCUUUCUUGCUUGCCUUUUUUUUUUCCUCCUGGAAAGGAAGGCUUGGGGGUGUUUGAUGCUAGCUAUCUCUUAAAAUGUCUAUCCUAGAACUUAGAAUCAUGUGAGUAAAAGAGUGAAUCUUCUAACCAAAUAUAUAUAUGUAUAAUAUAUCCUUACAAGAAAUAUUCAAUACUUUUUCUUAAAUUAUAAAUUAAAAAGAAAUUGGUUAUAACAUGGUUAACGAACACACGAAAAUAAACAGGUGUAUUUCGUACACAAAUUCUUUAUUUUUUUUUCUUACAAGUUUUUUUACCAGUUAAAAUAUACUCUUAUUAUUUUGUUUUUCCAUUGGUAGUAUAUCAGUCCUUAAGGCGAGGGUAAUACUAUGUUUCCCAUUUGUAAGUGGUGGAGAUAUUGGAGGCCACUCUCCCUGGAAUCAAUUUAUUGCUGUUGAUAUUUCUUCACCGUUGAUCUUGGAAAGCCCAACAUCGAAUUCUAGUUCGUGGAAAAGGCGAGCACCAAGGACCAUAUGUUCUUUGCAUUUGAAUGUUAGUAAUCUCGAGGUUUACUUGGUCAAUCCAGCGUGCAAUGAUGAUGGAACUACCUUGUCUACUUUGAUGCCAAGGUAUAGAUUUUGUGCACAGAAGAUUGUGUCUGUGAGUAAUAGAGCUGGUUGCCUAUGUACAAUUAGUAUGCUUUGGCAGGAAGACCCCGUGACUGGUCCUUGGAUAGCUGAGAAAGCCAAGUCUCUGGCAACUUCAGAGGAAUCCAGGAGCAGGAAAAAAAUGAAGGUGAAAGGAUAUGAAUUUGCUAGUGCAACUGCUGCAAAGGAUCUAAGAGACAUAAAUUUGCGAACUAGAGAAGAGUUAAUUUUGAGCUCAGCAUUCUUCUUGCAUGUUCGUCUGUUUCCUGUUGUGGUUGAUCUUAGCAGUUCUCAGUAUAGUAAUUUGCAUUUCCUUCUAGAUCAGAUGAUUAAUGGAUUAUCAGGCAUGGCCUGCGAUGUAGUCGGUGCUAGGGAAUCAACAAAGUUAACUCAUUGUAUUUCAGAAAUUAAAGGGAUUUCUCUUCUUUUCUUUGUCAAUUACAGUUCUUGUAUAAAAGUUUUCUUACCCAGAGUAAAUGCUAUUGUAAUGUUUUCACAGAGACUCCCCUGUUUUGCAACUAAUUCACUUAUAUAUCUGGGAAACAGAAAGACAAUCAACAAAGAGUAAGGCAUCUUCUGAAGAAACAAAGAAAUUUAAUACCCUAAACUAAGCAGCAGGUAGAAGGCAAAAACUCCCUACAAGAAAAUCGGUGAAAACCAACGGAAUUACCGACGAAAUUUUUUCGUCGGUAAAUUUUACCGACGGAAAUACUUCCGUGUCUACUUCUGUUGGUAUUUACUGACAGAAAAUAUCCGUUGGUGAUACGGUCGGUAUAUACCGACCGUAUCACCAACGAAUUAUAAAGUUUUUUGGAAAGUUGCAACGGUGUGGUGACGUGGAUUUUUUUUUCCAGAUGAUUUUACUGACAGAAUGACCGAUGGAUUCAAACAAGGAUCUCCGUAUAGUGACGUGGCACAUUCACUGGCGGAAUCACCGAUAGGUAUACCGACGGAACGUGUCCAUCGGUGAUUCCAUCGGUAAAAGCCAAUAUAUACCCACUCUGCCGACACUCUCUUCCUCUAUUUCACCUUUUUCUUGCCCUUCUUCUUCCCCAUCCCACCUCUCCCCUCCCGAACUGCAGCCAACCACCCAUCCCAACUCUCCCCCUCUUCUCAACACAAGCACUCAAGUUUCUUAUACUUUUGUACGUGGUCACAACAAUAUCCGUUCUUGUGGAUUUUAUCAUUUUUUGUAAGUAAAUCUAUCCUUUUUUAUUUUAACAUUUAAAUUUGAAUUUUUUUUUAGCAUAUGUUUUUUGUUAACAUAUGUACUUGUUUGAUUGUUAUUUAUCAAAGAAACUUGUAGUAUGAUUGUAUAAUUUUGUAGUUGUUAUAGUUUGUUUUAGAUUUUAUCAAAUUAUAUUUGUUUGUAAAUUGUUGAAACUUUGUUUGAAUUAUACCGAAUUAGAUGUGUUGUGAUGAAAUAAAUAAUAGCUUGUUUAACGGAUCCGUUUUAAUUUUUAUCAAUUCUAUUGCGAAGUUGUGAUUUCCGUAAAUUUAUAUAUGUAUAAAUUUGUAUGGACGUUGAUAGAUGAUAAUUGAUAAUGAAUAUUUAAAUUAAGUGCUUUUUUAGUUUGUUGGAUAAUGUUGGGGCACACCAAUAUUUUUGUUAUGUUUAUUUAUGUAACAUAAUUAAUUAAUACAUGUUGUCAUCAUAAUUUUUUGAUAGAAGUCAUGGAUGAUCAUUCAUGGAUGUAUCGAGACUCACCCCAAGGAUUGCGGAGGAUGGAUUAUUGUAACGGGGUUCAGGGUUUUAUUAAUUUCUCAACAUCUAUCCCAAGGAAUUUUACUGAUCGCGGUAUUAGGUGUCCAUGCAGGAAGUGUAAAAAUAAAAAGUUUUCGCAUCAAGAUGUUGUAACGAUGCAUCUUCUAACCAAUUCGGAUCAUUUGGUAAGCACAUGACAUGGCACCAAUCACAUCAUGCGGUUGAUGGAGUGAUGGUGCAUCCUUUUGACGGCAAAGCCUGGAAACACUUUAAUAGUGUGCAUCCUUACUUUUCAGCUGAAUCAAGGAACGUUCGUCUUGGGUUGUGUACAGACGGAUUCAACCCAUUCAGAUCAUUUGUUGCUCCUUAUUCUUGUUGGCUGGUCAUACUGAUGGUUUAUAACUUGCCACCGGGGAUGUGUAUGAGGCCGGAGUUCAUGUUUUUAUCUAUGGUCAUACCAGGUCCGAGCAGUCUGGGGUGGAAUAUAGAUUUUUGUCUUCAUUUGUUGAUUGAUGAGUUGACGCAGUUGUGGUCCUCUGGAGCUUUGACUUAUGACAUCUCGAGGAAAAAAAAUUUUGUUAUGAGAGCGGCUUUGAUGUGGACUAUCAAUGAUUUCCCAGCUUAUGGAAUGGUUUCUGGUUGGAGCAUGCAUGGAAAGCUAGCAUGUCCAUACUGUAUGGACAACAACAAAGCAUUCACGCUAACAAACAGGGGUAAAACUUCUUUUUUUUGACUGUCAGCGUCGUUUCUUGCCACCGAAUCACAGGUACAGAAAGAACAGAAAGGAUUUCUUUAUUGGUAGAGUUGAAAAGGAUGUUGCACCCCCGCGUCUUUCCGGUGAAGAAUUGCUUGAUGUUGUGUCAGAGUACGGUGACAUUGUGUUUGGUCUCCAAUCAGGUAAGCAGAAGUUUCUUGGUUUUGGUUUGACCCAUAAUUGGGUGAAGCGAAGUAUCUUUUGGGAGCUUCCUUAUUGGAAGACCAAUCUUCUCCACCAUAACCUUGACGUCAUGCACAUUGAAAAGAACGUGUUUGUGAACAUUUUCAACACCGUCAUGGAUGUGAAGGGGAAGACAAAGGACAACAUCAAGGCUAGAUUGGAUGUAGCGUUGUUCUGUAACCGUAAAAAUAUGGAGUUGGUUUGUGAUGGGUCACAGGUCGCAAAACCAAGAGCAAGCUUCGUGUUAGAUAAAAACGCACAACUACUAGUCUAUAAAUGGCUUAAGAGUCUGCGUUUCCCCGAUGGACAUGCCUCGAACAUAUCAAGGCUGGUUAAUACGGAGGAAUGUAGAUUAUAUGGAAUGAAGAGUCAUGACUGCCAUGUGUUUAUGCAAACACUCAUCCCACCAAAGGGGAUAUGGGAUGCACUAACGGAGAUCAGUCAUUUCUUCAGAGAUAUAUGCUCCAGCAAGUUGAAUGUUGAUCACGUUGAAAGGCUUGAAAUGAAUAUCGUCGAGACAUUAUGCAAACUUGAGAUGAUAUUCCCUCCAUCAUUUUUUGACUCAAUGGAGCAUCUUCCUAUACAUUUACCGUUUGAGGUAAAAGUUGGAGGAUCGGUCCAGUACAGAUGGAUGUAUCCAUUCGAGAGGUUAGAUAUUACAAUUGCUAUGUAAUUCAUAAUUAAACGUUUUUUUUUUGUUUUUUUAAUUGAUAAUUUUUUAUUAAUUCUAUCUAUUUAUAUAUAUGCAAGUACUUGUUCAAUCUUAAAAAAAAAGUUGAGAACAAGGCGCAUGUUGAGGUGUCAAUAUGUGAGGCCUAUAUUGUUGAGGGGAUCUUAACAUUUAUCUCAUACUAUUUCGAACCUCAUUUGAGAUCGAGGAUCAACCGUGUUCCACGACAUGAUGAUGGUGGUGAGGUGCCUUCAAGUGGGAACUUGUCAAUAUUCUCCAAUCCUGGACGACCAACACCUAAAAAUGCCGUGAGGGGAAGAUAUUUGUCUGAAAUAGAGUUCAGACAAGCACACAAUUAUGUCCUAUUUAACUGUGAUGAGCUGAGACCUUUUAUUAAGUAAGUAGAUGUUCGACUUAAACUUUGUCAAGAGUGUACUAUUUAUGUUUUGUGAUACCAUAAACUCAUAUAAUUUGGAACAACCUUGCAGGCAACAUCGACGAUACUUACUGUUCAAUAACUCACAGUUGACCGAAUCCCAGAUCUUUCAAUUACAAGAUGAACAAUUUGUCACGUGGUUUAGAACACAUGUAAGUCCUAUCACAAACUCAUUAUCUCUUGCAAAACUGUAUGUCAAUAUUACAUAAUAUUCAUUUAUUGAUUAUUGUUGUAUUUAAUAUACAAGGUUUAUCAAAUGGGAGGUAGUGCUGCUAUUUCACUGUCUUUACUAAGCCUGGGCCCUGAAAGAAAAGUCAAGUGCUAUAACGGGUAUUUUGUCAAUGGAUAUGUCUUUCAUAUUGAAGAAUACGGGCAUGGAAGAAAGACAUACAACAACAGUGUUUGUAUUAUGGGAUCGACUUUUAGUGAGUUUGAAGUUGACUACUAAGGUAGAUUGGAAGACGUCAUCGAACUACAAUAUCAUAGCGAGCAGAAUAUAGUGUUUUUAUUCAAAUGCUAUUGGUAUGACACAACUGACAAAGGAAUCAGAGUAGAUCCUCACUAUGCAGGUGAUUACCCGUCGGCUGACAUCUCCUCGCGCGCCUAGCACCAGCCAAACUGCCUCAAUCUGAACAUGCACCCAAGGUUGUCAAUUCCGUUUCGGUAGGUGUUUUGUUUUUUCAAUUGGAAUGGAAUGUUUUAGUUUCGGAGUGUUUCGGCGUGCCGUUUUGGGGUUGUACUGUUCAUAUAUAUAUAUAUAUUCAACAAACAUAAUUCAAAUUCAAGAUAAAUUAAUUAUAAAUUAUGCAAUACAAACACAAUGUCAAACAAAUAUAAUUUCAAAAUUUAAAAUAUUUCUAAAUAGUCAAGAUUAAAUAGAUCUUUAACUUAAAGUAAUUCAACUUAAACAAAAUAUCAAAAUAUUAUGAAAGUAAAAUGUUUUAACACAAAUAUUUUAAAUAUAAAGUUAGGUCGAUGUUAUCAAGGCUAAUGGAAUCUAAAACAUCCCUUGUUUUGCUCAAAUUCCUACAAAGUAUAAACAUGAAAAAAACAACAUGAAUAUAAACCAUAUAUAUUAGUAAUAAAUCUAAUUUUUAAAAAUUAAUAUCAUUGUUAAUGAAAAUAGUAAUAAUAAUUUUCAAUAUUAUUAUUAAUAUAAUUGUUAUUGAAAAUAGUAAUGAAAAAUAGCUUUUUAUAAUUGGGUGAUUUAAUUAAUUAAAUUGAACAAGGUUCAAUUUGAUUCAAUGGCUUUUCAAGAGCGGAACGGAACAUGUGGAAUGAAACCGGAACGUUCCGGGUGGAAUUUAGCCGAAAAAUCCAGAACGGACCGAGAUUUAAAAUGAGAUGAAAUUUGUUUUGUUUUUUGAAUUGGUAUGUAAUAUUUCGGCCAUUCCGAGCGAAAUGGAACAGAAUUGACAACCUUGCAUGCACCAGACAAAGUCGAUGAAAAGACGCCAGAGAGCCUCAACAGGCGAGAAGAAAGCGCAGGAAGAAACGCGAAAAACAGAGAGGGAGCGCGGUAAAGACUGUGAAGCCACAGGAUUCACACACAGUGCUAAUGAGCACUCUUAGUUUUAUAUAUAUAUAUAUAUAUAUAUAUAUAUAUAUAUUGAUAAUUAUAAUUCCCUUAGUUUUAGUUUGUUAGUAAUGAACAGUGAAGCAGCUCAAGAAUACAAUUCUUUUAGUUUGUUAGCGAAUCUGGAAAAGAAUAAAGUCAUCUGUCAAGCUCUGUUCACUUUGGUCCGACAUUCCUCCUCUCCCCACCUGAGCUCUCUCUUUUUUCCUCCUCCGCUCUCGGAAACCGCAGCCGCCCGCCCCCUCAACCAAUAAGGCUUCAAAUCUCCACCAGGUGCUUCCUUUUCUAUUAUGUUUUUUUUUUUAAAAAAAGAUUUAUGUUUGCGUUUUCAUUUAUUUAAAUGAAAUUACUAUACAGAGAGAGAAAUUUUAUUUUAAUAUAUUAGAGGAUGAAUCAUCACCUCCCCACGUCACUAAAGAGAAGGAUGGCAUGGUUACCUGAAUUCUGUUACUCUGUUACUUAUUAUUUGUUGCUUCUGUAAUGAGCUGUACAUAAAGGGUAAUGUUGACAUUGCAUGGGAUAAGUUAGUUAGAAUAUUCUUUGCUUGCUGUAUAUAAUUGGACGAGCUGCAUCAUUCAAUAGACAUGAGGAAUUUCUCUCUGCAAUUCUGUUUUCCUCUAUUUCACAUUCUUUUGUUUCAUAAUAAGUAAAUUAAAAAGAUAUAUAAUCAGACCCGAUGAAAUCGCUGCUCGUGAACGCAACUCGAAGAAAGGCGCAAUCAGCAUUUAGUAUGGUCAAGGUUAUUGUGUUGUCUAUUCAAAGCAAGAUGUGCCUGUAAAUUUGUUAAGUUGAUUCUUAUCAGUCUGCUUUUUAGAGUUGAUGAUAACAUGAAAUAUUCAUUGUUAAUGCUCGUUGUUUUCUUCUUCUUUUUUCCUAGAUUAAAACAUCCUAGACAAUCUCUUUGGGAUGGUUUAGUGUUUCUGGUCUCUUCAUCUUCUAUUUGUACUGUGGUAUUUAGUCUGCUGAUAUUCAUUGGGGGAUUGAAAAGCCUCGUUUUAUGACUUUGUUUUGUUUUCUUGUUAUUUCUUUAUUCUUUUGGGAAUGUGGUAUUUUCCUCUUUCUAUUUACACUAUUUGCUCCCUACAAUAUUUUUUCUUUCAGAGAAGUAAAUAUAUACAUAAAUAACAAGAACAGGAGGGGAAGGGGAGGGGAGUUUGACAGUAGUAUUUGCUUAGAAGGGAAUGCUUCUUUGGUUUAGAAGCACUAUGAAGAUUCAGGCCGAAAUCUUUGCUUAGAAUGGCCGAAUACCCUGGAUCUUGACUGGUUGUGUAUAUUUGUUAUGCAUCCAUAUUUGGCUGAAUUCUUUAAUAAAGUACAUGAUAUUAGACGGAAGUUCUUUUUAAAUCUAUUCAAGUCUGAAUAAACUGAUAUUACAUUUUUCAUGAUCUUGAUGUGCUUUUACUCUUCUUGCCGUUCCUGACUUUCUUUUUAGGGUCUAUUUUUACUUGCAAUAUGUUUUUUUUUCUUUUUGGUUGGCCCACUGUCUCAGGCGGAGAACCUGACUCACGGAAAAGAAUAGUUGACAAAAUGUAAGUAUUUGUUUUCUAAUAUGUGCAAGUACUGCAAAAUAGCAAAUUUUUUAUUUAUAUGAAAGAAAAGGAGAAGGGCAAAAGGUUAAUUAAAAUCAGCAGGAUUGCCAUGAGGCAACCUCAAGUGUCACGCACCUCUUUUUUUGUUUUUUUUUUCCAUCUUCUCAUGUGUUUCUCACAAGAAGCAAACUUGAGGGAACAUAAAGUGCUGGGAAGUAAUUUUUGUAGGAACUUCUUGUGUAAUCUCUUGUUUCGAUGAUGACCUCUUGGAUGGCUGCACGAAGCUUGUUCCGCUUUAAAUUUCAAGGUUAAUCUAUUGCUAUGAGCAUACGUGUUUCGAGUUGCAACUGAACUUAAAUGAAUGGUGUUGGAUUUGGGCCUUCUAUUUGUUUUAACUUCUAUAGGGUUGAAAUGAUAGUGAUCUUAAAGUAGAAAAGCAGCAGACAAAAAUCAAUUAGCCACAAUGGUGUAUGAUUUCCAAGUUUCUCAGCAUAAAGUUGAAUGUUUUGUUGACCUCUCUACAUUCAAAAUCAUAUAGACAGCUACUCCUGGCACUUGUAGUGGCUAAUGAUUACUGUAGAGUAUAUAUUACAGUGUGAGAUAAGGUUAACUCGUUGCAUUUUCAUAAAUUGAAAGGAUUUCUCUUCUUUUCAAUGUCAAUUACAGCACAUGCAUAGAAGUGCUCUUGCUCAUAGUAAAUGCUAUUGUAAUGUUUUCAUAGAGACUCCCCUGGUUUGCAACUAAUUCACUUAUAUAUCUUGGAACAUAGCCAUAAAUGAAAGGUUCUUCCAGUUCAAGAAAAUUAACCAUGAAGCUAGUAGCUAGAAUUUUUAGAUAGAAGGGUGGCCAAGUAAACUCCUAUACUCUGUACCUCUAGAGGAAGUAAAAAUAUAUGUCUAUGUAUUUUGAUGCCGUAUAUUACUUGACCGACACUUGUUUAUGUCAUUAUUUGUUUUUACUUUUUGCUAGUGAUUCCACACAUUUCUGAUAUUGAUGUGGUUUAUAAGUUCAGGGUUUUUGUUCGCUGCUAUUAACUUCUCUAUACUUGCCUGGUCAUUAAAAAUGAAACGUAAUGAUUUACAUGUGUAGAAUGGAUACAUUAAAGAGGCAUCUUCUGUUUUCUGGUCAGGAGGGAUUACAAGAACUCAAGAAAAUUGUCAUACGGCUUGAGGAAAAGAUUUAUACUACCGCCACCAAUCAGGUAUUUGCCUAAUGCGAGGUUCGAUAAUUACGAUAUUCUCUAGACAUGAAUAUACACACGCAUGUACAAAUGUGUGUGUAGUGUGCCUACACUUCCUCACUGUUUAUUCUCUAGACAUGAAUAUACACACGCAUGUACAAGUGUUUUAUUUAGAGUGACCAAGUUCAAGUAGAGGGGAAGUGCGCAAAAAGCAAAUAGUGAAUCAAUACAUGAAUAAUUAAGUUAAAAGAGAGGAAACAGAAGUAUAUCCUCACAAAAGAUGAAAUGAUAGAGCAUAUAUCAAUUUUCCCCCUUCUCUUGUAACAUGGAUUGCUCUGAGAGCUAAUGUUUUGUUAUUGAUAUCUGAUUUCAGUCUGAUUAUCUGUGUAAAAUAUCUCUGGAGAUUUUUUCGAUGGAGAUCGGGUCUCAAAACGCCAUGCCCACUGCCCCCAUGGAUCUAGAAGGUAAUAAUGCAGCCAAGCAUUGGAUUUCUAAACAUCUUACCUUUUCUUUUUCUUUUCGCAUUGUUAUCAAACUCUCUUACAUUUUAUUGCUGCAUAUUGCUAUAUAUUUCGCCUUGCUGGAAAAAUCUCAUGAUCACCUUCAUGAUGCUAAUUCUGUAAUGCAUGUGAAGUGUUUCAUCCUUAACUUGUUAAGGAACAAGGACUGUGAUGCAUGGCUAUUUUAUAUUUUAUGAUUGAGAUGGUAGAUUUUAAAGAUUUUCCUGUUUAGGAGAUAAGACGUCACUUUCUUGCUUUUCUUCCGAGAGAGUAUUUGAUCCUUUUUUCGUAUAAAAUAAUGUUGCCAUGCAUUGAAUUUCCAAAUAUCUUACCUUAUGUUUUUUUUGUCGCAUUGUUAUCAAACUCUUUUACAUUUUAUUGCGGCAUAUUGCUAUAUGUAUGGCAUGCUUUAAUCAAAAAGUUGAGUAAUCGAUGAAUGUUAGGCAAGAAAAUUACUGAUUAUUUUUGUUUUCUGCCUCCUUUUCUUUCUCCCACCCUGAAAAUUGUCAUAUUAUUUUUGUUUUCAGCCGCCUCUUCUUCCCCCAACCCUGAAAAUUGUCAGAGGACACUUUUAUGCUUUGAAUCAAAUCCAUCCUAAUUCUUUCACUCAUAACUUUAUAUGUGAACUGCCGAUGUUUCAUUUGUCUUCCUUGUUCAGUGCCUUCUUUUUUUCUUUGACAUGGUUUUCCUUUUUGCCUUUUAUCUUGAACAGCAUCCCAUAGUAUCCCCACUCAAGUUCAGAAUCAUGGGUUGUUUCUCCCUAUCCUAUUGUCCACUGAUCAGUCUCAAGCACGCCAGCAGUUGUUAUCACAGAACAUGCAGAAAUGCAUGGCAUUUAAUGGAGUUCAAAUUUCUGCUGGUUUACAAGCGGCACUACCUCCUGUAUCCGGUGUAACCCAGACUAUCCCCAACACUAUUGUCCAGAAUCCUAACAUGCAGAGUAUUCCUGGUGUUUCACAAAACUCUGUGGGGAAUUCAAUGGGACAAGGGAUUCCCUCCACUAUGUUUGCCAAUUCUUAGAGACAAAUGCCAGGUAAUGCUCUUUUUGGUAGCUUUAUGUGCCGCUGCUGCCACUUAUGGCAUUAGAAAUGCCACUGCUAUUGGAACUAUUGCAAUCACACAUGCAUUUUCCACCACACGAUGCCCUCCAGUGCGCUGCACCAACUUUUCACCUGUCAUAAUCGUUCUAGUCAGCAAUGCUCUUUUGGGUAGCUUUAUGUGCUACUACUGCCACAUAUGGCAUUAGUAAUGCCACUGCUAUUGAAAGUAUUGCAAUCACGCGCGCAUUUGUGACCACAUCAUACCCUCCAGUGCAUUGCACCAGCUGUUCACCUCUCAUUCUGGAUUUAUAGGGUCUGUCCAUCUGUUUGAAUGAUUACAUAACGUUUAGAUGGAGUUCCUAGUACUCCUAGUCCAAAAAGGACUUGUAUAGGUGAUGUAACCAUAUUAUUUGAUAGUUUCACCCAUAUUGAACUAGUGUUUAGCCUAUGUUAUAUAUAUAAAAUGCCUUGAUAUUCUUUGUUUUAUGUUUUGAAGGCACCUUUAGAUGAAAGAUGCAAAAAGGAGUAAAUUGAAGAUAAUUGGCAGAUUUGACCCUCAGUCGAUGUUUUGUGUAGAGCGUGAGCUCUAGAAGUCGAAAUGAAGUGAUUCUAGUGGCAUUAGAAAGCUAACAUCCAUACCUUUCUGGAAAUCUAAGUCAAGAAAAAUAAAAAUACAAAGAGCAUGGAAAUCACAUCCUUCAAAGUCAAAACUCGCAUUCUGCCAGUGUUGACCUUUGUCCAUUCAAAAUUCAAUAUCUGGAGCUGUAGAUAUCCAAUUGAUGCAAACUCAAUUGUUUUGGAUUCCUGACUCCAAAGGUCUAUAAACGCUUCAAAUUUCAGCCAAAAACGAUGUCAUAUGAGGGAGAUAUGAUUUUUCAAAAAUGACAACUGAAUUCUGCCAGCAAACAGGUUUCGUAAAGAAACGAAUCCAAAUUACAUCCCGAAGCAUCAAAACCGACAUCCAAGUUUUAAUUUCAGCAAUUUAGCUCCUCAAGUAAAUCAAUCCAGAAGGUCAAGGAAGGCAGCCACCAACCUCAAGCCACCAACCUCAAACCACCAACCACAAACCAGCUGCCAACCACCAGCCACCAGCUGCCUUCACACUACCACCAUCUCUUGAUGUUCACACUUGAACUUUGAUUUUUCUUACUUACAAUUUGUGUAUAAAUAGGCAGCUAAGUUCAUGAUAUUAGGAGAGCCAGGAGAGAGCCAAGAGAGAGCCAAGAGAGAGGGAGAGGGAGUGCAGUAGAAUCAAAGAAAGAAGGGUGGCAGCCAUAAGAGAAGAAACACAAACUCUCCCCUCUACAAAUCAGAAAUCAUGUAUUCUUUCAUCUUUAGGAGUAGUUGUUCAAUAGAUAUGCAAGGCUAAGCUCGUUUUCUUGGUUGCAAGGACGCAAACACCUUCAGAUUUCAAGAACUGUGAGAUUUAUUCUUCCAUUUAUUUUUGGUUUGUAUUAUGAAUAAGUAUGUUUGUUUUCCUAUGCAUAUUUCCUAUGAUUGUUUAUUUUAAUUGCUAGAGCGGACUCUAAGUUAUUAUUGUGAACAAUCUAUUGCUAAGUUUGAUAUCAAAACCGGAGUUGUGGUAUAUAAACUUGUGAAGCAACUAAGCUUGGUAAUUGUAGCGGAACUACGUUAUUAAACUUAGGGAGAACAUUCGAUCAAAGCAACACAAGCUGACAACUUGGUUGUUAAGAUUAAUGAAUUUAUCUAGAUCUUAAAGCUGCCAUUGGAUUAAAUCAUUAGUGCGGACACUGUGAUUGUUUGUUGGUUAGGGCUAGUUAUACGGCGGAUCCGUUAAUUAACCAAUGUUAAGAAAAUAUAAAAAUUCAGAAUAUAAACUAGAGUUUCGUUUCAAAGAUCGGUUCUGAUUUCUGUAGGUGGAUGUGUGCUUGCGACCAAGGUUUGUUUUCUUGAUAUAUUUCAGUUUCAAUUGAUUUUGUUUGUUAGUUUAAUUUCUACCAUAGUUUAGAUCAUUGCAAAUCAACCCCCCCCCAAAUUACAUAACGUAUAGCAUAAAAAUCUGAACUAAACCUUCCUCGUGGGAUCGACCCCUUGCUUGCUCUAUACUAUCUUGUGUGUUUUAAGCUAGGGUAAUUAAUUUGUGCGACCGCGACAUCGCAACAGUAGAAAAAUACUAAUAGUCCUAUCUAGAAUAGGAAAAACCUAAUGAAGCUCGCUAUACUUUGGGAUAAUAAAAUACUAAAUGGAAAAUAAAACUGAGACUUGCAAUAUUCCAUAAUUUUCAGCAAGUACAAAAAUUACAAAAAUACCCUUGUAUAUGGAAAACACACAAAAAUACAUGAAUUCUAAUCUUUUGUUGCCCGCAUUGAAAGUUUUGUAGCAUCCCUAGAUUCUACAGCACAGAGUGGACAUGCAAAAGGCGCUGAUUGGCAAGAGGAGAUCUAUCAGAAGGUAAUUUCUGCGAUUUACUGUUCAUUAGAUGGAGUUCAUGCAUGCCAUAGUCCUGCAAGAUUUCAAUGAGUCCUAUUGUCAUUACUUCUUACUGCAUUAGACAGACUUAAAAAUAAGAGUGCACUAUAUCUGAAUGACAUAUAGUUUAUCUUUGGUUAAGUGAAAAGUUAUUUGCUUGAUUGCAAUCAAUUCGUUCUGAAACACUUGGCAAUGGAAGAAAAAAGAAAAUAAGUGGACCUAUUCCAUUGAAUCAUGACCAUAUCCAGUAUUGUUGAAUUUUAUAGAAAAUGAGGUUGAAAUUCUGAAUGUCUCAAGUCAUAACUGCAUAUUUGAUAAGGACUUUUUUUUAGGUGCCUAGGAUCUAAGGCUAAGAAGCGUUGCUAAAGUUGUGACAUCCAUUGACUUGAUCUAGAACAGCAGAAAACAGUGAGGAGUAGUUUGCAGUGAGACAAAGUAACUGAACUUAAACAACUCCUGAAUCUUGUCUGAAGGUUCAGUUACACAGUCCUUUGCAUCUUUCCAUUCCAUCAAUAUCGACAUCCUCUUGAGUUUCCAGCAUUAAUUCCACUCUGCUAUUUUUAUCUCAACUAAUUUAUCCUGUCCUCUGCCCCCUUUUUUUUUAUCAAUUCUCUUAAGUUUGUUUGUGUUACUUUCUUUCUGACUGGCACCUGAAGAAAUCAAGCAUAUGACUGAUAAUGUUUUCCUGGUUAUUUGUACAUCCUAGAUCAAAGUCAUGAAGGAGACUUAUUUCCAUUAAAUAAAUGAAAUGUACUAGAGAAUUGCUGCCAAGUUACAGCAGGUAAACUGUCUCUGCAAUUUCUUCCGGAUUAUCUGCCCAUGCAUGAUUAUCUGCAAUUUCCCCACGUUGAGCUUCUGUAUUAAUUUGUUUUCCUCAUCAGCAUUGCUUGUCACUAUUUCAUUUGCACUAAUCACCUACCCCUCCCCCCAACUGCCCCAUAACCAUGCAUCGACACAGAAGAAUGGGAAUAGAAACAUUUUUUUUCACUAAUGUUUUGCUACAAAGGAUUAAUGCAAUUUUUAAUUCUCAUGUAUGUUAACUUUGCUUUCCAGCUUGACUCUCAUCCGCAACAACCGAAGUCAGAACAACUUGAAAAGCUGGAGGUAUUCAAGGCCAUGUUGGAGCGCUUGAUAACAUUCUUACAGGUCUCUAAAAACAACAUCACACCUAGUUUCAAGGAGAAAUUGGGUUCCUAUGAGAAGCAGAUUGUAAGUUUUCUAAACCCAAGCAGAUUCAAGAGCCCUAUUCCUAAUCUACAGCUAGGACAACUUCCCCAGCCUCCAGUUCCUCAAUUGCAGUCCCAUGAAAAUCAACUGAAUCCCCAGUUGCAAACAAUGAAUGUUCACAGUUCUAUACCAACGAUGCAGCAGAUCAAUAUGUCAAGAUUGCAGCAUGGUUCUCUUUCAUCUUUAUCUAGGUUUCUAUGUCGCAGCCAAACACGAUGAUGCGGGACGAGAAGUUUUAAAAAAAGAAAAGGGGGAAGAGAGAAUGAUGAGGAUAUUGUAGCAAAAUAUUUCACCAUUGACAUAUGUCACAGCCAUAUUGGAGAGAAUGAUUACUGUCUUACGAUCUUCUUAAAACAUGGGUAAACAUGGGUUUGAGGUUGUCAUGUUGAAUCAUCUUUUUACGGUCUGGGACAUCAAACAUAACCUUCUAAUGACUACCAUUCAUGUUUGCGCAAUCAAACAUCAGCUUUGACAAUCACUCUUUCUCGACUUGGCGAAAAUGUUUUUCCUCUUCCAUUGUCCCUGAUGUAAUGAGAUGUUUUUCCUCUUAGCCUAGCCUUCAUGGCUUGCUUUUCUACUGAUGUGUUCCACAUAACUUCAAGAAAAACCACCCUUGAAGCACCAAAAUAUUCAUUCCUUCAUAACAAGUCCUGGUUGAUAUGAGCAGCACUUUUACCUUGCUACUUGCAUUGUUAAAUGUUUAAUCAAUGUUUGAUGUUUAUCUACUUUAAGCUUUCUAUGAAUAUAUAAUAUAUCUUCUCCUUUGAUCUAACUAGAUUUUUUAAAACACAAGGCAGAUUUUUAUGAUUUUCUUUCUUUUGGUCAUUAAAUUUUCUUAAAAGGGGCUUUGGUUUGAUUCCUACAAGCUGCGGGCAAAUCUUCAGCGUUUCGACAGACAGCCUCAUGAGCAAAAGAAAGGCAAUAUGCGACCACUCCAAGCUUCUCGUUGCUCCCCUGUGUUGGGAAUUCCGACCGGGGAUGUACUGAUAAUUGCUCAACGGAGGGAUAGCAUACUGGCACACAAUAUUUUACGUGGUUCGGCAAAUCCGCCUACAUCCACGGGAGAGAGUCAUUGUAUUAGAGAUAGAGAAAGGGUUACAAUAAAUACAUGGAGGAGGAUCACUCAACUCUCAGCUCACACACUCUGCUGCAUAUGGCAGCAGGGCUGCUGCCCAUGGCAGCAGCUCCUCUUUCUCUUCUUCUCUUCACGUUCUCACACACUUGCACUUCUCACACUUUGCUUCUCUAAUGUAGGCCUCUAUUUAUAGGCAUUCAUGGCAGCUCCUCCAACUCUUUUGUCAACAAUGGUGGCUGCCAAACUCCAGCUCAUUCAACAAUGGUGGCUGCCAACCUUUGACAUCUUGGAUGGGUGCACAUGCAAUGGCAACAACCCAACAAUCACCCCCUUUGCCAUUCAUGUGGGGCAACUGUCCUCUUGCUUCUUCAGCACAGGCUUGCAUCUCUUCCAAGCUUACCAUUUUGAGAGCAUCUUCGGCCAAGUUUACAUGGUACUUGCCAAACCUUACCAUCACCAGAGUCACCAAAGCACACCUUUUCUCACACAAAAGGAUCACUACAACCAGAUGGUCUGCCACUUCACAUCUGAAGAGUGUUAACGCUUGUCUCUGGGACACAACAUUCCCCUUCGAGCGUAUCAACCAUGCUCGGUCCGGAAUGAUUCAUCAAGCCUCACAUCAAGGCUUACAACACCCCCUCAAACAGAAAUUACCAUUUCCAAGUGCGACAAUCAUUAUCUGAGUAUCUUAAUAUGAUCACGAGCUCACCACUCUUCCAAGAGUCUACUCAUCCAGGAGUUGCGCCUGCCCUCUGUUCCACCCUAGGAACCACGUCUUACUUCUCCGUGAGUCUCUCGCUCUUAGUCUCAAGAGUCCAGGUAGCUCUCCACCUUUAACCAUGGGGGCAGCCCAUAAAGGUUGAUCCAUAUCUAUCUUCAUACUCUGAGUAUUACAAUGCCAUUACCGAGCUCACCACCUUGACAAGAGUCAACUCGUUCUCGGAACCUGCGCAUGCCCUUCUGCUUCUUCAUAGCAGCCGCGUCUUAAUGCUCCACAAGUCACACACUUAUUAUCCAAGGCAAAUGUCUUCUAGCUCAUUGAUCUUUAGCAUGGGGGCAAUAUCCAUGAAAGUCAAUCCUGCAUUUGUCUCCAUACUCAUCAUAGCCACUUCAUUGGCUAUACACCUGUCCACUCAUAUCUAGCCAUUACAUUGGCUCUGGGGUUGUUCUGAACUUGGGCUCCUAUCGUGGCCCAUACACCUUCUCUAAGGUGUCUUCGCUCGUCGUCAUGCGGCGGUCUGAAAUGGGGCUUCUAUCGCGGCCCUCACACCUUCUCUAAGGUGUCUUCACCCGUUGUCAUGAGGCGGUCGCAUCCUCCUUUAGCUGAGAUGCUUUACUUUAAAGUGGCUUCAAAAUUCUCUACCACCAUGUGGACUAUGGGAGAGAUUACUGCCACUGAUUACAUAGAAAGAGAAAGUUGCGGUAUACUCCUCGCAAUCCUCCACCUCGAUUUCUAUGUUUGGAGCUUCUACGCCUUUCUGCUUGACAGCUCCACCUACACCAACUCUCUUUGGUGUCUUCGCCUUUCAUCAUAGGCGGUUGCACCCCCUCAAUUAGGUGCUUCUACAACAGCUCUCUUUCCAUUCUUGCAUGAAUUGGAAAGGUCUUCGCCUAUUGUCUUCAUCAAGAGCACAAGAGACUUCCUGUUGUACAACCUUUAACAAUCUCUGCUCUGAGCUUCAUCUGAGAACACUUCUUCUCCUUGCACCUGUUGUCUCAUUGCAGUACCUCAUUGGAUCCUACGAGUACUCCUGAACAAUUUUCGUGUGCCCUCGUGCAAUUUCUGUUCUCCAGAUUUCUCCCUAUUCCUUGCUUAUGUUUGACAGCAGCUCAUCCUGUCACAACACCUGUCCAAGUCAAAAUAGGGUGCCAAUCUUUUAUCCCCUUGCUGUAUUUCUCUUCCAUUAUCAGGGUCUUCAUCAAUUCUCCCUUCGAGAAAUCACAGUCACCGAAUCUAACUUCUUUGGAGAAAUCACCACUUCAUCAGAUCCUUGAUCAUACGGAACCCAACUGUUCCCUUGUGCCGUCAUCCUGCUAGUCUUCAACCGUUUCAUUACAAACUGCUAUAUAUACGAAAAUAGUACCGUAUGGAUAAUCCUUCCACUAAGCAAGUUCCCAGGAAAGAUUGGAGGGGUCACACUGGUCCCGCUUAAAACCCAACCUCCUAGACAGAACUUCUUAGGCCAUAUCUAUCCAUCGUACUGUCUUUCCGUAUAUACAACCAUUUGCUAGCUUUGUUGCGGCUUUCCUUUACAAGUGAUCUGGAAUAUACUGGUUUAAUACAUCAUUUCUCAAUAUCUGGCGAGACUACCAGUUCUUAGAUUCGUCAAGAUUGGUCUUUGUCAAUUUCCACUCAACACCUCUAAUUGUCCACUUGAUCAGGUCUCCAGAGUGUCCCAAUUUUGCCUUCCUUCAAGGCAGUUAAAAUUCUGCCCACUUAGCAGUUUAGCACAUGUAAUUGGGUAAACAUGUGCACCUUCUUUCUCUUCAUCUCCAUCGACCACCAUGAUGACCUUCAGAUGCCUCCUGAUCGGGCAAUCUUUUUUGUUAAUUCACCACUGCCAUUUUUGGUCUCAAAUAUCAACGAUCGGACCGUACCAUUGCAUCCGGAACGCUCAAAUUAGUUGGAAACAAGUCUGAAAUCGUCCAAAUCGCACUUCAAACGGCUAAGAUUUGAUCAAAAUAAUUCUGGCCUGAUCAACGGCUCAGAUUCAAUAUCAGAUCCGGUUGCACGUAGGAUCAGCUACACUGGAUCCUGUCCCUCGGCUCGCGGCUCGGCUCGGCUCCAAAACGGCUCAGCGCGGCUCAACUCUGCUCGGCUCCGCUCGGCUUGCGUCUGGUGACGUGGCAGGUGGGACCCCUAUGCUGACGUGUCAUGCUGACUGGACGCUUACGUGGCAUGCUGACUGGACGCUUACGUGGCAUGCUGACUGGGUAUACUAGCGUCAUGAUGACGUCAUCCUUAUCCGGGUCUGGCGCGUGGGUCGGGUCGGGUCAGGUCAUUCGGGUGAGGAAGACGCGUGUGACGCGUGGCGCGCGUGGCCAGCCACCCUGACGGCGCGUGACGGCGCGUGUGGGCGUUUCCGACGUCCGAUUUCGACGCGGUUUUCAACAGUGGCUUCGUCUCUUCCUCCUUUACACAGUGGUAUGGUCAAAACACAAUUUUGACAACUUUCAUUUUUGAGCAAAAUCAAACACCCCUUUAAACCAUGUGCUCUGAUACCAAUUGUUGGGAAUUCCGACCGGGGAUGUACUGAUAAUUGCUCAACGGAGGGAUAGCAUACUGGCACACAAUAUUUUACGUGGUUCGGCAAAUCCGCCUACAUCCACGGGAGAGAGUCAUUGUAUUAGAGAUAGAGAAAGGGUUACAAUAAAUACAUGGAGGAGGAUCACUCAACUCUCAGCUCACACACUCUGCUGCAUAUGGCAACAGGGCUGCUGCCCAUGGCAGCAGCUCCUCUUUCUCUUCUUCUCUUCACGUUCUCACACACUUGCACUUCUCACACUUUGCUUCUCUAAUGUAGGCCUUUAUUUAUAGGCAUUCAUGGCAGCUCCUCCAACUCUUUUGUCAACAAUGGUGGCUGCCAAACUCCAGCUCAUUCAACAAUGGUGGCUGCCAACCUUUGACAUCUUGGAUGGGUGCACAUGCAAUGGCAACAACCCAACACCCUGUUCUGAUUAGAAACAGAGAUUCAAGAAGCUAUGCUACUGUCCUGAGACAAGAGUUCCAAUGAAAUCGACUGUAAGUUCCCAAGACACUCUUUUUCCAAAAAAUCAUUCCUCUGUUUUGCAUAAAGUGAUCCAUGAAUCUGUAGAAGAGGAAGCUGUAUGGUUACGAUAUAGUCUUAGUGGGUCAAUUAAAGAGGGUGUGAAUUAACAUAGGCCCAGUUUCACUAUGCUAUAGAGACAUUGAAGAUAAAGCAGGAAAAGGAAAAGAAGCCUCAAUCGCUCAAAUUAUGAUGGGUGCAGAAGCAGAGGAAUGGCUUAGAGUGCAUAGAGAUCAUGUUAAAAAAAGUGAAGUUGUAGAGAAGGCAAUCACUCAAAUUAUGAUGGGUGAAGAAGCAGAGGAAAGAGCAAAGAAGCUAGCAGAAAGGAGAAAUGGCCAGGAAGGCUGUUGAAGAAGGUGGAUCUUCUUGCUCCAAUUUCAAUGCUUUGAUUGAAUAACUGAGGUGGGGUAGCCCUUGAAAUAGAGGCAUAGAAUAUUUUGUUUCUACUUAGUAGUGGUUUUGGCAAUUUAUUUUCAAACAAGUCUUGAGAAUUGAAAGAGUAAUCAUAGCCGAGUCAAUGACCAAUCCAAAUCAGUUCCCUUCCUAAUGGUUCAGGAAUGACAAGUCCUGCUUAUUUAGCACAAAUAACUAAUCAAAUUGAGAGGCUGAGCUUAGAGACAGUACACUACAAAUGAAGCACCCAAUAGCUAGACAUACAGGACAAACAAUCAUCAAAAACUAGGAACGACCAUCUUCCUAGUAACAAAUUCACCUUCUGAAGUUGGAGAACUUGCGAUAACUAGCCACCACAAAAUAGUAGCAAGUACCUAUGCAGUCUUCGAUGAAGUACAACCACCUGCGUCGCCAAUAUGGAUUGAUGUAGAGAACUGCUGCAAUCGCCAUCACCACAACUGUGUAACAUACACCGAAACUGAUGUAGAAGAACUCCAUGUCUAUGAAACCAUCAUCUCCUUGUUCAUCAUUAGGCACUGGCUGCGACGGCACUGCUUCCUCGCUACAAUUGUUUCGCAAUGGAGGUCCACACAAGAAAGGAUUUCCUUCGUAACAACUUUCAUCGAAGGUCCCAAACUGAUAUUUUCUCUCGGGUGUCUUACCUGACAAGUUAUUGUGCGCCACACUAAAAACUUCUAGUGUGGUAAUUUCAGUAAGUUGUGGAGGGAUGACACCAUUCAAGUUGUUGUAAGAAAGAUCCAAACUCUCAAUCUGCUUUAGGUUUGAGAAUGUUGCAGGGAUAGAUCCAGUGAGAUUGUUGUGUGAUAAGUUUAAUGACAGUAUCUCACUUAACUUUCCAAAUUCUAGUGGGAUUGCUCCUAUUAAGUUGUUAUUGGAGAGAUCAAUACCAUACAUGUAGCUGAGAACUAUCCCUUUGUAACCAUAAGACAUUUUUUUAGUUGUAAAUUCUAUCACUUCUUCUGUAAAGUUAAGCCAAAAAUAAUAUCCCAAGUUGUACACACUAUCCACUAGUGGUGGGCCCAUUGUUUCAUAAUAAGCUUUUUCUAUGGACCUUGAUGGAAAAAUUUCUCCAGGAUCCGCGAAUGCUUUCGGGGAACUUUCCUUGAAGGUAAGAUUCCCCAAACAAGAGGGUAGUGGACCGGAGAGUUGGUUUUGUGAAACAUCCAAAAUGCUUAAUUGUUCUAACAAGCAUAACUGAACAGGGAGCUCACCAUCAAAGUGAUUAGCCCGUAGAAGAAGAACACUCAAUGAUGAAAGAUUGCCAAUCCAAUUUGGAAUGGAGCCGGUGAAGCUGUUAUCUCGAAGAUCCAUCGUAACCAGGGAAGAGCUGUUAUAAAAUCCAUAUGUUAAUGGACCGCUCAAUCUAUUUUUGGAUAGAUGCACAUGGGUUAUUUGUGGUGAAUUGAAACAAGAUGAUAUAUAUCCAGACAAGUUGUUCUCAGAAAGGUCCAAAUAUUCAAGUUGGUCAAACUUACAAAAAAAGCCUCUUGGGAUCGGACCCUUAAAAUGGUUUUUGGACAAAUCAACUAUCUUAAGUUGUGUAGAAUUGACAAACCACCUUGGAAGCAUGCCUGAAAAUUGAUUGUUACUCAAAUCCAAUACACUCCACACUUUCCACCCAUAUAAUGGAAAAUCUGAUAACUGACCCCAAAAGUUGUUACCACUUAGAUAGAGAAAUUCUGAGGUUGAAGAAUUGAACACCGAGGUUGGUAUUUGCCCACUCAAAUUGUUGUUUGACAACUUGAGAAACCAUAUUGUUGUUAGUUGUUCUAGUUUUACUGUGGACAAUUGAUUGUUGGAUAAAUCUAAAAUUUUCAAAGAGCUAAUAUUUCCUAAACAAGAAGGAAUACAACCUGUGAAUCCAUUCUUAGCCAUCCUUAAGCUCAACAGAUUUGGAAAGAUCAAACAAAUAUUUUUUGAAAUUUGACCGUUCAUGUUGUUGUUGGAUAUAUCUAAUUUGGUCAUAUUCGGAUAUGGGUGAUCUUGCAACUUCAAAGCACCAACAAAGGAGUUCUUGCUCAGAUAUAGUUGCUCCAAUCGUGUGUUGUUCUUAAGCAACCAUGAUGGAAACAUUCCGGUGAUGUAGUUGUGGGAGAGAUCAAGGACUCUUAAGUUGUAUUGGUAAUAGAGGAAGUCGGGAAUUUCUACAUUGAAUGCUUCUGUUGUUUUUGACAAGCUAAAAAAGACUAGGUGGAACUUUGGAAUCAAAUUAUCAAUGGCAGCAGGUUCUGUUACUAGUCUGUUGUUCUCACUAGAGAGGCUUGAGUGGUUCAUAAAAGGCUUCAUUGAAGUGGGAACUUCAAAGAGGUUAUUUGAUAAUGAGAGGAAUUUAAGGGAUACAAGGUUGGUAAGAGGACCGGAGGCAAUAUUUUCAGUAAACUGGUUAUCAGAAACAUCUAAUAGUUGUAGAGAUGACAAGUUCCCUAAACAAUCUGGGAGUGAACCUCCAAAAUUAUUUCUAGAGAGAUCUAACUGCUUCAGAUUCUUCAAUUCACACCAACCUAUACAAUUUAUCUCGAAAUAGUCAAAACAAUGUUGAAAGAAUCUUUUAUUAAUGAUGUAAUUAUAGGCCGAUGGAGAGUUGUUAAUUUACCUUGAGCGGGUAGGGUGACAUGGAGGUCACAUUCAGCAACAGACAAAACUUUAAGAGCAGGCAACGCUCCAAUGUUCCGGAGAAAGUUUAUUGGGAGAGAAGUACGAUCUAGAUGCAAUUCUUCAAGGGUGCUAGAAUUGAAGAAAGUCCCUGUGAAAAGAAGAAGAAGAAGAAGAAAGAUAUGAUGAAAAUAGUGGUGGUACAGAAUGGCCAUUCCAUUCAAUAUUAUUAAUUAUGAUUUUAAGAAACUAAACUAUGAUUAACCUUGACUUAAAUUAGUAUCCUUGAGAGAAAGGGUCUUCAGGGAUAUUGGCAAUGACUGCAGGAAUUCCAGUGUCCUUAAACCUAUGAUGUGUAAAAUUGAAAACAUGCAAUCAAGUAAGUAGUGAAAUUAAUUGUUAUCUUGAUCGAGUUUUUAAACCUAUGAUAAAGAAUUGAUAUUGAAUAGUGAGAUGAUUUUUGGAUAUAAACAACAAAUUGCCUGAAAAAUCCAGAGAUUUCACAACUUUACCAUUGACAGUCGUCGAUCCUAGCAACAUAUUGCCUGAUAAAUUUAAAGACUUGAGAGAAGAAAAUCCACGCAGAUGUGAUAAAAUGCUGUCGUUGAAUAUAUUAUAGGUCAGGUCAAGGUUCUCGAGUUUCCCCAAAUGUGAUGAUAUGAUCUCAAAACCUGCAAGAGAGUUGUUUCUAAGAGUAAGUCAUAAUCCAUGUAAGUUCAAAUCCGUUCGUAACUUAAUUCGUUCCUAACUGCCUCUGUAAGAUGCUUAGUUGUCACUAAUUUAGUAAUUAUAAUUUGUUCCGAACUGCCUCUGUUUUAUCCAUGGCAUUAAAGAAUUAUAAACUUUUUCACGUUUUAUUUCUCAAAGUCCAAAUAUUUCACCAUUCACCACGACCAUAAGGCAAUAUAUCCUCCACCGCAGAAUAAUAUUUUGAUUAAAAAGGAGAGGAAAUAAUAAAUGGCUACAAACAAGAAUUAAAUAUCAAAUAUGUGGGUUUUAUGUUGUUCUCUUUAUUGAUAAAACACGAGUGAUUUGUAUUGGAUAGUUUUUUUUGAAUUGAUGUUAAGAUCCAAGUUUUAAUAAUUACAAUUUUCUUAAUUAUAAUAUUCUAGGAGAGAGCUUCCUUAUUAUGUUAUUCAAAACCCAUUCAAACUCAAUUUCAUUAAAAAAAAUACUUAGAGUUGUGUUCGACUAAGUAUCUCAAGACAGAAAAAACAUAUAUAAAAAUAUAUUUAUUUAAAAAGAUAAAUAUAAAAUAUAUAUUUAUAGGAGAGUUUUGAAGUGAACUUCUGAUUGCUAAUUUAAUCUAAAUAUUACAACACUUUUGGCAUAAAAGGGCCAAAAUAAGAAUAAAAUAUAUGCCUCUUUACGUAGAUAUAAAGUCGUCCUCAUUUUUGUUGAUAAAGAAACAAUAUAAUUAAGAGAAUGUCAUGUGAAGCAUUUAGGUAGGUAGAAACUGUAUAUUAUACCUGAUCCUGUCAGCUGAUUGAACGAUAGAUCCAAAGACUUGAGGGAUGAAAGCCCUCUCAGAAUUGAUAAGAUGCUGCUGUUCAAUUGAUUUUCACUCAGGUCAAGGUUCUCUAACUUUCCCAGCCUCAUCGGUUGGAGUUGAAAACCUACAAGAUAUACAUAAAAAAAUAUACAGUGCAUAGAUAAUUAAGGAAGAAGAUAGAUUGCAAGUAAUGUUUUGAUCUCUUUAAUUUCUUCCUGUCUUAUUAGAAAAACAAUUAUUGGAUAAGAUCAAAUCUCCAUAGAUAUAAUUCUUCAAUUUUCUUGAUAAAGAAAAUGUAACAAUUAUUGCGCAAUCAAACAUGAUGAAAGCUAUCGUUGAUAUAUAUAUAUAUAUAUAUAUAUAUAUAUAUAAAGUCCUCAAUUUUCUUGAUAAAGAGAAUGAAACUUACUAUUGAUAGAUCCUGUCAGCUGAUUGGCUGAAAGAUCCAAAGACUUGAGGGAUGAAAAUCCAGUUAGAGAUGGAAAAAUGGUAUCGUUGUAUUGAUUCCACCUUAGAAGAAGGUUCUCCAGCUUUUUCAACCUUGAUGACAAGACUUUGAGACCUGCAUGAUGUUCCUCAAGAGCAUAUUGGAAGGAAAUAAUUAAAUGCGUAGAAAAAAAUGAUAUGAGAAGGAGAAAAAAAAAUGUUUCAAAGCUAAAUAAUUAAAAGGUUACCAUAGAAGCUACCUGAUCCACCUGUUAACUCAUUAUAUGAUAGAUCUAAAGACUUGAGAGUGGAAAGCCCAUUGAAACAUGACAAAAUGCUUUUAUCAUUAUUAAAUUGGUUGAAACUUAUGUCAAGAUUGCUCAGUUUUGAUGAUAGGACUUCGAAGCCUGGAAGAGAAUCAUCAAAGCAAGAUAAUUGACAUUAAACACCAACCAACCUUCAUUUAUUUUAUGAUUAUAAUUAAGUGCAGAAACAUUGAACUAACCUUCAUUCUCCAUGCAACCAACCAAUCUAGUNNNNNNNNNNNNNNNNNNNNNNNNNNNNNNNNNNNNNNNNNNNNNNNNNNNNNNNNNNNNNNNNNNNNNNNNNNNNNNNNNNNNNNNNNNNNNNNNNNNNNNNNNNNNNNNNNNNNNNNNNNNNNNNNNNNNNNNNNNNNNNNNNNNNNNNNNNNNNNNNNNNNNNNNNNNNNNNNNNNNNNNNNNNNNNNNNNNNNNNNNNNNNNNNNNNNNNNNNNNNNNNNNNNCAAUCCUCUCUUCCUCUCCAAGAGACCAAUCCUCUCUUCCUCCAGACACCCAUGACUACGACCAGACCAUUCGCCAACCAAAGUCAAUAAUGCUAGCAACAUCCAAGCCCCCAUUCUUGUCAUCAUCAUCUACGUAGAAUAUUGUUGUUUGUUAUGUGUCUUUGGGCAACCAUAGAGGUCCUAUUUAUACUACAAUUUUGGCCAUUUCCAUGAUUUUAUCUGCAUAUCUUGUGCAGUUUCUAUGUUUUGAGAUUUGAAUAUUAUUUUAUUUUUUUGGAAUAUUCUUGGAUUCGAAUAUUAUUUUAUUUUACUGUUUAGCACUUAGUCUAUUUGCAUUUAAUUAUAUUUUGGUUACUAAUUAUCCAAUUUUAAAAAAUAAAAAAUAAAAAUUGUUGCAGCACUUGAACAUUUUUAUCGACAUUCAUGUGUAUUUCACAUAAGAUCUUUUCGAAUUUACAAUUGUACUUCUCUCGUUAUAAUUUAGAAUUAUUUAGGAGCCUACUUGCAUGGUGUCAUCAUUAUCAUAUAUAUAAUUAAAUACAUAAAUUAUCAAUAAUAUUAAACUCGGAAUAAUUAUAAAUUUUAUCCUUGCGGAUUGUGUGGCUACAGUAUUAUAUACAAAAACUUCAAAUAUAUAUAUAAAAGAAUGCUAAAAGUGACAUUUUCUUGGGUGACCACCACAAGCCCAUCUAAAACACAGAAGCCAUAUAAAAAUCACACGACAGCCAAUUACCAUAUCUUGUGAGAAAAAAGAUUUAAAAAAAAGAGCAUUUUCUUUGGUGUGCAAUGACUGCCAAUCUUUCUCGUUAUGAUAUUCAAUGCUCUGUUAGAAGUUCCAUGAUGCUCUUCUCAUGGGGAGCAAAUAUCAGUAGCCUCCCAUGGAAUCCUCAUAAACCUUUCUGUGUGCUCCUCUAAGAUAUUAAAAAUGUCAAACAUACUGCUGCAAUAAAAAGAUAUGGGAAGUUCGAGGAAAAAAAUGAUUAGUUAAUGCAAAACAGCAGCAGUAAGUAAUAAUUACAAAACACGAUACCGAAACCAAAUUGAAAAGUGAGCAAAAUACAAAACUGGUUGCAUGUAUCAAAAGGAACCAAUUUCUCCACCACUGUAUGUCCCUUUUGUUCAGUCUAUGUUUGGUGCAAUCACCUUAAGCUAGAAACAAAAACAGCGCCUUAUUAACCAUCUAGGUGGUGGCCCAAUGGUAAGAGCUUGGGACCAAGAAGUUUGCUCCCUUUGUGGUCUCAGGUUCGAGCCCUGUGGUUGCUCAUAUGAUGGCCACGGGAGGCUUACAUGGUCGUUAACUUCAGGGCCCGUGAGAUUAGUCGAGGUGCACGCAAGCUGGCUCGGACACCCACGUUAAACAAAAAAAAAACGCUUAGGCCUUACAUCAUUACUUCAAAGGCUUUAUGUUACUAAUGUGUGAUGAUUCUCUGCAGUUAGUAAUUGUUGUUGAUGAUGAAAAUGAGGGGGACCUUAUAAUGUCUGCGUCAAAGGCAACACAAGAUAAAACUCCCUAAACUACUGUAUGUCUCUAACAGUGAAAAUAUCACUAUAAAUGCAUUUAUGAGUUCAUGAGACCAUUUCCAUCUGCCCAUUGGUCCCUGAGACCGUUGCCAUCAUGCAUUUUUCCACGAGAUGGGUUCGUGGAAAAACUUUGGUUUAAUUGGGAAUGCUGUUAUUGGUUAGAAACUUUUUAAUUAAAAUAAAUUUGAUUAUUUGAUUGGAAAAAUCCUUAAAUGUUAUUAACACAUGAAAUCAAUUUAUUUUCUUAAGAAAAAAAUAUUGUAACCAUAUAGGUAAUUUAUUUAUUUAUUUAUUUUAUUGAAAUAUUAAAUAGUUUUAAAUCUUGUGGUAUAUUGCCGUCAUGCAUUUUUUUUCCUCAAGAUGGGUUCGACAGACAAUCACCAUCAUGCAUUUAUGAGUCCAGGAGACCAUUUCCAUGAUAUGCAUUUAUGAGUUGGUGAGACCAUUUCCAUCUGCACAUUGGUCCGGCCUGAGACCGUUGCCAUCAUGCAUUUUUCCACAAGAUGGGUUCGUGGAAAAACUUUUGUUUAAUUGGGAAUGCUGAUAUUGGUUAGAAACUUUUUAAUUAAAAUAAAUUUGAUUAUUUGAUUGGAAAAAUCCUUAAAUGUUAUUAACACAUGAAAUCAAUUUAUUUUCUUAAGAAAAAAAAUAUUGUAACCAUAUAGGUAAUUUAUUUAUUUAUUUUAUUGAAAUAUAAAAUAGUUUUAAAUCUUGUGGUAUAUUUCUUGUCUUUAAGAGCUAUGAACUUAUAUAUCAAAACUUGAAAACUAAUAUAUAUAAUAUGCUUUUCAAAACAAAAAGGAUUUUGAUGGAGAGGACAUUGCAACAAAUUAUCCACCAUGAGAUGGGUCAAUGAUACCAUUAUCAUCAUGCAAUUUUUCCCACGAGAUGGGGCCGUACGCUUGGGGCUCUAAAAGCUAUGGUUUUUAAUUUCACUAUGUUACGUCCAGAAUGGGAGGUAUAUUUUAUUUUAAUUUUAAAAAUGGAAUAAAUUAGAAGAUAUUUCAUAUCGCUUAAAAUCUUAUCUUCUUAUAUGAAUUUCACCUAAAUUCUGACUGGAAUGUUUAGGUUAUAUUCUAACUAUUCUGUUAUGGCCAAAUGAUAUUUUGUUUUGCUUUUAUAAAAAAUUAAAAUAUAAUUUAGUUUUACAGUAUCAGUCUCUCAAUCCGACAGUUGGAUUAAAGUAAAAUUUUACGAGGAAUCUCCUGACAUAUAUUUAUAUCGCAAAUUAAAAUUUUAGGGCAAUCAAAGUUUAGAAAGACUUUGCAAGAUUGUCGAUGACAUUUUCAUAGUUUUAUUCAAAUUCAUAAUUUUGUUUUGAAAGGUCAUUUUCCGUGUCUUUUUUUAGAUUGAUUUUUUUUUAAUUUCAUUAUUCAACUAUAGGUUUAUUGAAAAUUGAGAUUCAUAUUUUGUUUUGAUUUAUUUUAUUUGGGGUUAUUAUGGUCUCAUGACCUGGGUAACAGAUUUAAAGGUUAACCCAGAUUGACCCGGGUCGAUCGAUCCAAUAUGUUGUUAUUUCGUUAUUUUUUUAAAAAAAUAUGUCAUCUUGAAUUUUUUUUUUAAGUAAAACUAUAUUUUUACCAGUCGUCCAGACAAUCUUUGGGCCUAUCGAAUCGAUCGGGUUAUAUCGAUUCAACUCUUAUUUUUUUACUUAUAUUUGAAAUUUAAAUUGCAUAAUUUCAAGUUAGCUUAUCUUGAAAUUUGAAUUGAAAUUAUGUUUGUUAAAAAGUUAAUGCUAGGCAGCUCAUUUUCUUCCCUAAUAAAGCUCAAGACAUAUUUGAGAUUGUGGUAGUGGUUGCAGCUUAAAGUGUUUUUCGCUUAGAAAUGCAUCAAGAUGAUGUUUUUUUAUUUUUUAAAAAUUAUUUUUGAUAUCUGCGCAUCAAAACAAUUCAAAAACACUAAAAAAUAUUAAUUUUAAGUAAAAAACAAAUUUCAAAAUGUUUGGAAACACAGGUUGGACCGCGUUCCCAGACAUGCUCUAGUACGUAGGCAUACACCCAAUCUAAGCACUGUCAAAUCAUUUUUUAUACAUAGGGAUGGGUUCGUUAGCUUGACAUGACAGAUAAAAAAAUUAAAAGAUGAUGAAAUUAAAAAAUAAUUAUAAUUUUAUAAAUUAUUUUAAAUAAAAUAAAUAUCAAUUAAAAGAAUAAGAAUCAAAUCUGAUAGAUAAAAAAUUUCAAUUAAAAAAAUAAAAGAAAAGUAAAUAAGGAUCAAAGUUGAUAUAAAAAUCAAAUUAUAAGAUAUAAAAUUUAAAAAAAUUCAAAACAAAAUAAAACCAAUUUUUUUUCUAAAAGAUAUUCAGAGUAAAAGCAUUAUAAAAAGAAUGCCUCCUUGUUUCUUCCUUUUCAACAACUUGAUUAGUUUAAUUAGUAUCAUAUUGGUUCUACAUCGAAGAAAAUAGAAAACAUAUUUAGUAAUAAUCAUACCACCACAACAUAUAUUAUUACAUUACCAAUAUUAUUACAAUCAUUACAUUAUCAUCACUGCAACAAUUACUCCUCUUACUUACACUUUCAUCGCGUCAACCUCUUUAUAUGAAGUCACCGUAGCAAUUAAAUGCCUCUUGAUCAAUCAUAAUUAAAUUACUCCAAUAAUAUUUUUUUUUAUUCUUUUACAUGAAGUCUUAAUUUUUUUUAUAUAUAUAGGUGGUUAUGAGUUCCAGAAAUUGAGCAAUUUGGAAUAUAUUGACAUGAGAAUUAAUCGUUUCGAUAACAAUAUUCUAUUAUUUGUAGAGGGAUUUUCAUUUCUUAAAUCACUAUAUUUAGAUUAUAAUAGAUUGAAAGGGUUAAUAGAUUUAAAAGGUUAGUUUUUUUAUAUACUUAUUUUUUCUCUAUUAAAUUUAAUUUCAAAAGAACAUAAUUUUUGUUUUGUAAUUAAUUAAUUAAUUAAUAAUAUUUUUAUAAGUAUCAGGAAUCUUUUAGCAACUUGGAGGCCUUGAGUUUGAGCAGCAACAAUAUUAACAAAUUGGUAGCCUCAAGAGGUAAUUAGUAACACAUUCACAUUACCUACCUGGUAGGGAAGAUAAUAUUUGAGCCCAUCCAUACAAUAUUAAUUAUUUUUGCUUUUGGAAUUAAUUAUUUUUGUUCUCUAGAUGAAAACUUCCUUCAAAGCAUCUUUCAUGAAAGUAAUUGCAUGGCAGACUGCAUGGCUAAACAAGGAGUGCAGAGAUCAAGUGAAUUUGUUGCCUGGCUUUGACUCCACCUUUUUCUGUGGCCCUGCUCUUGUGUCUUCUCCCACUAUGUCUUUGAGUUAUUCUCGUUUUUGUUUUGUAGAGGAAUGUUUAGCUUUGAGCUCAUUCGGAUGGCUAUUCUAAGGUUUUCUUUACUUUUGUUUUUCUUAUACUGCGCUUUAUCUUAUUUAUGGCUUUUUGCCAUAGUAAGAUAUUGUGUAGUUUCUGUACUACUCCCGCCAGGCUUUGGCGUUUAAAUAAUAUACGCAUCUUUCAAAAAAAAAAAAGCUUUUGAGCACUGUUUUCUCUAAAACAACUGUCUUUGCAAAGACUCAAUGACACUGUAUCUUUUGAAGAUAAAUUAGUAAAUUUAAACUCUACUGUUACUUAUCAUUGACCAUUCUACUUUUUUCUAUGCCUACUACGAUUAGAGUCUACAUAGAAUUUCUCUUUUAUGUUUUCACAACCUACUAAACAAGUUUUGGAGAAUUGUCAAAUCCAUUAAAAUUUAAAUUCAUAACAUCAAUUAAAUCUCAAAUUUAAAAAUCAAUUCAAUUGAAAUCUUUAUUAUUCUAAUUAAAAGUCUACCAUCCAUUUAAUAUGAAUAAUAUUCCAAUUCAAUUUUGGCCCUCUCUCAACACCAUUUCGGUGUAAUGUAAAUAGAAUGAUAAUAACCAUGAGGGGUGUAACUCAACUGGUCAGGCACUGAGAGUGCUCUCUAGAGAUCACUAGUUCGAAUACCACAAACCUCAGGUCAUGGGAUUUGAAAAAGAAAUGUUCAAAGUUAGCAUUGUUUUCUCAGUAAAAUGCACAACAUGAGCUUCAGGUAAGGGCUCUACCCUUACCUUUUUUAUAUAUUUUUGUUAUUCUUGUAAAUGUUAUAAUGCGAAUUGUUUUUAUAUAUAUAAGGGCUCGUUAUUGGAAAUUCAAUAUUAAAUGAAAAAUGCAUUCAAAGGCAGAAAAAUUGAGAUCAAAUCAGGUUAGGAUGUUUAUAUCUAUAUGUCUUUGGGGUAGGAUUAUUAUAUGCAUUAUAUAUGCCUUCGAGGAAAGAGAAAGAUAUGAUACAUAUUAUGCUUUCAAGGCAAGACUAUUACAUGUAUUAUGCCUCCAGGAUAGUGAAGAAUAUAUCUUAAUUACAAGCUAUGCUUUCAGGGAGGGAGAAAAGUAUCAUAUAAAAUAUAUGCUUUUAGGGUGGAAAAGAUGAUAUGACAACAUAUAAGCUUUAAUAGCAGAAUGUAGUGGUCAGGGUUUGAAAGUAAUAAUAAACAUAACAAAAUGUAAAAGACUAAAAGAAUGGUUUAGAAUAUGGGAUAAAGGCAACUAUAAGAAAAAUUAUUAGUUAUGAUAAAACCAAUAAUUUUAUAAAAUUAUAUGUCUUGCAGGUUCCUCUUAUUUUGACACCGAACUCUAGCUUUCCUAGUUUCUUAUAAUAGGUUGUUAUUUUGUAAAACUUUAACUAUGUUUAUUUUAUGCACUUUAAUUAAAAAUAAAUUUUGGAUUGUAAGAGAGACAUUAUCUCUUUUGUUUUUUUGGGGACUGUAAUUAAUUACAUGAUGCAAAACUUAAAUCUCAGGUAUAGUUGUAUGGACAUAUAUAUUUAUAGAUGUAUAUGAUGAUUAAAUAUGUUAUUGAUAAGAUUGAUGAAUAGUGAGUUUGAGGCCACAUUUAUGUGAGUAUUGGUUGCAUAAGAAAACAAAUCAUAAAAUUUGAUAAUAAUUCACUAAAUAACUCUCAAUUAUUCAUCAAACCAAUCUGAAAAGGAUAAUAUUACAGCUAGGGACCAAUCUGGAUUUUUUGCAUAUUUUUAAGGGUCAAAUUGUAAUUUUAUCAAAUUGGAGGACCAAAAUGAAAAUGUCCUAAAUUCAUAACUAUACUGGAAUUUUGCCCAUAAUUCUUAUUUAAUUCUGUCUAGAAUCUUGGAUUAUGUUUCAGGGACCAAUCUGGAAUUUUAGCAGAUUUUUAGGGGUCAAAUUGGAGGACCAAAAUGAAAAUAUUAUAAAUUCAUAACUAUACUGGAAUUUUGCUCAUAAUUCAUCUUUAAUUCUGUCAGUUGAAGCAUAAGCUAUAAUUGAUUGAAGGGCAUACAUAAUCUGUAGCCAUCUCUUCUAUAUAUAUAACUAGGGCAACAUACAAUAGUUACUGUGUAGCGUACUAAACAGGAUAAAUAUAUACAGGAAAAUACAAUAUUUUCUAUAUUACAACACAUUCCAUAAUACACCCCCUUAAGCUGAAGGUGGGGAAACCACAUGAAGCUUGGACCGUAAGGAAGCAAAAACAGAGUGGGGAAGCGGUUUAGUAAGAACAUCAACUAAUUGGUCUUUGGAAGGUAUGAAGCGAAUCUGUAUCUCCUUUUUAGCCACCCAAUCACGAACAAAGUGAUAAUCAACCUCAACAUGUUUUGUGCGUGCAUGGAAAACAGGAUUAACAGAAAAAUAUGUAGCACCCAAAUUGUCACACCAAAUGAUGGUAGCAGAACUGAGAGAAAAACACAAAUCUGUUAGAAGGUAACGAAGCCAAAGAACCUCAGCAGUACCAUCAGCUAAUGCCCUAUAUUCUGCUUCUGUGGAAGAGCGAGCAACAGUGCGUUGCUUGCUAGAUUUUCAUGAAAUGGGAGUAGUGCUGAAAAAAACAAUGUAACCACCCGUAGACUUUUGAUCAUCGAUGCUUCCCGCUCAAUCAGCAUCAGUAAAACCAUGAAGGGAUAAUGAGGAAUCACGAGUAAGAUGAAGACCAAAGGAAGACGUACCAUUUACGUAUCGUAGUAUACGUUUGACAGCCGCCUAGUGACUCUCAGUAGGGGCAUGCAUAAACUGACAUACCUUAUUGACAGCAUAACAUAUGUCAGGUCUAGUAAAUGUGAGAUAUUGAAGGGCACCAACAAUUUGUCGAAAACGAGUGGAGUCCAAGAAUGGCUCACUAGGCAGGAGUCCAUUCUUAGAGGCAGAAACCGGUGUAUCAACAGGCUUACAGGUGGACAUACCAGCAUGACUCAGAAUGUCAAGAGCAUAUUUGUGUUGAGUAAGCAUGAGACCCAUACUGGUGGGAGUAACCUCAAUCCCUAAGAAAUAGUGAGUAGAACCCAGAUCUCGGAGUUUGAAUUCUGAACUGAGCAGGGUAAUAAGGCUUUGAAGCAAACUGGAGUUACUACCAGUGAGCAGAAUGUCAUCCACAUAGAUAAGCAAAUAACAGAUAUCAUGAUUCACUUUUAGAAUAAAUAAGAAAGUAUCAACCUUUGAAGCGCGGAAGCCAACCAAUAGAAGAAAGUCACUUAGUCAUUUGUACUAAGCCCGCAAGGCUUGUUUUAAACCAUACAGAGACUUAUGAAGGCGACACACAUGAGUUGGUAGAGCAGGGUUGACAAAUCCCGUGGGUUGCUGCAUAUAAACAACCUCCUGAAGUGAACCAUUGAGAAAUGCAUUAUGAACAUCAAGUUGGCGAAUCUGCCAACAAUUAGAGACGAUAAUGGCCAGGACUAGGUGGACAGUGGUCGGUUUGACAACCGGGCUCAAGGUUUCUGAGUAGUCGAUACCUUCUUGUUGAGAGAAGCCUAACAGUGCCAUCAGCUCGAUGCUUAAUUUUAUGAACCCAUCGGCAACCACCAACAUUCAUAGAGGGUUCAUGUGGAACCAAGGACCAACUGCCGUUGGCAUGUAAAGCAGUAAUCUUAGAUUCCAUAGCAGAAUGCCAACACAGAAAACGGUCAGCUUCUCUGAAAGACAAAGGUUCAUGAGCAGAGGAAUAAGUUACCCGUGAGUUGGGAGGCAGUGGAGAUGCAGACACUAAGCUCACAUUGACAGAUUUGUGCUGGCGGGGACGCAGCACCAUGGGAUGCUGUCGAGAAGCAACUGCAACAGGAGAGUCAGGAGACCUGAUGGGCGGUGACUGCUGUGGAAUGGAGUAGCUGGAAAGAUCAAUACAGAGAUCUAGGCCCGGUGGUGACUCUAUAGAGACCUGGGAAGAAGAGGCAGGAACCUAUGAGGGAGAUGCCGGUGGCGUAGCAGAAGGAGGAGAUUCAGUAGCUGUGAUGUCCGCAGUAGCAGAACCUGAACCUGCAAAAUGAUCAAGAGACAUGGUUGCAAAUGGUGGUAAGGGACUGAGGUGUGUGGGGAAAGGAUUGGUGUUUGUGGUGGAUUGGAUGAUGGGAAAGAUGUUAAGGUAGGAAGGUAGGAGAUAGGGGUCGGUUGUGGGUUAGAAUUGGUUGUGGCAGGAACACGAGUAGACUCAAUAAAUGGAAAGGAAUUUUCAUGGAAACGAACAUGACGGGAGAUGUAAAUACGAUCUGAAGACAAAUCAAGACAACGGUAACCUAGAUGACAUGAACUAUAUCCUAGAAACAUACACGGAGUAGAGCGAUAGUCUAACUUAUGAGCAUUAUAUGGUCGGAGAAACGGAAAGCAGAGACAUCCAAAAGUACGCAGGAAACCAUAGUUAGGUGGUUGAUGAAACAGAGUUUCAAAUGGAGAUUUGUUUCGUAAGACCGAUGUCGGCAUACAAUUAAUAAGAUAAACAGAAGUUUCAAAUGCAUAAUUCCAUAAUUUUAGAGGUGCUUUACAGUGACCAAGCAGGGUAAGACCAGUUUCGACAAUAUGACGGUGACGACGCUCGAUAGUACCAUUUUGCUCAUGUGUAUGUGGACAUAUGAUGCGAUGGUGAAUACCAACAGUUUUGAAGAAAGAAUUUAAUUUACGAUAUUCACCACCCUAUUCAAUUUGUACUGAUUUGAUUUUGCAAGAGAAUUGUCGUUCAACCAGAACUUGAAAUUGAUGAAACACAUUAAAUACAUCAUAUUUGGCACUAAGAGGAUAAAACCAAAUAAAUUUUGUGUGCGCAUCAACAAAAGAUCACAAAAUAACAGAAACCAUCAGAAUAUUGUAGGUUGUAUUAGAUAUGACAAGUCCCUUACCAUCACCAAUGUCAUCACCCAAUUUUGGGUGAUUCCCCAAAAUUCACUUUUUUUCAAAAUAAAAAAAAAUAAAAAAAAUAAAGGCUGGCAAUGCGGAGAAAGUCGACCAAGAAAGGCUGCAAAAAUAGGCGGAAAUCAAGCCGCAAUUUUCGGAGGAAUUUCAAGGCCCAAGUGUACGUUGUUAUGCCUAAAAAUAGAAAAAUGCAAAUUCAAAGGUCAAAUUAAAUGAUUAUUGGACAAAUUUGCAUAAGAAUUAAGUCCAAUGACAUAAUUAAAUUUUUAAUGGGCCAAUUUGAUUUAAUCAUUGGCCAAAUUGAAUUUUAAUUAUGUUCAAGAAUUAAUUUGGGUCCAAUUGGAGGAUUUAAUUAAGUGCAAGGACUUAAUUAUACUUUAAGCGGGUCAAAUUAAUUUGAGGGCUUAAUUGGUGAAAAAUUAAGUUUGGGAGCUUAAUUUGGACUUAAUUGAAAAAUCAGAAUUUUAAGAGACCCAAUUUAAUUUUUAUCAAGUGAAUUGAUUGAAAUUAGGGGUCAAACACAAAACUUGAGGGACCAAUUUUGAAGCCCGAAAAACUAUUUUGCCUAUAAAUAGCCUUCAUUUUCAGCUAGGGGGGCAUUUUUGACAAAAAAAAAAGAAGAACAAACCUAACCCUAAAAAAGACCUAAUCUUCUUCUCUUCCAGGGCAGCCGCCGCCCCCCCUGUUUCUUUGUUGGAUUUUGUUUUCUCUUCAGCCGGCCACGAAAGAUUUUCCUUCUCCCUCUCCAGCCGGUUCCAACAUCUUCUUCUUCCCUCACCGGCUAGCAGGAGUCUUUCCUUCACCAGCAGCCGCUGUCCCAUUCCAGCCGGCGCUCCUUUACCUUCCUUCUCCCAUAGCCGGGUCUCUCUCAACUGACCCAGCAGCUGCUCCAUCUCUUCCACCAAGAGCAGCGGCAGCAGCACUCAGCAACAAGGCCAACCACCGCUGCCAACAACAGGAGCAAACACCACCGGCGCGCCACCAGCCUCGACAGCUCCACCAAGCGCAGCGGCAGCCCCCGCUGUCUUCUUCUCCUCCGAUCUCCAUCAACGCCGGCUCCACAAGGUCACAGCAGCAGAGCCGUUCCCCAUCUCCUCAGACCCAUGGCUCCCGCUUCAACCAGCGAGUCUUUCCUUCCUCAGCCGCCGAACAGCCUCCAGCGGCAGCAACCAACCCAGCAGCGCCCACAGACCAGCAAUCCUUGGUCAUGCCGCCGGUCACCUGAACUGAAGGAGAGGAGACGCAACGGCAACGAAAGAACAGAUCUGCCGAUCUGCAGAUCUAAAGGAAAANNNNNNNNNNNNNNNNNNNNNNNNNNNNNNNNNNNNNNNNNNNNNNNNNNNNNNNNNNNNNNNNNNNNNNNNNNNNNNNNNNNNNNNNNNNNNNNNNNNNNNNNNNNNNNNNNNNNNNNNNNNNNNNNNNNNNNNNNNNNNNNNNNNNNNNNNNNNNNNNNNNNNNNNNNNNNNNNNNNNNNNNNNNNNNNNNNNNNNNNNNNNNNNNNNNNNNNNNNNNNNNNNNNNNNNNNNNNNNNNNNNNNNNNNNNNNNNNNNNNNNNNNNNNNNNNNNNNNNNNNNNNNNNNNNNNNNNNNNNNNNNNNNNNNNNNAAAAAAGGGAGAAAAAGAGGAAAAGGCCAAAAAAAAAAAAAAAGGGAAAUAGAAGGCAAAGGGAUAUAAUAUAAUAAAAAAAAUGUGUGUUUGUGCUUUUUUUUUAUUUAUGAUAUUGAAUUAUAAAAAAAUAAAAAAACAAGAAAAACACAAAAAACAAAAAAUAAAAAAUGCAUGUUUGUGUUUAUUUCAGGGAUCUUUUUAUAAGGAGAAGGCAAAAGAAUAAAGAAGGAUUUAAUAUUUUGAUUGGAUCACGGUGUAGAAGUACAAACUUGUACGAAAGUUGUAUUUCUAAAUUCCGAUGAAAAGAUAAAAUUUUUAAAACUUCUUGGACACAUCACAACCACAAAGCAGCUUACCUCAGGUAGGGUGUGUUAGGGGUGCUAACACCUUCCCUAACCACAAUCAGUCCCUUACCCGCGAAUCUCUGACAAGACCAGUCAACUUGGGUUUCCUAGUAACCCUGAAUUAAAUACUAGGUGGCGACUCCUAACAAAAUCAAUUCCAAUAACAGAGAGAAAAACCGUCAUCGCCAGGAAGCGGACGCCGCGCGGGGUGUUUCCGACGUGCGACAGAAUGGCGACUCCACUGGGGAGGUAAUAUUGGACUAAGCUUUGUGUAUUUGAUGUGUUUAAGUUUUGUUAUUUUUGUCUUGUUUUAGUUUAUCCAUGCAUUUUUAGAAUUGUUUCAUGCAUCACUUGUAUUUAUUUUUGAAUGCACACACAAGCUUCUAAGCUAGGUGGGAAGUAGCGGUCUGCCUCAUGACUUUCAGUCGGGGUUCAGAUUCGUGAAACAUCCAACUAUGAGCUGAGUGUUUACUCAGUAAUGGCGGUCACAGGGUGCCCUGACCAUUCCUUGUAAACUCCUAUACUGCCUUCACGAGAGGUGGUCACUGGGCAGCUCAUAGACCCUUUUGAGACCAGGUAGAAAACCCACCCAUGUUCACAUAAUGAAUUGAACCUGUCCUGAGGUUGUAUGUGCUAUCAUUUAUUUGCAUCGGGGCGAACCUUUCUUGAAGCAUCUUGAAUUCAAGACUUGUGGGUGACAGAAUGAUCGUCACUCCAAAAAUUUUCAUUGUAGAGUUUGAGCAAGAAUCAAUAUUCUUGUUUCAUCAUACAAAAGUGACGAUCAUAUGUCACCCCUCGAAGGGCAAGUUCAUCAUAUAGAUUGCAUGUUCAUACAUUUUUUCAUGUAUGCACCAGAAUAAAAGGUGGGUCCCCUAUGAGUUUGCAACACCCAAUUUUGAGCGAAAAACAUGGGAGAUAAAAAAGUGCUCGUCGCAGCACUCAUUUUCAAAAAGAGUUGGAGUCUCUGAACAAAAGCUUGACUCGCCUCUAGCUUACUCGAGCAAACACUUAAAAAUACCUUUGGUGAAGGUCCUUCCAACCGGUUUGCUAUCUUUGUUCAAACCCCAACAACUCAACCCAAAGAAACUGGGGGGCAAACAUGGUCAAAAGCCUCAACACAAUCCGAAGGGGAAUUGCACCACUGUUGCAGAAUGGAGCCAGUUCUUGUCCUGCUCAAAAAAAAAAAAUCGAAGGCUACCCCUGCUUGAUCAUGCCUGUAAAAAUUUCUCGAUUUUUUCAACCUAUUCCAGUUUUUGUCGGUAAUUUGGCUCAAAAUUCCACAAGAUUUUCCUUGUCCAAUGAGCCUUUCCUGUUAAUAAAACAUGUGUUUUCUUUUUUUGUGUUCAUGCAAAUAACAUACUGAGCACACCUUUGUACUUACAAAACCAUUGCGCCAAGAAUCUUUGGGCGUGUUUCCCUUUUUUUCCAAAACCAUGCAUGUUUUCACAAGGAUUUUUGGGAAUUCAAAGUUUAGUACAAAAACAGAAAUCAUAUUGGUGUUUGUUCAAACAAACGAGUUCUGGAAAUUCAGGUGAUUCCUUAGAGAGGUAACCAUACACCUAAAAAACACAAAAAAAAAACACCAUGAAGUGACUCCAAAAGCAGAGUUUUAUUUGCAUGAAUAAUGAGAAAUCACUCUACAUACUCGCAUGAAAGCAAGGCUUACCGAUCCUAAAUGCAUGCAUUUGAGAUGAAGAAAGGCCAUCUUUGAUAAUCCUUUCACAAGGCUGAAAUAUAUCCUUUGCAGUCCCCUUUUGAGCCUAAUAAAUUUUUCUUGAAAAAAUAACCUUGACUAGGAUCACACCCUACACUGGGGGGCAAGUGCCAAAAAAUCCUUAAUGAUUGAAAUUGCCCAAACAAUACUGGGGGGCAUAAAAAGUCUUCAACGAUGAAAGUGCCCAAACAAUACUGGGGGGCAAGUGCAAAAAAUCUUUAAUGAUUGAAAGUGCCCAAAUAACUCUUGGGGGGCACGAAAAAGUCCUUAAUGAUUGAAAGUGCCAAGACAAUACUGGGGGGCAUAAAAGAAAAUUCUCAAUCAUCGAAGGUGCCCAUACAAAGCUGGGGGGCAUAAAAAAAAUCCAAAGGAUCCAAAAUUCUGAGCAUAAAAAAAAAGUCAAUGCAAUGAUGCUCAAGAUCAAAUGAAGAAAACCAAAAAAGAGAAAGAGCCCAAGCCCAACACUGGGGGGCACCGUGGACCAUUUUACAAAUCAAAUCCAAGGUCCACAAAUGUAUGAACAAAAAGUUUGGGAUAUAAGCACUAGUGAUCCUUAGUCUUAGAGUCCCUUAAACACUUUUUGAGCCUACGAAUAUCCUUUUCUUCAUAGCCAAUAGCCCAAGCCUACAUUACGUGCCUAAUCAAGCCCUUUCUAAUCAAAGGCAAGCAAUUUGGAUCGGUAGGUAGUGCUUUCUCAUGCGAACUGAAUCAUUAUUCAUGCAAAUAAAAUGAAUGCUUUGAAAAACGGUUCUCAUUAACCCUCAAAUUGAAAUUUAAACCUUUUUGUGACCAACCAGAUGUCAUUUCGUGUUCUUCACAUAACAACGGUUCUCAUUAACCCUCAAAUUGAAAUUUCAACCUUUUGUGACCAACCAAAUGUCACUCCAUAUUUUUCACCAAAAAAUCAAAACAAAAAGUUUUCAUCACAUCUGAAAACCUCUCCAUAGGAAUCAUUUGAAUUUCUUCAUAAUGAGUCUGCUUUGAAUCGAUGUCAAAAUGAUUUCUGUUUGAGGAAUAGCUUUGAAAUUCCAAAAAUUCUGCAUGAAAACAACUCCUUGUAAAUAACCAAAUCUUCCUUCACAUAGCCUCAUCCCCAAACCCGAAUUGAAUACUUGCGGGCAUGAUCAAGCUAGUGGGCAAUCAAAAACAUCUGGUAGAACUGGCUCCAUAAUUCCUUUUCUAAGAAACUAUUGGGCAAAAUUGGCAACUCUUGAGAUAAAGGGGCGGAGGACAAAGAAGUAUGAUGAUAUCAAGUCCUUCCCAGGGGUCAAUAUCACAAGAGAUGACUCGAGUAAGCAAGAGCGAAAAGAGCCAUCGAAGCUUACUAUCAGAGACUCAAACUUUUGAGAAAAUGAGAACUCCAUGAAGAAAAGAGAACUCUAUGUAGAAAAAGGAACUCCAUGAAGAAAAGGGGACCUACAUUUCUCAGGUAAGUAUACAUGCAUAUUGAUCAUGGUACAUUGCUUUCAUCCUUGACAUAUCAGUGUCUCACCAUCACCUCUUGAUUGAGCGGGCUGUUAAGCCCUCAACACCUUAGAUAGAAUGCUUUCUAGCCCUAUCUAUCUUCUUUUUUUAGUGGGCCCUCGAGCCCUCACACCUUAGGUAGUGUGUUUUCUAACCCUGCCUCCCUUUUUAGUGGGCCUUCGAGCCCUCACACCUUAGGUAGUGUGUUUUCUAACCCUGCCUCCUUUUUGAGUGGGCUUUCGAGCCCUCACAUCUUAGGUAGUGUGCUUUCAAGCCCUAUCUACCUUCUUUUUUAGUGGGCCUUCGAGCCCUCAAACCUUAGGUAAAGUGUUUUCUAACCCUGCCUCCCUUUUUGAGUGGGCCUUCGAGUCCUCACACCUUAGGUAGAGUGUUUUCUAACCUUGCCUCCCUUUUUAGUGGGCCUUUGAGCCCUCACAUCUUAUGUAGUGUGUUUUCUAACCCUGCCUCCUUUUUUAGUGGGCUUUCGAGCCCUCACAUCUUAGGUAGUGUGCUUUCUAGCCCUAUCUGCCUUCUUUUUAGUGGGCUUUCGAGCCCUCACAUCUUAGAUAGUGUGCUUUCAAGCCCUAUCUACCUUCCUUUUUAGUGGGCCUUCGAGCCCUCACACCUUAGGUAGUGUGUUUUCUAACCCUGCCUCCCUUUUUGAGUGGGCUUUCGAGCCCUCACAUCUUAGGUAGUGUGCUUUCAAGCCUUAUCUACCCUCUUUUUGAGUGGGCCUUCGAGCCCUCAAACCUUAGGUAGAGUGUUUUCUAACCCUGCCUCCAUUUUUUAGUGGGCUUUUGAGCCCUCACACCUUAGAUAGUAUGCUUUCUAGCCCUAUCUACCUUCCUUUUUAGUGGGCCUUCGAGCCCUCACACCUUAGGUAGUGUGUUUUCUAACCUUGCCUCCAUUUUUGAGUGGGCUUUCGAGCCCUCACACCUUAGAUAGUAUGCUUUCUAGCCCUAUCUACCUUCUUUUUGAGUGGGCCUUCGAGCCCUCAUACCUUAGGUAGUGUGUUUUCUAACCUUGCCUCCAUUUUUGAGUGGGCUUUCGAGCACUCACACCUUAGAUAGUAUGCUUUCUAGCCCUAUCUAUCUUCUUUUUGAGUGGGCCUUCGAGCCCUCACACCUUAGGUAGAGUGUUUUCUAACCCUGCCUUCCUUUUUAGUGGGCCUUCGAGCCCUCACACCUUAGGUAGAGUGUUUUCUAACCCUGCCUCUCUUUUUGAGUGGGCCUUCGAGCCCUCACACCUCUAGGUAGUGUGUUUUCUAACCAUACCUCCUUUUAAGUGGGCCUUCGAGCCCUCACACCUUAGGUAGAGUGUUUUCUAACCCUGCCUCCCUUUUUGAGUGGGCCUUCGAGCCCUCACACCUUAGGUAGAGUGUUUUCUAACCCUGCCUUCCUUUUUAGUGGCCCUUCGAGCCCUCACACCUUAGGUAGAGUGUUUUCUAACCUUGCCUCUCUUUUUGAGUGGGCCUUCGAGCCCUCACACCUUAGGUAGUGUGUUUUCUAACCCUGCCUCCAUUUUUUAGUGGGCUUUCAAGCCCUCACAUCUUAGGUAGUAUGCUUUCUAGCCCUAUCUACUUCCUUUUGAGUGGGCCUUCGAGCCCUCACAUCUUAGGUAGUGUGCUUUCGAGCCCUAUCUGCCUCCUUUUUUGAGUGGGCUUUCGAGCCCUCACACCUUAGGUAGUGUGUUUUCUAACCCUGCCUCCAUUUUUUUAGUGGGCUUUCGAGCCCUCACAUCUUAGGUAGUGUGUUUUCGAACCCUGCCUCCUUUUUAGUGUGCCUUAGGGCCGUCAACCACUUUAGGUAGUGCGUUUUCCAACCCUGCCUCCUUCUUAGUACGCCUUAGGGUCGUCAACCAUCUUAGGUAGUGCGUUUUCCACCCAUGCCUCCCAUUGAGUGCGCCUUAGGGCCAACAACCAUCUUAGGUAGUGUGUUUUCCAACCAUGCCUCCCUUUUUAAUGCGCCUUAGAGCCCUCAACCACCUUAGGUAGUGUGUUUUCCAACCAUGCCUCCUUUUUAGUGUGCCUUCGAGCCACCAACUAUCUUAGGUAGUGUGUUUUCCACCCAUGCCUCCCUUUGAGUGCGCCUUAGGGCCAACAACCAUCUUAGGUAGUGUGUUUUCCAACCAUGCCUCCUCUUUUGAGUGUGCCUUCGAGCCCUUACCUGUUAGGUAGUGUGUUUCCUAACCCUGCCUCCUUUUUAAGUGCGCCUUAGGGCCAACAAACAUUUUAGGUAGUGUGUUUCCUAACCCUGCCUCCUUUUUAGUGCGCCUUAGGGCCAUCGAUCACUUUAGGUAGUGUGUUUUCCAACCAUGCCUCUUCUUUUAGUGCGCCUUAGGGCCGUCAACCAUCUUAGGUAGUGCGUUUUCCAACCAUGCCUUCCUUUUAGUGUGCCUUCAAGCCACCAACUAUCUUAGGUAGUGUGUUUCCUAACCCUGCCUCCUUUUUAGUGCGCCUUAAGGCCGUCAACCAUCUUAGGUAGUGUGUUUUCCAACCCUGCCUCCUUUUUAGUGCGCCUUAGGGCCGUCAACCAUCUUAGGUAGUGUGUUUUCCAACCCUGCCUCCUUUUUAGUGCGCCUUAGGGCCGUCAACCAUCUUAGGUAGUGCAUUUUCCAACCAUGCCUCCUUUUUAGUGUGCCUUCGAGCCAUCAACCACCUUAGGUAGUGUGUUUUCCAACCCUGCCUCCUUUUGAGUGCAUCUUAGAGCCCUCAACCAUCUUAGGUAGUGUUUUCCAACCCUGCCUCCUUCUUUAGUGCGCCUUAGAGCCAUCAACCACCUUAGGUAGUGUGUUUUCCAACCCUGCCUCCUUCUUUAGUGCGCCUUAGAGCCAUCAACCACCUUAGGUAAUGCGUUUUCGAACCCUGCCUCUUUUUAAGUGCGCCUUAGAGCCAACGACCACCUUAGGUAGUGUGUUUUCCUAACCCUGCCUCCUUUUUUAGGGUGCCUUCGAGCCAUCAACCACUUUAGGUAGUGCGUUUUCCAACCCUGCCUCCUUCUUAGUACGCCUUAGGGCCAACAACCACCUUAGGUAGCGUGUUUUUCUAACCCUACCUCCUUUCGAGUGCGCUCUUCAGCCCUUGUUCCCCAUCGAGUCCUAUCAUGUCAUCCUUUUCAGACAUUUUGUCUUCUUGCCCGGGUAGGUCACCCAUUGUAAUCAGACAUCUUUCAAAACACUUUUCAUCUUCCAUUUGGGCCGGUUGCCCAUAACAAUAAAACCAUUUUUGAGAAAUCCUUGCGUUUCUCACCACCUUCAAAUUUUUCCCAUGAAAACACUUUGAAAAAUCUCUGUAUUUUUCACCAUUUUUGAAAAAUCUUUGUAUUUUUCCUCACUUUGAAAAAUCUUUGUAUUUUUCACCGCUUUGAAAAAUCUUUGUAUUUUUCACCCGGGCAAGUCGCCCAUUACAACAAGACCACCUUUGAAAAAUCUCUGUAUUUUUCCUUCCUUUUGAAAAAUCUUUGUAUUUUUCCUCACUUUGAAAAAUCUCUGUAUUUUUCACCCCUUUGGAAAAUCUUUGCAUUUUCACCACCUUGAAAAAUCUCUGUAUUUUUCACCACUUUAAAAUCUUCGUGUUUUUCACCUAGGUAGGUCACCCUUUACAAUGAGACCACCUCAAAAAAAUUUCACCGGGUAGGUCACCCAUGACAGUUCGACCAUUGCAAAAUCUUUGAAUUUUCAAAAACUCUUCCAGUUUUUACUCCGAGUGUGCUUCCUAGCCCUCAUGAGGAUUCAUCAUUCCUCAACAAGAUGAGUCAAUCAUAUCUCAUCCUUUUUUCUUCUUUACAACGCUUACUAUCUAAAGUCUCUUACGAGACUUUCUAUCGUAAGCAUCGUAAAGAGGGGGGCAACUGUCAUCACCCAAUUUUGGGUGAUUCCCCAAAAUUCACUUUUUUUCAAAAUAAAAAAAAAAUAAAAAAUAAAGGCUGGCAAUGCGGAGAAAGUCGACCAAGAAAGGCUGCAAAAAUAGGCGGAAAUCAAGCCGCAAUUUUCGGAGGAAUUUCAAGGCCCAAGUGUACGUUGUUAUGCCUAAAAAUAGAAAAAUGCAAAUUCAAAGGUCAAAUUAAAUGAUUAUUGGACAAAUUUGCAUAAGAAUUAAGUCCAAUGACAUAAUUAAAUUUUUAAUGGGCCAAUUUGAUUUAAUCAUGGGCCAAAUUGAAUUUUAAUUAUGUUCAAGAAUUAAUUUGGGUCCAAUUGGAGGAUUUAAUUAAGUGCAAGGACUUAAUUAUACUUUAAGCGGGUCAAAUUAAUUUGAGGGCUUAAUUGGUGAAAAAUUAAGUUUGGGAGCUUAAUUUGGACUUAAUUGAAAAAUCAGAAUUUUAAGAGACCCAAUUUAAUUUUUACCAAGUGAAUUGAUUGAAAUUAGGGGUCAAACACAAAACUUGAGGGACCAAUUUUGAAGCCCGAAAAACUAUUUUGCCUAUAAAUAGCCUUCAUUUUCAGCUAAGGGGGGGGCAUUUUUGACAACAAAAAAAGAAGAACAAACCUAACCCUAAAAAAGACCUAAUCUUCUUCUCUUCCAGGGCAGCCGCCGCCCCCCCCCUGUUUCUUUGUUGGAUUUUGUUUUCUCUUCAGCCGGCCACGGAAGAUUUUCCUUCUCCCUCUCUAGCCGGUUCCAACAUCUUCUUCUUCCCUCACCGGCCAGCAGGAGUCUUUCCUUCACCAGCAGCCGCUGUCCCAUUCCAGCCGGUGCUCCUUUACCUUCCUUCUCCCAUAGCCGGGUCUCUCUCAACUGACCCAGCAGCUGCUCCAUCUCUUCCACCAAGAGCAGCGGCAGCAGCACUCAGCAACAAGGCCAACCACCGCUGCCAACAACAGGAGCAAACACCACCGGCGCGCCACCAGCCUCGACAGCUCCACCAAGCGCAGCGGCAGCCCCCGCUGUCUUCUUCUCCUCCGAUUUCCAUCAACGCCGGCUCCACAAGGUCACAGCAGCAGAGCCGUUCCCCAUCUCCUCAGACCCACGGCUCCCGCUUCAACCAGCGAGUCUUUCCUUCCUCAACCGCCGAACAGCCUCCAGCGGCAGCAACCAACCCAGCAGCGCCCACAGACCAGCAAUCCUUGGUCAUGCCGCCGGUCACCUGAACUGAAGGAGAGGGAGACGCAACGGCAACGAAAGAACAGAUCUGCCGAUCUGCAGAUCUAAAGGAAAAAGGGAGGCAAAUUCAAAAACCUGUGAUUGUUUGUGUUUUCUCUUGUUUCUGCAGGUCACCGACAGUACGGACGGGAAGAGGAGAAGGAGACGAUCCCGAUCUACUAGCUUGAUGGUCUUCACCGGCUGUGGCGCGUAGGCCCACGCGCCGCCAGUGACGGUGGCGCGUGGGAGGACGCGCCACCAUGAAUUUCUGCAAUUCCAGAAGGGUUCCUUUGCAAUUCCUGGAGUUUUAGGGACUGUUUUGUAAAUUUUAAAUUAUUUGAUGUAAUUUUUAUUUAUUUAUGAAUUUUAUAACUUGUAUUGGGGAUGUAAAAAAAAAGAGAAAAAGAAAAAAAGAAGAAAAAGCAAAAAAAAAAAAAGAAGGAAAAUAGAAGACAAAAGAAUAUAAUAUAAUAAAAAAAAUGUGUGUUUGUGCUUUUUUUUAUUUAUGAUAUUGAAUUAUAAAAAAUAAAAAAAAAAGAAAAACACAAAAAACAAAAAAUAAAAAAUGCAUGUUUGUGUUUAUUUCAGGGGUCUUUUUAUAAGGAGAAGGCAAAAGAAUAAAGAAGGAUUUAAUAUUUUGAUUGGAUCACGGUGUAGAAGUACAAACUUGUACGAAAGUUGUAUUUCUAAAUUCCGAUGAAAAGAAAAAAAUUUUAAAACUUCUUGGACACAUCACAACCACAAAGCAGCUUACCUCAGGUAGGGUGUGUUAGGGGUGCUAACACCUUCCCUAACCACAAUCAGUCCCUUACCCGCGAAUCUCUGACAAGACCAGUCAACUUGGGUUUCCUAGUAACCCUGAAUUAAAUACUAGGUGGCAACUCCUAACAAAAUCAAUUCCAAUAACAAAGAGAAAAAUCGUCAUCGCCAGGAAGCGGACGCCGCGCGGGGUGUUUCCGACAUGCGACAACCAACAUGCAAUUGAUCAUUACCGAGAUAAGGUUUUGCGAGUGUCAUACCAGUAAUAUCUGGAGUAACAUGUUGAUUGGCGCCGGUGUCAGGAAACCAAGUGACAGAAUUUUCUGUGGACGCGUUACUGAAUGAAAGGUUGGCAGAGGCGUGAUUACCAUGUUUCACAAGCUGGGAGCAUUGUUGUGCGGAGUGCCCAAAUAUAUUGCAAAAUUGGCACUUAAUCUGUCGCUGCCACUGACCAGCAUUACUGGUUCUGCUCUGCUGCCAAUUUGGAUGAUUCUGCUGCCAAUGCCCACGCUGUUGCUGCUGGAAGCUGCUGCUGUGACCUCUAACAGGCGAAGCACCAUACUAAGAUGGAGAGUGCAUAUUCCUCAACCCAUUCCGUCUACCUCUGCCCCGUUGAAAGGAUGAACUGCUGCCAUUAAAACUAGAAAAAGAACACUGGGCAGCGAAGGUAGAGGGGGGCUGCACAGGUGUUGGUAGUAAGGGUGCAGCCAUAGGAAGAGGAUGAAGGGAGCUCCUGUGUAAAAACUCAUAAGUAGAUAAAUGACUAUGCAACUUAGAAUGUGGUAGAGGGUCAGAUUUUGUAGAUGGACUAGUAACCAAGUCAUGAAAUUCAUUGCGAAGGCCCCGAAACACAUAUGGGUUGAAGUCGGUGAGGGAGAUGGGACGUCCUGCGGCAGCUAGCUCAUCAAAUAAUCCCUUAGCCUUCUGCAGAUAGGCGGUGACAGUAUCAUCACCUUGAUGAAGGUCUUGAAGGCAGCCAUACAAUUGCAUGAUUCGAGAGUUGGAUGGAGACGCAAGAGCACGUUCUAGUGUGCUCCAUACACUAGCAGAUGUUGGACAAUCCACUACAAGGUGAAGAACGUCUGUGGAUAGAGAGGAGAGGAGUGCGCUGAGGAUGAGUUGAUCUUGUUGUUUCCAUGUCAAGAAGGCAGGGGAAAAACCAGAACUGAAGGCAGGUGAAGUAGCAGAAACAUCAUUGUGCGGAGAGGGACACAUCGUUGAGCCAUCGACAAAGGAAAACACACCUUGAUCGAUCAAAUAUGGCUUCAUCUGCAUACGCCAAAAUAGAUAAUUUGUGUUGGUAAGUUUGAGAUUGAUGACAUGUUGUGUGUUUGAAAGAGGAAUGAUGGCUGGUGGUGCUGCAAGGGCUGAGGAGAUAGAUAAGGGUGCAGGAACAGACAUACUAGCAGAAGUAGGAGCUACAAGGGAGGAUGAGGUAGCAGUAGCAAGCAUACUGACAUUGAUGCCAGCUGCAGUAGCAACAGAGGAAUCCAUUAGAGAAGUUGGAGAAGUCGGAUAGAAACUGCUGGAAGAUUGAGGAGAAACGGAGAAAACAUCCUGAUACAAUUAUUUGCAGACAAGAGAAGGUUGUGCCGAUUGGGGAGAAAAUAAACAUCCUGCAACAAUUAUUUUACAGAAAAGAGAAGGUUGUGCUGAUUAGGGAGAAAAGAAUCUGUUUAGAUGUUUUCGGCUCUGAUACCAAGUUGAAGCAUAAGCUGUAAUUGAUUGAAGGGCAUACAUAAUCUGUAGCCAUCUCUUCUAUAUAUAUAACUAGGGCAACAUACAAUAGUUACUGUGUACCAUACUAUGCAGGAUAAAUAUAUACAAGAAAAUACAAUAUUUCCUAUAUUACAACACAUUCCAUAAUACUGUCCAGAAUCUAGGAUUAAGCCUUAUGGACCAAUCUGUAAUUUUGCCAAAGUUUGGGGAUUAAACUGAAAUUUUCAAAAAUUGAGGGACCAAACUGAACUUUCAUCAUCUUCAACCUUAAACCCAGAUUUUCCACGGAUCACCUACUGAUAUGUCAAGAUUUUUAACUCAAAUUCAUCAUUUAAAAAAAUCAUGACUCAAAAUCAUCAUCUUUACCUUAAAUCUUCAAAAAUCAAUUAAAUAACUCAUUACCCAUAGCAAUCAAUCCCAUAACAUUCAAAUCAAUUCAUCAAUCAAACCCAAAAUAAAAUUUGUAAAACCUUAAUAUUCAACAAAAUAAAAUUAAAACUAAAAGAAGACACAUUUAUAUACAUCAAAACCUAAAUCUUAUCUUUAAACUUAUUUUCUCUAACUCUCUUUUCCUUCCUUUUAUCGUUCCCUCUUUUCUCUUCUUCAUCUUUCCCUUUUCUUCUCUAGCUCCUAUCGUCUCUCACUCUUAAAUUUCAGAUCCCUCUUUCUUUCCUUUUAUAUUUAUACUUAUUAAUUUUGAUUCAUUUACCAUAAUACUCCUUAUUUAUUUAUACCUAUUAAUUCUAAACCUCAAAGGGCUAUGUUGCCUUUUUCUAUUCUCUUUCAUUUUUAGAACAUCACACUCAUCCUUACAAAAUGUAAUGACAUUCCUGGACCAUGUACUACCCUUUAAAUUAACACAAACUAAAGGAAUGUUCAAAUAUGCUUUUUGGUUGUGGAUGUUGUAGAUAACAUCUUUUCAUAGUCUUGUAUUAGAGCUCCCAAACCUUUUUUUAUAGUCAUUUGAAAAACAAGGCUUUAUAUAUGCAUUAAUUAAUAAUAUGAACUAAAUAAAUUAUCAACAUCUAACUAAUUAGUUAUUAUUGGUUUAAUUUACAUUUAUUCAUUUUAUUUCAAUAGUACUUUUAAAUCAAUUUUCUUCAAAAAAUCAAAUUCCUCCAAAUUUAUUAAAAUUUUCAAUUUAAUAAUAAAAUUAAUAAAAUGUGAAAUAUUUUCAUUAAAGAGGUCAUUAUAAGACUAUAUUGUCCUCAACAAUAAACAAUGGUGUUCCAAAAGCCGCUUUUAAACUAAGAAGUUCCUCCCACAAUACUCUUCUUUCACGGACCAGAUUUCCUGCAAAAACUCCUAUGAGUGCACAAUGAAAUCCUUUCCCAAUAGCGCCAUCCAUUGCCCACCAUAUUCAAUUGAACCUAGAAUUUACUAAAAUACCACCCGCAUUAUUUACCGAAUCAACUGUAAACCAGUUAACUGUUGGUGUAUUCCAUAAUGCACAAACAAAUCUAUCUGCAGUUGCAGCAGAACUGUAAGUUAUAAUAUAACAAAGAAUCCCUUUUCUGAUUCUAGAAUCCAGUGAACCUGGUGAUUCCACCUCACGUUCAUCCUCCACCCGCUGAAGACUACCAUUGAAAGAGAAAAGCUCCACCUUGUGCUUCCUUCACCUAAGAACCAUUGGGUCUAAACUGGAUUGAUUGCAUCCCAUCUGAAUCACGUGGGCUUAAUUAAUGGAAGGAACGAACAAUUGUCAGUUUUAAAAGUUUGGUUCCAAUCAUUGUAAUUUCAAAUUUCCAUGCUCCUUCCAUUUAAGCAAGUAAUAACAACAAAGAAUAUGUUUAAAUCUCAGUGUUGUUUUAAAUUUUAUGUAAGAUAGUACAGUUUCAUUUAAAAAAUGAGGAAGAACAAUAAAAAUCCUCAAAUGCUACCACCUUCAAUUCUCAUUCAUCAACAACAGCAUACGUUCAAACAAGUGAUCAAUAGUGUUGAUGAAAAAUAAAUCAUUAGUGUUCAAGUGACGAGGAGUAGAGUAAGAUUGGCGCCAUUGUAAGCUUGACAAGCUUUGCCUACUCUAACUGCAACGAAAGAUUCAGUGCCUAAUCUCUGGACGGAGAAGGGGACGCCCUUGUUAUGUACACGGUUGCUCUGAAUGGUUCGAUGAUGCUCAUUUUAAACAUUUCAUGUCAAGGUUAUCAGUUUCAUUCUGGUUAGUGUUUCAUUUUUUUAAUUGAAACGGUAUGUUUUGGUUUUGGGAUUAUAUUGUUCAUAUAUAUAUAUAUAUAUAUAUAUAUAUAUUAACUCAAUAAACAUAAUUUAAAUUUAAAUUUAAAUUUAAAGAUAAAUUAACUUGAAAUUAUGCAAUUUAAAUUUCAAACAGAAAUAAAAAAGUGAGAGUUAUACCGAUAUGACCCGAUCGACUAGACGGGUCCAAAGACAACCUAAACGACUGAUAAAAAUAUAGUUUGACUAAAAAAAAUCUAAGAUGAUAUUUUCAAAAAAAUUAUUGAGAUGACAACAUAUUAAAUCAACCCGGGUCAACUCGAUCGGGUUAACCUUCUAAAUUUGUAAUCCAGGUUAUACCAGAUUGGGGGAGGCUAGUGGGAUGGUCCAUGAGACCAUUGCCCCGUAAGCUUGGGAAUGGAUAAUAUGCUUUAAUUUCAAUUUAGUUUACAAAAAUAAAUAAAUUAAAAGCUUAAGCAUAAAAAACAAAUCUCAAGUGUAAGAAUGCAACCACCGAUUCAUUAAUGGACAAAGGACCUUAGAUUAAUAUAUGACGCUUCUUUCAAUGGAAAUGUAAAUUCUUUACUAGAAUAUCAUAUAUUUUUUUUGUAUUUGUUUUCUGGUUAUAUUGAAUUUUUCAUCAGUAUUCCUAACGUAAAUUGCUAUGUAUUUCGAAUCUUGAAUGAUUGAAAGAUAGAAAACAGAAAAGAAAGAGAGAUAAGUCAAUUCAAAAAAAGAAGACUUUUAUAAACAUAUAUGGCUUAACAAUAUUAAUCAACUCUUAAUAUCUUUCAUUUUAUAUUUAUUAAAAGUAAAUAUUAAAACCUAUUAUAUUAAUUUGUAAAGGUAUUUAUUUGGAUGGGAAAUAUAUUUCUAAUUUUUUAUUUAAAAAGUUCUAUAUAGUACAACUAACUUAAGAAAGUCAUGUUCAUCAGGAUCAUAGACUAAAAAAAAGAAAAAAAUUGAAUUGCAUAAAAGUAUCACUAUAAAUGUUAUUCUUAGAAAAUAUCUUCGUUCCUUGAUAAAACUCCCUAAACUACUGUCUCUAACAGUGAAAAUAUCCCUAUAGCAACAGUACAUGAAAUAAUGUCAGAAUAAAUUUGUGUGACGUAAUAAUAUCUGUUUAUUUUUGUAUUUUUAAAAAGAUUUUUUUUAAAUAGAUAACUUUUGAAUCAUCAAGUAGUGAACACAAAAAGAGUGAAGAAAAUGAAAAAUAAUCAAAGUGGUGCGGAUCCACAUCAAUUUUUGUCCAUAUUUUUGGUAAUAUUAAUCUCUUUAUCCAUUUAUAGCCAUAGAAAAGAACAUCACCUACUGUGUUUCUUGUCUCUUCUUGUCUGGAAGAUAAGGUUUGUGAACUUUCGAGUGCCAUUUAUUUUAGUACACAGACUGGAUAUUUGACUACAGCUUCACCGCCAGUUAAUUGUUUUUCAAUUAAAAAAAUUUAUAUAUAGAUUUCUUCAACGUAUUUUUUAUUUUAAUUUUUUGAAGUAAAAAUCAAAAAAUUUAUACACAAAUGUAGUCAAAUAAAUCAAGAAUUAUGUGUGUUGAUAAGUGAAAAAAAUCAUAAACAAUGACUCAAAAUAAAAACUGGAAAAAUCAAAAGACAAGUAUAAAUCAAGAUAUUUUUUUUAUCAAAUGUAAAUCAAGAUAUUUAAUUUCACAAAACGUGACAUUUACGCAGUUGUAUUUUCUAAAUUUUCUAAUUAAAAUAAUUUUUUUAUUCGAUCAAAUGAUAAUAAAAACAGACAAAUAAAUUAUAAAUUGAUUGAAUAAAAUAAAAAGAAAAAAAAAUAAUAUAUAAAGCUACACAUAUUAGAAAUAUUUUUUGAAAAUAUUUUUUUUUUCAAAAAGAAAAUUCUUCUAUACAAAAGAUUUUUAUAAGUAUAAAAAAGAAUUUUUUAAUUUAUUCAGUUUUUUAAAUAAAGUUAAUCUAUCGCAAGAGUACAAGAAAUAAGUAUUUUGCCGUCAUGCAUUUUUUUCCCUCAAGACCAUUUCCAUCAUGCAUUUAUGAGUUCGUCAGACCAUUUCCAUCUGCACAUUGGUCCCUGAGACCGUUGCCAUCAUGCAUUUUUGCUCGAGGAGAGGCCGUGAGACGUCCUCUUCCAACUAUCAUGCAUUUUUUCCAUUCCACGAGAUGGGCCGUACGCUCGGGGCUCUAAAAGCUAUGGUUUUUAAUUUUAUUAUGUCACGUCUGCAAUGGCAGGUAUAUUUUAUUUCAAUUUAAAAAACUGAAUAAAUUUGAAGAUAUUUCAUCUAGUUUAAAAUCUUAUCUCUAAAUUUAAAGAUAUUUCAUCUAGUUUAUAUAACAAGUUAAAAUUUAGAACAGUCAGAGUUUAGAAAGACUUUACUAGAUUGACGAUGAUAUUUUUAUAAUUUAAUUUAAAUUCAUAAUUUUUUUUCAUCAAUAUUCCUAACGUAAAUUGCUACGCAUUUUGAAUCUUAAAGAAUUGAAAGAUGGAAAAAAAAUAAGAAAGAAAGACACAACAGUUCAAAAGAAAAAGAACAAAAGAACAAAAGUUAAAGAAAGAAAAGAGAACAAAAGUGGAGCAGUUUUUAUUAACUAUAUAAAUUUUAUAAUUACUAAUAUUAAAAUUUAAAAUAUGUACAUUUUGCAAAUAUGUAAACAUAUCAUGUGGUUUAAAAGAAAUGACUUUUAUAAACAUAUAUGGCUUAACAAUAUUAAUCAACUCUUAAUAUCUUUCAUUUUAUAUAUAUUAAAAGUAAAUAUUAAAACAUAUUAUAUUAAUUUGUGAAGGUAUUUACUUGGAUGCGAAUUAUAUUUCUAAUUUUUUAUUAAAAAAGUUCUAUAUACUACACCUAGCUUAAGAAUGUCAUAUUAAUUAGGAUCAUAGAGUAAAAGAAAGAAAAAAUUGAAUUGCAUAAAAGUAUCAAUAUAAGUGUUAUUCUCUGAAAAUAUCUUCGUUCCUUGAUAGAACUCCCUAAACUACUAUAUAUCUCUAACAUAGUUAUUAAACCCGGCUCGGUGAGGGUUGUUCGUUUGUUUAGAUAAGGGUUUAGGUCAUAAAUUGGCUUAAUACUCGGAUAAAGUUUUGAGUUAUAGAUCGAACAAGUUAGCUUAUUGACUGAUGUUAAUAAAAGAUUGUAUCAUUUUAAGAUUUUUUUUAGAAAAAUCAAAAUCGCGUAGUUAAAAAAAGUAAAAUUAGUUUUUGACUGAGUUGACUAGGUUGUGAGUUGAUUUAUUUAGUUGAUUAGGUUUUAUUGGGUCAACUCUUACUUGGUUUUUUCUAAAUCUAAAUCGGGUUAGAUUCCAGAUUAAAAUGUUAGGCUUGAAUUAAAUUUAACAACACUGAUUAAAACCACAUUGUAAAAAAAAAAUUUUGAAUUGCAUAAAAGUAAUUAACCAAAAACUUGUAUUCCUUCUUAUAAAGUUGAACCCAUGUCAUUUUUUUUAAGGAAAAAUAUGAAUCAAAGGUUAAAACUAGGCAGCUCACUUUGCACGACAAUGACGGAUAUAGAAGACUUGCUAUUUUCUUUAUGAAUUUAACGUGUGGAAAAUCAUGCCUUAAUUUAAUUUAAUGGAAAAUCAUGCCUUAAUUUUCUUUAUUAAAACUUCUUUUUUUUUUCUAAAGAGUUUAUUUUUUGUUACACAAUCAACAAGUAAGAUAGAUAGAAAUUUACGGUGUGAGAUGGGUCUGUAAGACUUAUAUUGGCAUCUGUAUUUUUUCCAUGAUAAAGACCAAUGGGAUGGUCCUAUCAAGCAAUUUUUCUACGAUAUGGGUCCAUAAGAACACUUCCAUCUAUACAUUGGUCCCUGAGACCUUUGCCAUCAUACAUUUUUCUUCGAGGAGAGGCCGUGAAACGUCCUCUUCCAGCCAUCAUGCAUUUUUUCCACGAGAUGGGUUGGUGGAAAAACUUUGGAUUAAUUGGGAAUGCUUUACUGUAUUUGUUUUCUGGUUAUAUUUAUUUUUUCAUCAAUAUUCCUGAACAGCGUAUUUUGAAUCCUGAAGGAUUGAAAGAUGGAAAACAGAAAAUAUUAAAGUGAAAUGUUUUAGUAUAAAGUAGAUGUUAAUGAUGAAAGAAAAGCACGUGGAAAAGAGAGGGAUGGUGAAAAUGACAUGUAAGGGACUGUUUGGCAGUGCGCAUAGAAAAGGGAAAAUGUCAUUGCCAGUUUGAGUGGUGUGUUUGCAUUUGAUUUGUUAAUUUCGAGUUUUGUCAAAGAGUGAUUACUGGUCAACAAGCUUUUUAUUAAUUUAAUUUAUCCUGUCAUGUGAAGGGCCAAACCUGUCAUUGCCAGUUAUAGUCACAAGUCUUGGUCUUACCAUUUUACUAUUUAUUAAUUAAUUAAUUGUUUGAUUAAUCAACGAAACUGUGCGUUUCUCAUGUGAGAUAUAUAUAUAUAUAUAUAUAUAUAUAUAUAACUUUUCAAAACAAAAAGAUUUUGAUGGAGAGGACAUUGAAACAAAUUAUCCUCAAAAUCUUAUUUUAUUGUCAUCAUUCAAUUUUUUCCACGAGAUGGCGCCGUAAAAGCUAUUAUUUUUAAUUUUAUUAUGUCAGGUCUAGAAUGACAGGUACAUUUUAUUUUAAUUAAUUCAAUUUAUCCUUUCAUGUGAAGGGCCAAACCUGUCAUUCAUUGCCAGUCACAGUCACAAGUCUUGGUCUUACUAUUUUACUAUUUAUUAAUUAAUUAAUUUAUAACAGUAAUUCACAGUAAUUCAUCUUCUUUUUUUUUUUUAACUUUUUUUUUCCAAUUUUUUUUUUAACUUUCUGAUUUUUUCUUUUUUGUCAUUUAUUUUUUUUUCAAAAUUAUUUUUGUUGAUUUUACCUUUUAAAAUUUUUGCUUUGUAAUUUUUUUCUUUAAAAUACUAUGGAUUGCUAUGAUGUUUUUCCACUUAAUUUUUCUAUUUUAUUUUUUUAUUUUUCAAAAUUAUAUUUGUUGAUUUUUUUUAAUAUUGAGCUGAUUAAGAAUUUAGCUUUAUAAUUUUUUUCUUUAAAACACUGUGAAUUGUUGCAGUGUUUUUCCAUGUGAUUUUUUUAUGAUUUUUUUCAAAAUUAUCUUUGUCGAUUUUUUUUUAAUAUUGAGUUGGUUAAGAAUUAUAAUUACUGUCGCACGUCAAAAAAUCCGCGCGGCGUCGGCUGGCGAUCAUUAUCGUUGUUAUGUUUGAUUUGAUUGGUUCGUUGGAGUCGCCACCUAGUAUUUAAUUGAGGGUUACUAGAAAACCCAGAUGUACUGGUCUUGUCAGAGAUUCGCGAGUAAGGGAUUGGUUGUGGUUAGGGAAGGUAUUAGCACCCCUAACGCACCCUACCUGAGGUAAGCUGCUUCGUGACUUUGAUGUGUUAAAGAAGUUUUAAUAAUUGUCUUUUCAUCGGAUAUUAGAAAUACAACUUACAUGUAAGUUAAUAAUUCUUGACCGUGAUCCAAUCAAAAUAUUAAAUUCUUCUUUAAUCUUUACAAUUUUAUCUUAAAUAAAAAUAAAACAUCCAUAAAACAAAUAUAAACACACCCAUACACUUUCACUAUAUUUUCUUUUUCUUUUCUUUUGUUGUUACAUUCACAAUACCAAUUAUACAAAUUCAAAAAAUAACUAAACAAAAAUUACAUUAAACAAUUUAAAAUUAGCCUCAAAACAAUCUGGAAUUACAGGGAUUGCCAUCUGCCACCCGGAACAGUGUCAAGGAAGUUUUCUGGGCGCAGGAACAGUGGCGGCGCGUCCUUCCACGCGCCACCGUCGCUGGCGGCGCGUGGGUUCACGCGCAGCCGGCCGAAACUGGCUUCUUCUCCUCUUCUCUUCUGCAACGCCGGUGACCUGCAAAACAACAAAGAAACACAACAACACAGGCAGUUGAUCUUAGUUUUUAUUUCAAAUUUAUUCUUCUCGGGUCUUUUAGAUCUGCUCCGGGUCAGCUGCUAUGGUUCAUCUUCCUCUCUUCUGCUUCAGCGUACUGGCAGCAAGGAGCGCUGGAGGUUGUCGACCGGUGGGGAAGGAGAUCGGCUGCUGCUGCUGGUGGCCGGUCUGUGGGCUCUGUUGAAAGCCGGCUGGAGAAGGAGGAUCUGUCGUGGCUGUGGUUGCUGCUGCCGCUGCUGGGGCUGUUCGGCGGCUGAGGAAGGAAAAACCUGCUGGCUGAAGCGGGAGCCGUGGGUCUGAGGAGAUGGGGAACGGCCCUGCCCGUCCUCUGGUCGAUGGAGAUGAGGCUGUCCUGUGAUGCUGCUUGUGGUCGGUUGAUGGAGGGAGAGAGCUGGUCUGUCAGCUGACAGAGGAGACGAUGAAGGCUGUUGGAAGCAGUGAACUGGGUCUGCUGCCGGCCGAAGGAGAUGAUGAAGAAAAUGGGUUUGUCUUGGCUAGCAGCUGGGGGGAGAAUGGAAAAGGAGAGUUGCGGUGGCUGCUGGUGAAGGAAGGGCUACUGCUGGCCGGUGAGGGAAGAAGAAGAUGCUGGAACCGGCUGGAGAGGGAGAAGGAAAAUGAAGGCUUGUGCAGGAAAGGGACUCCGGCUGGAAGAGGAAAACCAAAAACGUGGGGGGCCGGCUCUCUUCAACAGGGAAAAGGAGGCUUCGACUGAGGGGAGGCUGCUCUGUAGGAGGUUGAUGUGGGUUGUGUGCUGUAAUGGCCAGCUUGGCAGUGUGUGAGGAAGGGAGACAGAGAGGGACCAGCGGUGUGGUAGAAGGAAGAAAGGAUGGCGCCGGGGGAGAAGUCUGGCUGCUGAGGGGAAGAAGAAAAUCAAAAACAGGGGGGCCGGCGGCUUCUUCUUUUUGGGGUUAGAGAUAGGUUUAGGUUUAGGUUGUUUUUUUGUAUUUUUUCUUAUGUUUCCAAAAUUGAUCCCCCCUUUGUAAAAACCAGUGUAGCUUGGUAUUUAUAGGAAAAGUUUUGCUAGGUUUUCAAACUAGUCCCUCAACUUUUCCUUUCCUUAUCUUUUCCUCUUUUUUUGUAAAUUUUGAUUUUUCUUAUUUUUUUUUUGUAUUUUUGAAAGCGAGCAAAUAUCAACAUCGACUCAAUGCGGGAAAUCAAUGAUUUUAAAAAUGACGCGUGAAAAGUUGAACGCGUUCCAAAUAUCUUUGAAAAUUUAAAUUCUUUUGAGACGAUGCUAAAAAUGCUAAAAAACGAUGCAAAUGUAUUAAAAACAUAUUUUUUUGGAUUUUCAAUGUUUUUCGCUAUUUUUGAAUUUUUCUGAAAAUUUAUCAAAACAUGGGUCAAAAAUUGGGUAGCAACAGAUGCCCCCUCUUUACAAUGCUUACGAAGCAAAACUCCUCAAUGUUUUGCAUAGUAAGCUUUGUAAAGAAAAACUCUAAAUGUUUCUUUUUUUUUUUCUUCUGUGAGAUCCCAUCGGGCGAUCUCCUUGAACCAAAACCAAAAUCUGCGUGGUUGGGCUAACCUGAGAUCGCGUCCGACGAUCCCCUUUAACCAGAACCAAUAUCCUGUGUGUGGUUGGGCUAACCUGAGAUCCCGUCCGGCGAUCCCCUUUAACCAGAACCAACAUGAGAUCCCAUCUGGCGACCUCAUUAAACCAAAACUAAAAAAAUGUGUGUAGCUCGGUCAACCUGAAAUCCCAUCUGGCGAUUCCCUUUAACCAAAGCUACAUGAGAUCCCAUCUGGCGACCUCAUUCAACUGGAACUAAAAAUAUGGUAGCUCGGUCAACCUGAAAUCCCAUCUGGCGAUUCUCUUUAACCAAAGCUACAUGAGAUCCCAUCUGGCGACCUCAUUAAACCAAAACAAAGAAUAUGGAACAAAUGGUCUCAUUGUAAUGGGUGACGAACCCAAGAAAAAUGAUGGUCUCAUUGUAUGGGUGACUAACCCAAGAAAAAUGAUGGUCUCAUUGUAUGGGUGACGAACCCAAGAAAAAUGAUGGUCUCAUUGUAUGGGUGACUAACCCAAGAAAAAUGAUGGUCUCAUUGUAUGGGUGACGAACCCAAGAAAAAUGAUGGUCUCAUUGUAUGGGUGACGAACCCAAGAAAAAUGAUGGUCUCAUUGUAUGGGUGACGAACCCAAGAAAAAUGAUGGUCUCAUUGUAUGGGUGACUAACCCAAGAAAAAAUGAUGGUCUCAUUGUAUGGGUGACGAACCCAAGAAAAAUGAUGGUCUCAUUGUAUGGGUGACUAACCCAAGAAAAAUGAUGUGGAAAACGGUCUCAUUAUGAUGGGUGACCUACCCAAAUGGAAAGAAUGUGAAGUGCGGUCUCAUUAUAAUGGGUGACCUACCCAGGUGGAAGAUAGAAAAAAUGUGAAGUGGUCGCGUUAUAAUGGGUGACCUACCCAGGUGGAAGAUAGAAAAAAUGUGAAGUGGUCUCAUUGUUAUGGGUGACCUACCCAGGUGGAGGAUAUAAAAAAUGUGAAGCGGUCUCAUUGUAAUGGGUGACCUACCCAGAUGGAAGAUGAGAAAAAUAUGAAGCGGUCUCAUUGUAAUGGGUGACCUACCCAGGUGGAGGAUAUAAAAAAUGUGAAGCGGUCUCAUUGUAAUGGGUGACCUACCCAGAUGGAAGAUGAGAAAAAUAUGAAGCGGUCUCAUUGUAAUGGGUGACCUACCCAUGUGGAAGAUAGAAAAAAUGUGAAACGGUCUCAUUGUUAUGGGUGACCUACCCAGGUGGAGGAUAGAAAAAAUGUGAAGUGGUCUCAUUGUUAUGGGUGACCUACCCAGGCGGAGGAUAAAAAAUAUGAAUUGGUCUCAUUGUUAUGGGUGACCUACCCAAAUGAAAGAUGUGAUGUGACAAGUGUGAAAAAUAGGACUUACCUGGCGAAGUCCUGAAGGGAUGAUAGAAGAAGGGCCAGAAAACUUGGUGCUUCUUGAUAAUUCUUGAUCGCAGGGUUUGAAAAUUCGAUGCUUCCUGAUUGCAAGGUUGAUCUUUUCAUUUCUUUGAGAUUUUCCUAACAGUAAGGCUUAUCUCAUCUUCUUCCCGUUCCAAGGUCACAACCAUGAUUCUCUGUCAUUAUCAGCUCAAUGAUUCUCCUUUUUUUUUUUCUUUUUCUCUCUUUUUUUUUUUGUCCCCAAUCUUGCUAAACUACAUUGAGGAUUUUUCCUGCAACAAAAUAAAAAAUAUGUACAAUGUUUUUAACGUUAGCUGACAUGCAUGCAUCCUUACCUGAUUCGAAAUAUAGGUCCCCCCUCUUCGAUGUUCCAUCAUCACAGGGUGCCUUUGUUUGCAUUCCAAAGCUUUCUUUGCUCUUCCCAUGCACUGGCUCAUUCGUAUGCUAGCCUUUCACUCAAAUGUAAGUGCAGUGCCCAUCCUGGGCUGUCCACGACGAUUACUGCUCUCAGUUGUUCUCAAGCUUGACCAUGUUUCCAAGUGUGGUGUUGCUCGAUUCAUCGUGAAGGAGUUGAACAAAUCAUCCAUCUCCUAGAUUCUCUCAAGAAUUGUCCUUUGAUUUGGUGCGUGUGUUUUGCUAACACCCCUCAAAAGGUUUUCUGGUGUUUAACCUCCUUUUAGAUUGUCAAUCAGUCAUGAACUUGCCCCCAGUUGAAACAAUACUCUUCAAGUAUAUAUUAUCAUCAGUCUUCAUUGAAACUAUCCAAUCAUCCAGACAUGCAUCUCAUAGCUUGCAGUGGAAGACUCAUCGUUGUAUGCUCAAUGUUCUUUCUCAUGGAUUUCUCUCAGCUUGUCAAAUCAGAUAGUGGAAAGAAAUGUCUUGACAUCAUCAAUGAUGUUCAUGUUAUCACCCAUAUUCAUACGGUGAAGUGCGCAUUUGAGCUCUAAAAUAGAUGGUCCCACAGUCAGUCUUGGUGGUGUGCAUCUUUCUGACAUUCAUUCCAAUGCAACUAUGCAAUAACAUCUGUUGAUAACCAUGUUUCAAAAAAUGACAAUAUGAGAUUGUCCUUCAAGUGUAUCUUUGCUUUCCCGAUUGUUGACGGGGUUCACUAGAUCAUGGACUAUCUUUGAACAACAUUGCCCCCAAUAUGAUCUGAAUGUGCUCGUUCAUUGAUUAUCUUUCUUUGAACACCAUUGUCUUCAGUACACUGAUUCAUCAUUUAAUCAUCUUUCAUUGCCCCCAACUGAUCUGAAUACUGUUUGUUUUCCUACCCAUGAUCCACUGUAUUGCCUCCAGGUGGUCAACUUUUCAAGGAGUGUCGAGAAAUGUUGAUGUCAUUCUUGUCAAGGAUUUUGCAAAUUUGGUCGAUGUUCUUGUUGUUUAACAAUAUUUCUUGUUCUGGAAUCAACUCUCAUAUUUCAAAGAUCAUGUCAAUUCAAGUCUAAUUGUUGAAAUGAAAUCAAAGAGAUAUCAGUUUUGGAAAAGAUCUUUUGAAAAUCAAGCUUUUUGGUCAAAAACCCAACACACACUAUUCAAUAUAGUCCUUUGAUUGUCUUGUAUUUUGAAAACAGAAAUGACCCAUUGUAAGUUUAAAAUGACUUUUUUUUCAUGGUUCUUUAUGUCAGUUUUAAUCUUUGAUCUUGGGUAUAUCUUUUCACGGUCUGCAAUGAGGUGACCUUCUGUGAAUUUCAAGGAAAACAAAAGGCUCAAGUCAAAACUUGAGGAUUCAUCAAGAAAGAUUGUUUUCUUUUUUAGCACCAAUUUUAUCAGCAUGCAUAAUAACCAGUAGCUUAUUCCAUGAAGCUAUGACUCUUAUAGAAAACUCUUCAAGUUUUGAGAUCGCCAUUUAUCGGUUCAGAUUGCUUACCUGAUUAAAAGGGCUUUUUAAAGCACAUAAUGCAGCUAUGUCAUGCUAUGAAAGAAAGAAAUUCAGCUCAAAAGUGUUGAGGUUUGAGGGUUUUAAANNNNNNNNNNNNNNNNNNNNNNNNNNNNNNNNNNNNNNNNNNNNNNNNNNNNNNNNNNNNNNNNNNNNNNNNNNNNNNNNNNNNNNNNNNNNNNNNNNNNNNNNNNNNNNNNNNNNNNNNNNNNNNNNNNNNNNNNNNNNNNNNNNNNNNNNNNNNNNNNNNNNNNNNNNNNNNNNNNNNNNNNNNNNNNNNNNNNNNNNNNNNNNNNNNNNNNNNNNNNNNNNNNNNNNNNNNNNNNNNNNNNNNNNNNNNNNNNNNNNNNNNNNNNNNNNNNNNNNNNNNNNNNNNNNNNNNNNNNNNNNNNNNNNNNNNNNNNNNNNNNNNNNNNNNNNNNNNNNNNNNNNNNNNNNNNNNNNNNNNNNNNNNNNNNNNNNNNNNNNNNNNNNNNNNNNNNNNNNNNNNNNNNNNNNNNNNNNNNNNNNNNNNNNNNNNNNNNNNNNAGAUAGCCUUUUCUCAUUUCAAGCAAGGUGCGGUUAGAAUCGAUAAAUUUUGACCUCAUCCAAUGUAAUGAUUUGGACUUGUAAGAGUCAUGAUUCACGAGUCCAUAACUACUGAAUCCACUAAAUGUCAUUAUGCAUACUGCUAAAACUUAGUUAUAUGAUGUGUGGUUCAGUUUCAGGAGGUAUGAGUUCAAAAUUGAUUGGUCACCUCAUGUCAUUUUCCAGCAUCAAGUUAUUUCUGCAAUCAAAAUACUUUUAAUCUUCAGGAUUGAUUAAUCUUAAUCGCAUGUUGGAGCUUGAUCAAAAUAUUUUGUAAAAAUACCCUUUGAAAGAAGCAUCUCUUGAUUUCAAAACAACAGGAAGACAAAGGAAAGACAUGUUUCGUUCAAGGAUGAGAUGUGACCCCAAAACAAAAUGCAAGAUGGCAAAAUCCAUAACAAAAAUGAUUGACAGUUUAACCCCUUCUUAGAUCAGCCUCUUUGGCGAUAUCUCUGUUUUGCCAAGCAAUUCCGAUCACUCGUCAUUCUGAGGAUGUUCUGGCGAUAAAAUGAUCGAUGACAAGCUCCUUCACGGAUUCCUCUCGUCUUUUGCUCACCAAUUUGCGGACUCGAUUCUUGCAAUUAUUCAACUGAAUGGCCUGAAAUCCCCCCAUGAUAUUCAAAUCUCUUGUUGGGAUUAUAUCACAUAAGAAACAGUGGUUGCAUGGGAUUUAACAGAGUCAGGCAAAAAGUCUGGAAUCUGACAGAUGCUAGUAGUCCAACUUGGGUGGCAGAAAGAUGUCAAUCUUGGCAAAGACACUUAAGUAGCUGGUGCUACAGUGAGACUUGACUAAACCAAGUAACUAUGGUUUCUCAUCUUCAGAGUCAUCUCCUGAUUCAUCUCUCAUCAUUGUUCUGGAAUUCAUGGCAGAUCCUUCAAUCUUUCCCAUCUUGACAGCUAGCUCAAUUCUUUUGGCAAUCCUCACAACAUCAUGUCAAUCUUCCAAUGUUGUUGCGGUUGUAUGAGAAUUGUUGGAAAUGUUCCAGUAGCUAGGUAAUCUUGGCAGCACCCGGAGACUUGCAGCAUUGUCACUGCCGACGUGUGGGAUCACGCGUUGUCUCAAUUGGAAGAGAAACUGAUGAAUCUAAAACUUCUUUGUCUCCUCUUCGAUUCCUCACUGACGGUGCAGCAAAUAGACACCUGUAGAGGGAGUUCCGCUCUGUGAAAGUUUCAGUCUUCUUCAUGUUUUUCAGUCUAGGCAUGUCCCUUCUCUCUACUUUUGCAUUUUAAUACUGACACUGUUAGGAGGAAAAUCAUAGAUGAUCUGAAACUACUGUAUUCCUUCUUGAAUUUCCCACUUGCAGAUCCACAAACAGAUUCCUGUCGAGAGAGCUCUGCUAUGUUGAAGUUUGAUGUUUGCCCCUGUUCUCUAGCUCAGGUCUGGCCUUUUCUGCCUACUACAGUGCUUCGGUACUGAAACUGGUGGCGUAAAUUUUCACAUUGUUUGAAGCUACUACAUCCCCUCAUACAUUCUCCACUUGCAGAGCCACAAACGGGUUUUUAUAGAGAGAGCUCUGUCACGUCAAAGUUCAAUGACUGCUCAUGUUUUCAGACUAGGUCUGACUCUUUGGCCUACUCCAGUGUUUCAGUGCUGAAACUAAUGAGACAACGUUUUAUAGCAUAUGAAAAUACUGCAUCCCCUCUUGCAUGCCCCAUUGGCAGAUCCCCAAACAAAUCUCUACAGAGAGAGCUCUGCAACGUAGAAGUUUAAUGUCUGUUCAUGUUUUUCAGACCAGGUUUGGCUCUUCAACCUACCACAAUGUCUUUGUGCUGAAACUGAUGAGAGAUUUUUAUAGCAUAUGCAACUAAUAAAUCCCCUCUUACAUUCCCAACUUGCAGAGCCAUAAACGGAUUUUUGUAGAGAGAGCUCUGCCACAUUGAAGUUUGAUGACUGCUAACAUUUUCAGACCAGGUCUCACUCUUCUGCCUACUACAAUGUUUUGCUGGUGCUACUGGUGGGAGAAAUUUUCAAAGCAUAUGAAAUUACUACACCCCCUCUUGCAUUCCCCACUGGCAGAUUCACAAAAAAAUCUCUACAGAGAGAGCUCUGCAACGUAGAAGUUCAGUGUCUAAUCAUGGUUUUUUUUUUUUUUUUUACAUCUUGUGCUGCUGAACUGGAAUUGAGCUCAUAGUUGGGGUAACUUCAAAGAAGACUAAUGCACCAUGCACAGAAGGCUAGCAGUUAUUUGGUGCCAUUGAAAGAUACGGAGGCGAUGAAUAAUUAUAAGUGCAACUGAACAAGAACAAAGGUUGUCAUUAGCUGAUGACUGAAGGCAUUGCUGCAAUUAUUCAAGACUGAAAAGAGGAGGAGCAGCUUCAAUAGGACGUGGACGAGCGGUGUUCCCACAAAAGAUUGUGCAGACAUUCCCUUUCCAUUCGAUGCUCAACACUUGUUCAGGGAGAUAUGAGUCUAGCUACUUCACCUUUGAUGCUCUCAACUUCCCUUUGAUAAUGAGCUUCUCUCUGACCCCUUUCUUUAUUAUCCAUCUUUUCAUUCCAAUGUAGUAAACCUUGGAUGGGGGAACCUAUUUUCAACUUGGUACAUGCAUGAUAAAUGUAUGAACAUGUAAACUAUAUGAAGAACUCGCCCUUCGAGGGGUGACAAUAUGGUCGUAACUCUCGUAUGAUGAAACAAAAAUCUUGAUUCUUGCCCAAACUCUACAAUGAAAAUUUUCUGAGUGACGGCCAUUGGGUCACCCACAAGUCUUGAGUUCAAGAUGCUUCAAGAAGGGUUUGCCCUAAUGCAAAUAAAAAUAGCACAUACAACCUAAGGACAGGUUCUAUUCACUAUGUGAACAUGGGUAGGUUCUCUACCUGGUCUCAAAAGGGUCUCAUAUCUGCCCAGUGACGUUCUUCGUAAAGACAGUAUGGGGGCGUUGCAAGGAAUAGUUAAGGUACGUCUACCCACCAUUACCAAGCAGGCACUCAGAUAUGAGUUCGGUUUUUCACGCAUCUGAACCCUGACCAAUAGUCAUAGGGCAGAUCGCUAAUUCACCACCUAACUUAGAAGCUUGUGUGUGCUUUAAAAAAUAAAUACAGGUGAUGCAUGAAACAAUUCUAAAAAUACAUGGAUAAAACAAAAAUAUAACAAGACAGAAAUGCAAAAACUUAAACACAUCAAAUACACAAAGCUUAGUCCAAUAUUGUCAGAAACAAUACCUUCCCCAGUGGAGUCGCCAUUCUGUCGCACGUCAAAAAAUCCGCGCGGCGUCGGCUGGCGAUCAUUAUCGUUGUUAUGUUUGAUUUGAUUGGUUCGUUGGAGUCGCCACCUAGUAUUUAAUUGAGGGUUACUAGAAAACCCAGAUGUACUGGUCUUGUCAGAGAUUCGCGAGUAAGGGAUUGGUUGUGGUUAGGGAAGGUAUUAGCACCCCUAACGCACCCUACCUGAGGUAAGCUGCUUCGUGACUUUGAUGUGUUAAAGAAGUUUUAAUAAUUGUCUUUUCAUCGGAUAUUAGAAAUACAACUUACAUGUAAGUUAAUAAUUCUUGACCGUGAUCCAAUCAAAAUAUUAAAUUCUUCUUUAAUCUUUACAAUUUUAUCUUAAAUAAAAAUAAAACAUCCAUAAAACAAAUAUAAACACACCCAUACACUUUCACUAUAUUUUCUUUUUCUUUUCUUUUGUUGUUACAUUCACAAUACCAAUUAUACAAAUUCAAAAAAUAACUAAACAAAAAUUACAUUAAACAAUUUAAAAUUAGCCUCAAAACAAUCUGGAAUUACAGGGAUUGCCAUCUGCCACCCGGAACAGUGUCAAGGAAGUUUUCUGGGCGCAGGAACAGUGGCGGCGCGUCCUUCCACGCGCCACCGUCGCUGGCGGCGCGUGGGUUCACGCGCAGCCGGGAAAGCAGCCGGCCGAAACUGGCUUCUUCUCCUCUUCUCUUCUGCAACGCCGGUGACCUGCAAAACAACAAAGAAACACAACAACACAGGCAGUUGAUCUUAGUUUUUAUUUCAAAUUUAUUCUUCUCGGGUCUUUUAGAUCUGCUCCGGGUCAGCUGCUAUGGUUCAUCUUCCUCUCUUCUGCUUCAGCGUACUGGCAGCAAGGAGCGCUGGAGGUUGUCGACCGGUGGGGAAGGAGAUCGGCUGCUGCUGCUGGUGGCCGGUCUGUGGACUCUGUUGAAAGCCGGCUGGAGAAGGAGGAUCUGUCGUGGCUGUGGUUGCUGCUGCCGCUGCUGGGGCUGUUCUGCGGCUGAGGAAGGAAAAACCUGCUGGCUGAAGCGGGAGCCGUGGGUCUGAGGAGAUGGGGAACGGCCCUGCCCGUCCUCUGGUCGAUGGAGAUGAGGCUGUCCUGUGAUGCUGCUUGUGGUCGGUUGAUGGAGGGAGAGAGCUGGUCUGUCGGCUGACAGAGGAGACGAUGAAGGCUGUUGGAAGCAGUGAACUGGGUCUGCUGCCGGCCGAAGGAGAUGAUGAAGAAAAUGGGUUUGUCUUGGCUAGCAGCUGGGGGGAGAAUGGAAAAGGAGAGUUGCGGUGGCUGUUGGUGAAGGAAGGGCUACUGCUGGCCGGUGAGGGAAGAAGAAGAUGCUGGAACCGGCUGGAGAGGGAGAAGGAAAAUGAAGGCUUGUGCAGGAAAGGGACUCCGGCUGGAAGAGGAAAACCAAAAACGUGGGGGGCCGGCUCUCUUCAACAGGGAAAAGGAGGCUUCGACUGAGGGGAGGCUGCUCUGUAGGAGGUUGAUGUGGGUUGUGUGCUGUAAUGGCCAGCUUGGCAGUGUGUGAGGAAGGGAGACAGAGAGGGACCAGCGGUGUGGUAGAAGGAAGAAAGGAUGGCGCCGGGGGAGAAGUCUGGCUGCUGAGGGGAAGAAGAAAAUCAAAAACAGGGGGGCCGGCGGCUUCUUCUUUUUGGGGUUAGAGAUAGGUUUAGGUUUAGGUUGUUUUUUUGUAUUUUUUCUUAUGUUUCCAAAAUUGAUCCCCCCUUUGUAAAAACCAGUGUAGCUUGGUAUUUAUAGGAAAAGUUUUGCUAGGUUUUCAAACUAGUCCCUCAACUUUUCCUUUCCUUAUCUUUUCCUCUUUUUUUGUAAAUUUUGAUUUUUCUUAUUUUUUUUUUGUAUUUUUGAAAGCGAGCAAAUAUCAACAUCGACUCAAUGCGGGAAAUCAAUGAUUUUAAAAAUGACGCGUGAAAAGUUGAACGCGUUCCAAAUAUCUUUGAAAAUUUAAAUUCUUUUGAGACGAUGCUAAAAAUGCUAAAAAACGAUGCAAAUGUAUUAAAAACAUAUUUUUUUGGAUUUUCAAUGUUUUUCGCUAUUUUUGAAUUUUUCUGAAAAUUUAUCAAAACAUGGGUCAAAAAUUGGGUAGCAACAAUUACAAUAAAACUAAAUCAUAUGAGGAAAGAGUUGUAGUUUUUCUCACAAAACACUGUGGAUUGCUACAAUAUUUCUCUAAAUGGUUUUUUAUUUUAUUUUAUUAGGAAAAGCGUUAUAGUUUUCCUCACAAAACAUUGUCAAUUGCUACAAUGUUUUUUCCCAUGGGUUUUUUUCCUUCCAAAAUUAUCUUUGUUGGUUUUUUUUUUUAAUAUUAAGUUGGUAGAGAAUUUAGCUUUGUAAUUUGUUUUUCUUUUUAUUAACUGAAAAGCUAAAUCAUGUGGCGAAAGCACUGUAUCUUUCCUCACAAAACACUGUAAAUUACUACAAAUCAUUUUGUUCAGUCUCUAAGUUUUGGAUCACCAACACAACUUUUUUUUUGUCAUGAAAUAUUUGCUCCAUCAUGCCUUUAAUUUCUAUUACUUAUCUAACGCUGGUUCAUAAUUAUAAUACUAUCAAAUACAUUUGUUUUAUAAGCCCGCGACAGCGCGCGGGUAUGUCAUCUCGUAUAUUAUAUAACUUUUCAACACAAAAAGGAUUUUGAUUGAGAGGAAAUUGCAACAAAUUAUCCAUGUGAUGAUACCAUUGUCAUCAUUCAAUUUUUUCCACGAGAUGGGCCGUAUGCUUGCGGCUCUAAAAGCUAUUGUUUUUAAUUUUAUUUCAAUUUAAAAAAUAAAAUAAAUUAGAAGAUAUUUCAUCUUUAAAAUCUUAUUUUUUUUUUUAUGAAUUUCACCUAAAUUCUUACUAAAAUAUUUUGAUUAUAUUCCAGCCAUGUUAUUAUGAUCAAAUAAUAUUUUUUUUUGUUUUUAUAAAAAAUUAUAUAAUUUAGUUUUACGGUAUUAAUUAUAUCUCUUAAUUCGACUGCUGGAUUAGACUAAAAUUUUUUGAGGAACCUCCUAAUAUAUAUUUAUAUCACAAAUUAAAAUAAAGCAAUCAGAAUUUAUAAAAAACUUUGUGAAAUUACUAAUGAUAUUUUUAUAAUUUUAUUAAAAUUUAUAAUUUUAUUACAAAAUAUCAUUUUUUAUUUUUAAAAUACUUAUUGUCAUUGUCAUGGUAAUAAGUCUUCUUCUUUUUCUUUCUAAAGAGUCUAUUUUUUGUAACACAAUCAACAAGUAUGAUGGAUAGGUAUUUGCAGUGUGAAAUGGUUUGUAAGACUUUUGUCAUCAUGCAUUUAUGAGGGAGACCAUUUCUAUCUGCACAAUUGCUCCCUGGGACCGUUGCCAUCAUGCAUUUUUUCCACGAGAUGGGUUCGUGGAAAAUACUUUGGUUUAAUUGGGAAUGCUGUUAUUGAUUGGAAACUUUUUAAUUAAAAUAAAUUUGAUUGGUUUAAGAAACUUUUUAAUUAAAAUAAAUUAAAAUAUCAUUUUCCUAUAUAAAAAAAAUAGUCUAAUUUUACUAUAUCAAUCAUAUUUUUUUAAUCUAAUUGUUAAAUUAGAUUAAAAUUUUAUAAGAAAUCUCCUAACAUAUAUUUAAGGCAAUCAAAGUUUAGAAAGAUUUUGCAAGAUUGUCGAUGAUAUUUUUAUAAUUUUAUUCAAAUUCAUAAUUUUGUUUGGAAAAAUCAUUUUUUAUGUUUUUUUAGAUCAUUUUUUUUUCAAUUUCAUAAUUCAACAAUAGGUUUAUUGAAAAUUAAGAUAUAUAAUUUGUUUUGAUUUAUUUUAUUUGAGGUUAUUAUAGUCUCAUGACCCGAGUCAUGAAUUUUAAAGAUUAACCCAUAUUGAUCAAAAUCGAUCCAAUAUGUUAUUAUCUCAAUAUUUUUUUUAAAAAAAUGUCAUUUUAAUUUUUUUAAGUAAAACUAUAUUUUUAUUAGUUGUCCAAACUAUCUUUGAGCUUAUUGAAUCGAUCGAGUCAUACCGAUUCAACUCUUAUUUUUUUUACUUAUAUUUAAAAUUUAAAUUGCAUAAUUUCAAGCUAGUUUAUCUUUAAAUUUAAAUUGACAUUAUAUUUGUUAAAUUAAUAUUUUGAAUUAUAUAUAUAUAUAUAUAUAUAUAUAUAUAUAUAUAUAUAUAUAUAUAUAUAUAUAUAACUAACAAGUCAAAAUACUCAAAAACCAAAACAUAUUGGUACAAUUAAAAAAAUAAAACACUAAUUAUAACUCAAAAACCAAACCAUUUGCAAGAGAUAAUUACUUAUAUCAGUAGCAAUUUAGUAAUGAUUGAUCAGCAUUUAUAUUAAGAUAGGGCUAUUAAUUCAAAUGUUAAUGGUGUUAGUAACAAUGAUUUUCUUGGAAAGAUGGGUGCCUCUUGAUUACUUGAAAAUAUACGGUUUUUUUAGUUCAAAUCUAUUAAUAAAAAGAAGACUUGCUACUUUCUUUAUAGAAAUUACCUGUGGAAAAUUUAGGCAUUGAAAAAAAUUAAAAAUAAAAUAUUAUUAAUCGUGUUAUUUGCAUUUUGGCAACAAAACUAAUACAGAGACUUGAUUGAUAAAAAUUCAUAAUUAAGAGCAAGCAUUCAAAUUAAAAUAAAUCAAUCAAUCAAUACAAGUUUUUAAUUAGAAAAAAACAAGAUACAAAUACUCCGUGUAAGUAAAAGGUAAUAAAAUUAAAAAAAUAAUUAUAAUCUUAUAAAUUAUUUCAAAUAAAUAAAUAUUAAUUAAAAAUUAAAAAUUAAAUAUAAUAGAUUAAAAUAUUCAAUUUAAAAAAGAUGAGAGAAAAAUAAAUGAGAAUCAAAGUUGAUAUAAAAAUCAAAUUAUAAAAUAUAAAAUUCAAAACAAAAUAAAACCAUUUUUUUUUCUAAAAUAAGAUAUUCAUAUUAAAAGCAUAUAUAUAAAAAAAUACCUCCUUGUUUCUUCCUUCCUUGUUUCAAUUUCAAGAUAUUCAGAAUAAAACCCAAUCGUAUAGCUAGUUGGGCUGAGAAGAAAGGUUUGCUUUUGUAUUACAAAUUAUUUAUAUUAGUUUUUUUAAAUAAAUCAAAUUAGUAUCAUUUUGGUUCUCCAUAGAAGAAAAUAGAAAAAAUAUUUAGUAAUAAGGUGUUAUUUAAUUCCUUACAUUAUUAAUAUAAUCAUACCACUACAACAUAUAUUAUUACAUUAUCAGUAUUAUUAUAAUCAUGGUAUCAUCACUGUAACAAUAAGUUCUCUUACUUAUAUUUUCACCGCCGCAACCUCUUUAUCAAUCAUAAUGAAAUUACUGCAAUAAUAUAUAUUUUUUGAUUCUAUUACAUGAAGUCUUAAUUUAUUUAUUUAUUUUUAUAUAGGUAGUUAUGAAUUAUAGAAAUUGAACAAUUUAGAGAUCUUUGAUUUAGAAUCUAAUCGUUUCAAUAACAGUAUUCUAUUAUAGAGGGAUUUUUAUAUCUUAAAUUAUUAUAUUUAGAUUAAAAAAUAAAAACUAAUUAUAAGUCCAUUAAAUUAAAAAAAAAAUCUCAAAAGAUAAAAGAAGAAAAGCAUAAAAAGUACACUACUCAGCCAAUAAUCGACCAAAAUCACGUGUUGUCCACUGCCAGAACUUAUUAGCAAUUUGCUUACAACAGCAAAUUGAUCAAUAAAAGAGACUUAAAUUCAAAAUUUAAAAACCAACUCAAUUGAGAUCCUUAUUAUUCAUUCAAUUUGUUGCUUUUUUUUUUGGAUUCGAGAAAAUCCCACCCUUCAAAAAAACACAUUUUGAAAUAAAGGAAAUCCCAAGCCUAGGACAACAAAAGAAAACAUCAUGAAAAAAAAUGAUUUUACAAUAAUACACCCCGUGCCAGAGCAUAUAAUUAGCAGAAAUAAAGGUUGUACAAUUCUUUCACAGCUUACAGUAUGUGUAGAAUAGGCAUUAAUAAUUACCUUCAUCUGGAUCACCCGAACUACCUGCAACAUCUAUCAUCACAUCACGCGGGCCACCCUAAGUACAACAAACAAGGAUAUGGUCACUUGCACUAUCUGAGCAGAACACACCUCCAGAACCAAUAUUACUCAGGAUUCUUUGCAAGUCUUCCAAUCUCACUGGUUCUGAUGAAGAGUUUACAUCAUUCAUUACUUCUGCACCAAGGUCUGGGACAACUAAGUUUCCAGUCCUGAGAGCGAUGAGCAAAAAUCUCAUCAGAAUAAAAGAAAAUGGCUACGUAAUAUUUACUGGGCCAUUUCUUUUUGGUAAUAAAAGUGCUCCUUAACCUUUUUGAAGUUAUUUUACAAUGAAUUACAAGCAUUAAACAUGUAUAUACAUGGACAAACACCAAGUUAUGAUUCUAAAUUUCCAUAUAAAAGAUGCCCCAAGUUUUAGAAUUUACCUCGAGGGCAAGUCUGUGCAAGGGCAUAAGGGGACGAAGGAUUUGACAUGGCUAAGGUGGGUGAGAUGUUUUUGUCAAGAAAUGAUUUUGGAAAAUUUCUUGAUAUUUCUUCAAUAAAUAAGAUUGGAGUCUUUAUCAAGGCAAGAACAUAGGCUCUCCAAGAUGAUUGACCAGAAGGAGAGAAGAGAGGCUCAUUCUGCUCCACUGACUCUUAGUCUCAAAGAGCAAAAAAUUACUUAGCUCUAUAUCCCUACUCUUACUUGCUAUAUCAACUCUUAGAGUUGAAGUAUCAUAUUUGAGUAUGCUUCUUUGUUAUAAUAAAUAUACCUUGAUGAGAUAUUAUCUUCAAGCAUGUCUUCAAAAGCUUGGAAAGGAGUAGAAGCAACAGGCUUUUCUUCAUCAAGGAACUCUACCAGGCAACAAGAUAAAGCAGCGACGUUGCUGCUGGAAAAACUUCACUCUUGAAUGAGUGCUGAAGUUAUAAGCCAGGUUAUUAGUUUGAAGGAGUAAAACUGGUUAGUAAAUUUUUAGGAAGACCAAUUCACACAUAUAGAGUGUAGAACUAAAAUAAAUAAAUAAAUAAACAGGAAGUAGAAAACAGAUCCUGUCAAUCGACACGUCAAGAAAAAGCUACCAAGCUCUCACCUCAAAAGAAUAUUAACAAAACAAACAACAGAAAAGGAAAUAAAAACCAAUAUUGGAAGAGAGAAACAAAAUCCCCAGGCUCAAAAACAUAAUAAUAACUAUGACACAUCUUCUACAGCAUUCAAAUUCCUAUCAAGCCACUGUAAAUGAAGCAAACCCUCAUCACCCUGGAACAAUUCAAAAAUUUCGACUUCAAACAGGAAACAAGAUGCUAGAAACACUCUAUCUAGUACUUAAGAUAAACCAAAACAACAGAAGUAACUAAAAAUCUUUACACAGGCACGAACUCUAUAUAUAACAAAAAAAAACCAAAAGACACCAGUUUACCCUUCCAAUGCGAAUAAGUCCUUUUCGAGAAUCAGGAACAAACUUUUUUCCAUCGAAAACCAUUUUACCAGCAUGAAACUCCAACAUAAUUUCCUACCAACAAAACAACCACAACAUCAUAACAUAACCCCAUCAAGAAAAACAUACUUAUACAUCCAAAAAAGCAAUUACAGGCUCUAAUUAAUAAGAUACAAGAUUUUAAGCAAAACCCACAAUUUUAAAAGUGAUUUUAUUUACCUGCAUUGCUGAAAUAUCUAUAGCCGAUGAAGAACCCAUUUUUCGCAUACUUCCUCUAAAGCUUCCUUUUUUCCAACACUGCAAAAAAAAAAAAAAAACAAAAAAAAAGGACAAAUCAAAUACCCAAAUCAGAAACAAUAACAGGAAAAAAAUAAAAGAAAAUCCAAUGCUGGAAGUUGUAAUCAGGAGGAGAACCAUACAAUUUCUGAUGGAAUGACAUUUUAUCAAGAAUUGAACUAGGCAUUCAGUUAAUUAAAUAGGUUGUAAUCAGGUGAGAGUAGUGUCAACAACAUGUUUAGUUUUCCUCUCGGAAGUGUCAUUCUGCACAAGUCAGUGUUUUAAAAAUAUUUUUUUAAAAAUUUAAAUUUGUUUUUUAGUGGUUUUAAUUUAUUUUCAUGUAUUAAUAUUAAAAAUAAUUUUAAAAAAUAAAAAAUAUAUUAUUUCAAUUUAUUUUAAAAUAAAAAAAAACUUAAAAAAACACUGUUAACACAGUAUUAAACAAACUCUAAUCCUAUAACCAGAUGAACAACGUUAAGAUAUUUGUUUUUUGUUUUUUGUUUUUUUUUUUUUGAUAAUGAGAAUGUCCUAAACAAUCUUGCCUAAUGAUUGUUCAGAAAUGAAAGAGGCAACGCAUGGCUAAACCAAUGGAAGCUAAUUAAGCUAAUGAUGUCCCUAGCUAGUAAGCAAUUGUUGCCGCAAUGACAUAUGCCUCGUUAGAGAUAGAUUUGAAUUUACAUAUUAGUAUUAUCAUAUAUUUUGUAUUGUCCUUUAAAAAAAUAAAUAUUUUCCUUAUAUGGAGUUCAGUGUUUUUAAUUUUAUCAUGUAAAAUUUAUAUUUUUUAAAAAAAUUUAAUACAAUAUACAGUUAAUUAAACAUCUAUAAAUUAAUAUCAUUGAGAACAUGAAAUUUAUUAAUUAAUUAAGAUAUUAUUUAGUAAAUAAAUUUAUACACUUAUAGAUUAAUCAAUUAAAAAAUUUCUUUUUCAAAAACAUUGAACUCAAUACAUGCAUCGUGUAUAAUAUUAUCUAAUCAUCAAAUUAUGAAUUAUCAUAAUUCUAUAUAUUUAUUUAAAUAAAACAAGUUCAAGAAUUAAUGUAAUCAAUCUUAUUAAUUAAUAAAAUUCAUGUAUGUAUUAACAUACAAGCAAAAAAUCUAUAAAAAGAAUAUACAAGUGAGCCAAACAACAAUAUAUAUUAAAAACGAACAAGAGGUCGAAUUAAUAUCCAUUAACUAAUAGUAAAAUUAAGAAGAUGAUACCAAACGACACAAAAUCACAAAAAAGCAUUUAACAUUCAGAGAAAGAAGCCUGCAACACCCAUUAAGGAAAAGAGAGAAGGGAAAGAAAUGUAGAUUAAUUGAUACAGAGGAUCACCUUGUUCCAGACCAGCGCGAGACUGUAGGAAGAACCCAGACGAACCAAGAGCAAAAAAUGCAGGAGAGAUAAUCAUGAGAGAAACAAAUUCAUAUAUCCACGAAUAUGUACAAUAUUUGAAACCUAUAAUGCAAGAAUAGCUGCAGAUGUACAUUAAUAUUUUUAAUUUAAAGAAUCAAUUAAUUAUUUAAAAAACUUGAGGGAUUAAUUUGUUUGUUUCACAAAAAAUAGACAAUGGUUAUAUAAAAUUUUACUUAAAUUUUUAUCAUCAUAUUUUAAAAGAAACCAGUUUAUGUUUUGCGCAACACGAAAAAAAUCAUAUAUGCUUAAGUAAUUAUUUGGCAUCUUAAACUCAAUUUAGUAAAUUAAUUUUAAUUUUUUUCUAUCUGGCUCUUUUUCUAUAUCAAAUUUAAAAUUAACCAACAUAAAAAUUAUCCUCAAAUGAUACAGUCAAUAUGAUAGGUUUACAAAAAUAUAUUAAAUUGAUUCUAAUUUUAUGGCUUAACUCUUCAAACUCACUACUCGAAUAAUAGACUCCAUCUAGUUGUAAUUAUUAUUUUGUUUUUUAAUUAUUUUUUAUUGAAUAAUAUGAUAACAAUAUCAAUUCAAAAUCAACUAAAUAUUAAAGAAUAAAAUAAAAAAAAUAAAAAAAAUUCAAUUGAAAAAAAAGGGAGAAGAAUGGUAGAGUUUAAAAGCAAAUAAACAAUAUGACGUCAUUGUUAGAGCACCUUAACUAUUUCAUGAAAUUACUGUUCCUUUUUACUAUAAUGAUGAAGUUUCCACAUAAUAUAAAACAUGCUUAUAAAUUAAUAGCCGAAAUAAAAAUUAAAUUGAGACGACAAUCAAUUCUUUAACUUUAAAACGAUUUAUUAACAAUAGAAUUGAGAAGGCCCGCCACAGAUCAAGAGGACAGCUUCAAUGAAGCCAUCCCAGCCAAUGCAGGUGAUUACCCGUCGGUUGAAGUCUCAUCGCGCGCCUAGCACCAGCCAAACCGCCUCAAUCUGAACAUGCACCAGACAAAGUUCAUGAAAAGACGCCAGGGAGCCUCAGCAGCUGAGAAGAAAGUGCGGGAACACCCACCGCACGAGAAGAAACGUGAAAAGCAGAGAGGGAGCGCGGUAAAGAUUGUCAAGCCACGGGAUUCACACACAGUGCACCGAGUUUUAAUGAGCACUCUUAGUUUUUUUUUUUUAUAUAUAUAUAUAUAUAAUUCUUUUAGUUUUAGUUUUAGUUUGUUAGUUAUGAACAGUGAAGCAGCACCAGAAUACAGUUUUUUUAGUUUGUUAGCGAAUCUGGAAAAGAAUAAAGUCAUCUGUCAAGCUCUGUUCACUUUGGUCCGACAUUCCUCACCUCUCCCCACCUGAGCUCUCUCUCUUUCCCUCCUCCGCUUUCAGAAACCGCCGCCGCCACCACCUCAACCAAUAAGGCUUCAAAUCUCACCCAGAUGCUUCCUUUUCUAUUAUGUUUUUGUUUUUUAAAAUUUACGUCUGCUUUUUCAUUUAUUUAAUUGAAAUUACUAUCCAAAGAGAGAAAUUCGAUUUUAAUAAGUAAAUUAAAAAGAUAUAUAAUCGGACCCGAUGAAAUCGCUGCUCGUGAACGCAACUCGAAGAAAGGCGCAAUCAGCCGACUAUACAAUGGGUGGAGCAUUUAAUAUGGUCAGGGUUAUUGUGUUGUCUAUUCAAAGAAAGAUGUGCCUGUAAAUUUGUUAAGUUGAUUCUUAUCAGUCUACUCUUUAGAGUUGAUGAUAACAUGAAAUACUCGUUGUUAAUGCUCGUUGUUUUCUUCUUCUUUUUUCCUAGAUUAAAACAUCCUAGACAAUCUCUUUGGGAUGGUUUAGUAUUUCUGGCCUCUUCAUCUUCUAUUUGUGCUAUGGUUUUUAGUCUGCUGAUAUUGUUGAUAUUCAUUGGGGAUUGAAAGGCCUCGUUUUAUGACUUUGUUUUGUCUUCUUCUUAUUUCUUUAUUCUUUUGGGGAUGCGGCAUUUUCCUCUUUCAGAGAAAUAAAUAUAUACAUAAAUAACAAGAACAGGACGGGAAGGAGAGGGGGUUUUGACAAUAAGUAUUUGCUUAGAAGGGAAUGCUUCUUUGGUUUAGAAGCACCAUGAAGAUUCAGGCCCAAAUCUUUGCUUAGAAUGCCCGAAAUAAAUAUAUCACACACUUCUUUUUUUGUUUUUUGUUUUUCAUCUUUUCAUGUGUUUCUCACAAGAAGCAAACUUGAGGGAACAUAAAGUGUUGGGAAGUGAUUUUUGUUGGAAUUUCUUAUGUAAUCUCUUCUUUCGAUGAUGACCUCUUGGAUGGCUGCAUGAAGCUUAUUCCGCUUUGAAUUUCAAGGUUAAUCUAUUGUUGUGAGCAUACGUCGAGUUGCAACUGAACUUAAAUGAAUGGUGUUGGAUUUGGGCCUUCCAUUUGUUUUAACUUCUACAAGGUUGAAAUGAUAGUGAUCUUAAAGUAGAAAAGCAGCUGACAAAAAUCAAUUAGCCACAAUGACAGCUACUGCUGGCACUUGAAUGUUUUGUUGACCUCUCUACAUCCAAAAUCAUAUAGACAGCUACUACUGGCACUUGCAGUGGUCAUUGAAUACUGUAGAGUAUAUAUUGCAGUGUGAGAUAAGGUUAACUAGUUGCAUUUUCAUAUAUUGAAAGGAUUUCUCUUCUUUUCUUUGUCAAUUACAGCACAUGCAUAGAAGUGUUCUUACUCAGAGUAAAUGCUAUUGUAAUGUUUUCACGGACUCCCCUGCUUUGCAACUAAGUCACUAAUUAUCUUGGAACAUAGCCAUAAAUGAAAGGGUCUUCCAGUUCAAGAAAAUUAACCAUGAAGCUAGUAGCUAGAAGGGUGGCUAAGUAAACUUCUAUACUUUGUACCUCUAGAAUAAUGUAGGGAAAGGAUGUCUAUGUAUUUUGAUGUCUUAUAUUACUUGACCAACUCUUGCUUAUAUCAUUAUUUGUUUUUACUUUUUGCUAAUGAUUCCACACAUUUCUGAUAUUGGUGUGGUUUAUGAGUUCAGGGUUCUUGCUCGCUGCUGCUACUUCUCUAUAUUUGCCUGGUCAUUAAAAAUGAAACGUGAUGAUUUGCAUAUGCAGAAUGGAGACAUUAAAGAGGCAUUUUCUAUUUUCUGGUCAGGAGAGAUUACAAGAACUCAAGAAAUUUACCAUACAUUUUGAGAGGAAAAAAUUUAUACUACCGCUACCAAUAAGGUAUUUGCUUAAUGCGAGGUUCAAUAAUUAAGAUAUUAUCUAGACAUGAAUAUACACACACAUUUAUGCUUGUACAAAUGUGCGUGUAGAGUUCACAUCUUUUUGUUAAUUCUCUUGACAAGUGUUUUAUUUAGAGUGACCAAGUUCAAGUACAUGGGAAGUGUGCAAAAAGCAAAUAGCGAAUCAAUACAUAAAUAAGUAAAUAAAAAGAGAGGAAACAGAAGUAUAUCCUCACAGAAGAUGAAAUGAUAGAGCAUAUAUCCAUUUUCCUCCUCUUGUAAUGUUUUAUUAUUAAUAUCUGAUUUCAAUCUGAUUAUCUGCAUAAAAUAUCUCUGGAGAUGCUUUCGAUGGAGAUCAAGUUCAAAAUGCCAUGCCCACUGCCCCUAUAGAUCCAGCAGGUAAUAAUGCAUCCGAGUUGAAUUUCUAAACAUCUUACCUUUUGUUUUUCUUCUCACAUUGUUAUCAAACUCUUUUACAUUUUAUUGCUGCAUAUUGUAUGUGUGUCGCCUUGCUGGAAAAAUGGCAUGAUCACCUCCACGAUGCUAAUUCUGUAAUGCAUGUGAAGUGUUUCAUCCUUAACUUGUUAAGGAACAAGGACCGUGAUGCAUGACUAUUUUAUAUUUUAUGAUUGAGAUGGUAGAUUUUAAAGAUUUUCCUGUUUAGGAGAUAAGACGUCACUUUCUUGCUUUUCUUUCGAGAGAGUAUUUGAUCCUUUUUUUGUAUAAAAUAAUGCUGCCAUGCAUUGAAUUUCCAAACAUCUUACCUUUUGUUUUGUUUGUCGCAUUUCUAUCAAACUCUUUUCCAUUUUAUUGCGGCAUAUUGCUAUGUGUAUGGCAUGCUUUAAUCAAAAAGUUGAGUAAUUGAUGAAUGUUAGGCAAGAAAAUUACAGAUUAUUUUUGUUUUCUGCCUCCUCCUUCUCUUUCCCCCACCCCGAAAAUUGUCAUAUUUUUUUUUUCAGCCGCCUCUUCUUCCCCCAACCCUAAAAAUUGUUUAUAUUUGCUUUGGAAGCAUGGCAAACUUCACUGCCUCUCAGCUUAAGGAGAUUGCAGCAGGUCUCGAAGCUUCUGGGCAUCAAUUUAUCCGGGUAUUUAGAAGAAGAAAAAAAAGAGUCAAGAAGACAAGGAAGAUUGUUUACCUCAAGGAUUUGAGGAAAGAAUGGAAGGCAAAGGGCUAUUAUUAGAGGAUGGACACUCCAAGUUUUGAUUCUUGAUCAUGAAGCAAUAGGUGCAUUUGUGACUCAUUGAGGAUGGAACUCAACUCUUGAAGGCAUAAGGCCAAUAUGUGCUGAGCAAUUCUAUAAUGAAAAGUUGGUGACUGAUGUUUUAAAAAAUGGAGUUAAGGAAUGGCCUAGAGUGCAUGGAGAUCAUGUUAAAAGUGAAGCUGUAGAGAAGUCAAAUUAUGAUGGGUGAAGAAGCAGAGGAAAUGAGGAGUAGAGCAAAGAAGCUAGGAGAAACGGCCAGGAAGGCUGUUGAAGAAGGUGGAUCUUCUUGCUCUGAUUUCAAUGCUUUGAUCGAAUAACUGAGGUGGGGUCGCCAUUGAAACAAAGGCAGAAGUAAGUGUUGUCACUCGUGCAUAGAAUAUUUUGUUUCUACUUAGUAGUGGUUUUGGCAAUAUAGACAAGUCUUGAGAGUUGAAAGAGUAAUCACAGCCGAGUCAAUGACCAGUCCAAAUCAGUUCCCUUCCUACUAGUUCAGGAAUGACAAGUCCAGCUUAUAUAUUUAGCCCAAAUAACUAAUCAAAUAGAAAGGCUGAGCUUAGAGGCAGUACACUACAAAAUAAGUACCCAAUGUCUUAGAGACAAACAAUCAUCAUAAACUAGGAAAGACCGUCUCCCCAGUAACAAAUUCACCUUCUGAAGUUGGAGAACUUACGAAAACUAGCCACCACAAAAUAGUAGCAAGUAUCUAAAUUAUUUCCAGAGAGAUCUAACUGCUUCAAUUCACACCAACUUGUAUAAUUUAUCUCUAAACAGUCAAAAUAGUGUUAAAAGAAUCUUUUAUUGAUGAUGUGAUUAUAUUUGUUAAUUUACCUUGAGCGGGUAAAGUGACAUAGAGGUCACAUUCACCAAUAGACAAAACUUGAAGAGCAGGCAAUGCUCCAAUGUUAUGGAAAAAGUUUAUUAGGAGAGAAGUACGAUCUAGAUACAAUUCUUCAAGGGUGCUAGAAUUGAAGAAAGUCCCUGUAAAAAAGAAACAAAAAGAAAAAAGAUAUGAUGAAAAUGGUGGUGGUACAUAAUAGGCAUUCCAUUCAAUAUUAUUAAUUAAGAUUUUAAGAAACUAAACUAUGAUUAACCUUGAUUUAAAUUAGUAUCCUUAAGAGAAAGGAUCUUCAGGGAUGGCAAUGACUGCAGGAAGUCCGACUUCCUUAAACCUAUGAUGUGUAGAAUUGAAAACAGGCAAUCAAGAAAGUAGUGAAAUUAAGUGCUAUCUUGAUUGAGUUUUUAAGCCUAUGAUAAAGAACUAAUGUUGAAUAGUGAGAUGAUUUUUGGAUAGAAACAACAAAUUGCCUGAAAAAUCCAGAGAUUUCACAACUUUACCAUAGACAGUCGUCGAUCCUAGCAACAUAUCGCCUGAUAAAUUUAAAGACUUGAGAUAAGAAAAUCCACGCAGAUGUGAUAAAAUGUUGUCGUUGAAUAUAUUAUAGCUCAGGUCUAGAUUCUCGAGUUUCCUCAAAUGUGAUGAUAUGAUCUCAAAACCUGCCAGAGAAACUAAAGAUAAUUAGAAUUGAUGAGAUGCUGUUGUUCAAUUGAUAUAUGAUUCUCAAAUUAUACAUACAUAUAUAUAUACACACACACACACACACACACACACACAUAUAUAUAUAUAUAUAUAUAUAUAUAUAUAUAUAUAUAUAAUUGAUAUUUAUAAAAGCAUUAACUGUAGAGGAAUAUUUGGUACUUUGUUUCCCAAUAAAAAAUAGAUUUUUCUGCAAAGUAGCACCAAAAAAAAAACUGUUCAAAACUUAUAUAAGAAAUUAUACAGUUAGCGAGUCACAGAUGAUGAAUCUUAAAAAAAAUUGGCAAUAAUAACAGUACUCUAUUGCUAUUAAUUAACUUAAAUAUUCAAAACUUAAAAAUAGUUUUUAAAUUUAUCCAUGCCAAUUUAUCUUAAGAGAGUCGCAAUCUGUGACUAGUUAAAUUAUAUUGUUUCUGUAAAUAAAUUUUGAAUUGUGUUAUUUUUUGUUCUAGGUGCUAUUUUGCAAAAAAAAAAAAAAACCUCCAAAUAAAAUAAUAAGAUUAACGUUUAAGUUGUCUAUUGUUCUUGGAUUUGUAGGUAUAACAACAGAAGAUAGCAAUCAAAAGCGAUGGUGACAUGGUAGAGCUUUGAGUUAUUGCUGUGUUCUAAUGAUGAAGAUGUAGGAAAACGAUCUCCCUUCUGCUGUCUGGAGCUGGGCUUCCUCUCCCUGUAAGAACAAUCAACAUCUUAUCUGCGUUGUUGUUAGUGGCCACUUCAUCGACCCAUUAGUGGGUGGAUUUUAAGCUUAAAAAGGAUUUUUUUUAUAAAAAAAAAAAGGAAGAGAGAGGGGGGGCGCAUCAUCACGUGAAAGCAAGGAGCUUGCCACCCAUUAUAGAGUGUGGGGCACUCUUGCAUCUAAGAAUAAAUGAUCCUGAGGUUGUUCUGGUGAUGGGUAUUGGCCAUUACAUAAAGCUUCGACAAGCCCUUUUAGCUGCCUGUUAUUAGAAUUUGUAUAAUGAGCAUUCAAACUUAAACUUCUUUAAAUGGGAUGAAAACGAGUGAAAAUCAAGAAGUUGGAGGUGUUCAUCUCUAAUGCAUAGCUAAAGAUCCUUUGUAAGAAAAUACAGCUAAGGACAAAAGUGUGUGUGUGUACCAGAGAAAUUGUCGAUAAUAGCCAUCAUUUUCUUUGUCUCUUGUGUCAUAUCUUCCAAAAAUCUUAAAGUAAUUGAUGAAAAAGUGGAUAUAUCACUUUGUCUUCUUUAUAGCACUGCUGGCCACUGUGAGUUAAAGCAUUAAAAGGUCGUGAACGCGGAUGCUUGACGAGCGAGUGUUUACUUGUUAAUUUUUUUAGAAGGAAUCUGGAAAAGAAUAAAGUCAUCUAUUUCACUUUGGGACAACAUUCCUCACCUCUCCCCGCCCUCCCUCCCUCCCUCCCUCCCUCUUCCGCCUCUCGGAAACCGCCGCAUCCAAUAAGGCUUCAGAUUUCUGCCAGGUGCUUCCUUUUCUAUCAUGCUUUUGUUUUUAAAAUUUAUGGGUAUUUUCAUUUAUUUUAUUGUAAUUAUUAUUCAGAGACAGAAAUCCAUUUUAUUAAGUAAAUUAAAAAAAACAAGUAAUCGAUCCGAUGAAAUCUCUGCUAGUGAACGCAAUUCGAUUUUAAUAAGUAAAUUAAAAAAGUAUAUAAUUGGAUCCGAUGAAAUCGCUGCUCGUGAACGCAAUUCAAAGAAACGCACAAUCAGCCGAUUCUAAUAUUCUCUUUUUCAACCCCACCCUAAUUUACAUGAUAUUAUCCGAUUUUUCUCACAGUUAUUGUUGUAAUAAUCAAGCCCUGAAUUCUUGAACCCAAAUUUAUUUUAUUUUAUUUUUUUAGUUUUAUUUUUAAGUUGAGAAUAGAAAUCAAUUCAAAUCUUUUAGGCCCGAUCGAUAAUUUGUUAAUUAGUUUAUGCAGCAGCUGGAGUGGAAGAGAUAUUACUGCCGGAAUGGCCGAAAAAUGAGCUGUUUGGUUGAUUCUUCUUUUUUGGAAUUUACUGAAUUCUUCAAAAUUAUUGUGUUUUUAACAACAAUACGAUAUCCUUGGGUUUUAUGCUCGCUCACACAUGGAAAAAAGAAAGAAAGAAAAGAACUUUAAAUUUUAUAAUUUGGUCAUGUUAACGCGAAAAAAAUAAAAAUAAUAGGUCUGCCUUGAUAACCCUACAGGAUAUAUCUUUCUUUUUAGGACUGCUCAGCUGGUCUUGAGUAUGAGGUGAAAGCUUGAGAGCAUGUGGAAGUGUAAAACAAAUGACUUCGUUCACUUCACCCCAAAGGCGUACCUGUGCAUCUAGUUAGGAAGAACAUUUUAUAACUUACCUCAAGGUCGAACAUGGUCAGGGUUAUUGUGCUGUCUAUUCCGAGAAAGAUGUGCCUGUAAAUUUAAUCUUAUUUCAACAAGAGUUGUUAAGUUGAUUCUUCACAGUCUGCUCAUUAGAGUUGAUGAUAACAUGAAAUAUUCAUGGUUAAUGCUCGUCGUUUUCUUCUUCUUUUUCCUAGCUUAAAAACAUCCUAGACAAUCUCUUUGGGAUGCGUUAUUGUUUGUGGCCUCUUCAUGUUCUGUUUGCUGGGGUAUUUAGACUGCUGAUAUUCAUGUUUGAUGAUUUUGUUUUGUUUUCUUAUUCUUUCUUUAUUCUUUUGGGGAUGUGGUAUUCUCCUCGUUCUAUUUACACUAUUUGCUCCCUACCACAUUUAUUCUUUCAGAAAAGUUAAUACAUGCAUAGAUAACAAGAACAGGAGGGGAGGGGGAGGGGGUUUGACUGUAUGUAUUUACUUGCGAGUAAAAAUUGGUAAGCACCUGAAAAACGGUCCUGUGCUGAAUCUAAAUUGGUAAGAUGUGAUAUUCUGAUAUCUAGAAAGAUAACUUAAUCUAUCUAUUGAAGUAAAGCAUUUAAAUGCGUAUACAAUGCUUUUGGAUCAUUAAAUAUCUAUUUGAUCAGAAUCUGUGAACCUAAAGCCACAAUGAAUACAAAUGCAAGUUUGUCAUUGUAAACAUUGCAUCGAUGAUGCAUCACAGGUGUUGCUAGAAAACAUCAAGUUAAAAUUGAAGCACCAUGAGUUUCUCUAUGGCUUGGUUUACCAGCACUCACCAUCUGUUGGUGCGGCAAGUUAUGAACUAGCUGGCUAGUUUUUUGCUUCCUUGGUUAUUGUAGAAUUGUGAGUAUGAAAAUGAUAUUUCUCUUAUUCUUGAUGCAUGAGUACAGUAUGUAUAUAUACAGGUCUAGGAUUAAUCUAAAUCCCUAGAAUCAAGCUAUAAUUGAAUGCAUAUAAAUCAGCCCUGCAAUCAGCCCUAUAAUUGACAGCCCUAUAGUUGACUUACUCUAUUUAGAACAAUAAUCAAUCCUAUAAUUGAUUUACUAUAUUUACAACAGUUAUAGAAGCACCAUGAAGAUUCAGGCCCAAAUCUUGCUUAUAAUACCUGAAUACCCGAAUACCCAAGAUCCUAGCACCUUGCCCUGAAUGGUCGUGUAUAUUUGUUAUGGCUGUUCAGAUUUUAUGCAUCCAUAUUUGGUAGAAUUCUUUAAUAAAGUACAAGCUAUUAGAUGGAAGUUCUUUUUAAAUCUAUUCAAGUCUGAAUAAACUGAUAUUCCAAUUUUCAUGACUUUGAUGUGCUCUUACUCUUCUGCUGUUCCUGACUUUAUUUUUAGGGUCUAUUCUAACGUGCAAUAUAAUUAAUUUUUUUUGUGGUGAUAAAAGUGAUUUUUUUUGGUUGGCCAAAACCCCAUGGAUGCCAAUAAUUGGAGGCUCACUGCCCCAGGCGGAGAACCUGUGAUGGACACAGGUGAUUGGAGAACUCAAUUGCAGCCUGACUCACGGCAAAGAAUAGUCAAUAAAAUGUAAGUAUCUGUUUCCUAAUAUGUGCAAGUGCUGCAAAAUAGUAUAUCUUGUAUUUAAAUGAAAGAAAAAGAGAAGGGCAAAAGGUUAAUUAAAAUCAGCAGGACUGCCAUGAGGCAACC
rnacentral:lncRNA from 1 species